GGGGCAAACCAUCUUUUUCAAAAUUUUGAAUAUUAGCAUGCCAUCAAAAAGAAUUUUGUUCAAUCCCAAUCCCACAUUGUCUGUAGAAGUAUUUACUUUUGACUGUACACUUUGUUAUUUUCCAAUCCCUCCCCAGUUCUGCAACCAUUUCUCUACUUUCUAUGCUCUUGGCUUGCUAAAAACUUUUAUCCUUGAUUGUAGUUAGAAAUAAAUUGGUUUUCUAGGAAGAGAUUAUUGAUUGGGAUAUAAUAUUUAAGUUGGUUCUUCAUCAUUUAAUGUUAUAAUUUAAAAUAAUUGAUGAAAAUUACUGUACACAAAAAAGUUGUGAGAACAUCCUUAAUUAGUCUAAUAAGUAAAGUGUUGUUAGUUUUGACUAUAAGAUCUUGUUAUGUAUUAUUGCAUAGUUUUUACUAUUUUUUCGGUAUUUUUUCUUUUUUAUAUACAACUUUUAUUUUUCUUGCCAGUUUGUCAUGGCACCAACACCAAUUAAUAAUAAAUCUUAGACUAUUAUUAAAUAAAGAAAAAACAUAAACAUGGUUAAAAUACCAAACUUGAAUUGCUCAAACCUAAAGAAACCCUAUGACAAUAAUCUAAUUUAGAAAAUAAUUAAUUUAUCCUUGUAGUCCAAGAAAAUAGUAUUUAAUUCUUAUGUUUUCAUAUUCAUAUAUGAUUUAAUGUGUUGAUUGAAAUUGUCAAUGGAGUUUACUCACAUAUUGUUAUAUUGAUUUUGAGUUCAAAUAGAUGUUUAAAAAGAGAGUUUUUUCAUGAAUGCAACCCUUCAUGUAGUCCAAGAAAAUUAGAAGAAUUAAUAAGUUUGCGGACUUAAUUAAACUUUGAGUUAAUUAAUCAAAUAAAUUCAGGGAUUUAAUUAAAAUUAACCUAAGGGCACAAUUAGAAAUCAAUUAUUACUGAUUAGGAUCCCAAUUGUUGAGAUUAAAUUGAUUAGGGGUCAAAGUGAAUAUUUCCAUUCCUGUCGAAAUGACACCGUGGUUGGGGAACAGUCGUGUAUCUUCUUCAUUCCGAUUCAACAGGGAAGCUGGAAAAUCGGCAGUAAAACCGACCCAAUCGUGACCACGUUCUCUGCCCACAAUCCCGUUCGUGGAGGGAUAACAGUCCUGCAAAGCCAGGACUGGUUUGAGGGGCAAGCUCUUAGGGGCCUUAUAAAAGGCAGAGUAGAGCAGAAAAAGGGAGGGGAAGAACACCGGGAAAAGACCAGAGAGCCGAAAAAUCAACCCAGAAAAACAGAGUUGAAAAAAAAAAGGGCAGAGAAAACAGAGCACAAAUCCAAAUACAGAGAGAAAGAGAGAACAAGAGGGCAGGACACAGUGAGGAGAAUUAUCCUUGAAAUUGUCUUCGGACCUGCAAACAAAGAAAAACCCGGAUUCAGCCAAAGAACACUCACAACAAGCCGGAAUCUUCUUUGUAGCUGUCACACCCGGACAUCGCGGCGACCAAUUAAAAAUUAUUAAAUCUUUGGAAAAGAACGGAUUUCUGGCAUCCUGUUCUUUAAUGGGGAAUGGUCUUUGUUUAAGGAGUCGCCACCUAGUAUUAUGGUCACUAGGAACACUAACUGGUCAACAGAGAUUCUAUGGUUCGAGACUGGUUACGUAAAAGGGAAGAUAUUAUCACCCCUUAAACGUCCUGCCUAAGGCAGGCUGCAUUGCUAGUUUCGUCUUAAAUUGCUAAAUGUUUAUUACUUUAUGCUAUGAAAAUUUGCUUAUAAUAUUCCUGACUCUGGCGCCAGUGAAUAUUCAACUAUGAAUAUUUCCAACUCUGGCGUUGGUAAAUAUUACGUAGCUAUAAAAUAAAUUAGAUCAAUAUUUUAUUUUAUUCCCGACUCUGGCGCCAGUGAAUAAAUAAAUAAUAAUAAAUUUAUUUUUUACAAAUGCAAAUAUUUUUUAUAUUUCUAGCUAAAUAAAAUAAAAUACAAUGAAUAAAAAUAAUAUAAAUUUAAACCGGUAUUUUUAUUCCUGACUCUGACGUCAGUGAAUAAACCAAUAAAUUUACAUUAUUUUUAUUCAUGCAUACACAUUUUUAUUUUUUUAUUUUUUCUGUUUUUUUAUAUAUGUUUAUUUUUUUUUUUUUAAAGGACUAAGCUUCACACGUGUAUGCAAAAGUAGUGAAUUAAAUUUGCCUAUGUACAGUACCCAUGCCCGACACCCCACGUGAAUAAAAAAAAAAAGAAAAAAAAAAAAAAGAAUUGCAAAGCAAAGGGAAAUGAAGAACUUACCUGUGCAGGAGGCGAAGUCGAAGACGGUGGCGAAGGUGUGCUGAAUUGCCAAAGCUACCUUCUCUCCUUCUCUGUUUUUAUUCUUCGUCCGCUUCUCCUCUGGUUUUGCUUUUCUUUGCUUUGAUUGCUUCUCUUAUUCUUCCUGUCUCCCCCCUGUGUUUGCUUGUUCUCAGUUCGCUUGUGUUUUCUUUUUUAUAUGUUGUUCAGGGAAUGGAGGAGCUGGUGUAAGUGGAGACAAAGCAGCUGAUGCCUGAGAGGGCGUUGUACUGCUGCUGGAGCUGGAAGAGGCGCGCGUUGCUGGUUGCUGAUGCAUGCUCACGAUGCAUGGAAGUGGCUGAGUUGCUACUAAUCUUGACGAUACUGGUUUCGUCCGCUGUAAAAGUUUUCGUGCCCCUGCAUCCGAUCAAAGCUUGUGCUUUUCCAAGCAAAAGCCAUGGUCCCUUGAAACUCAGCAGAUUUUCGGAGCAAGGAGGAUCGCAUGCCAAUGUAGUUCAUGGUUCUGGUUUAGAGGCAGACGUGGCGGAGAUUAAUGGUGAUUGGGACCACAGCCUAGAAGGUGACCGGGAGGAAGAUGAUCUCAAGCCUUUAUUUGCUUUUUUUUUUUUUGUGAGGAGUUUGCAGAUCCCGGGGGUUGAGAAUGAAGAAUGAAAAAUCAAUUUGAUGGGGAAGAGAUUGAGGCCAGGCAAGAAGGGAGGAAAAGGCUGGGGGGAGGGGGAAGCGACGGCUAGUCUAGGACUCGGCCGCGCCCUCCUUUUUUUUUUUAAAUGUCUUUUGUUUCUUUUCUUUUUUUAUAGGUUUUUGGUAAUGGUCUUCUCUUGGGUUUUUUUUUUUGUGUCGUUUAGGGUUCCUCUCUAAUCAUCCCCUCUCCUUUUCUUUCCCCUGAGAUCUGUAUUUAUAGUGCCAGAGUCCCUUCGCUUGUGAGAAACCAAGUUUCAAUCAAACUCAUUCUUUUUUUUGAAGUUUGAAUUUUAUUAAGAAUCAAAUUUGAAAGCGGAUAACUAUCAUUAUCUUAAAGACAAGGAUUAUCUCGAAGAUAAAGAUUAUCUUGAAGAUAGGGAUUAUCUUGAAGAUAAAGAUAGAAUGAUAAAAGCACAUUGUAGUCCUUAAUUUUCACGGAAGUUGACAAAUCACACUUUUCAUUGAAAUAAAUCUCUGAUCUUUUAAUUUUUCAUUUUAAACCCUGUAAAAAUUAAAUUAAAAAUCAAAGGGCCAAAAUUGGGUUAUGACAGUAGCUUUAGAAGUUACAGAGAAAUCAAGAAGGAAAGCACAGACAAGUGGUCACAGAAGGAAAACCAGAGGAGCAUUAGGCGAGAAUCAUCAAGCAGCGCUGCAAGCAUCUUCGGUCUCCAGAAGCAGGUAUGACUUCGUCCCCUUUGCAUCUUCAUUUCAAAAAGUGAUUCUGUGUUACAAGAACACUGUGUGAAGGUAAUUUAAUUACCUUCACUAGUGUUCGGGCACGCGUGAACAAGUCACGCGUGCCUUUAGUUUUUGCCCAGCCGGGUCACUGGCUUGGGCCAGUGACCGGGCUGGGCUGGCUAGGCCCAGCCCAGCCCCAAAAUUUUUUUGCUGGGCUGGGCCCACCCCACCCAGUUCAAAAAAUAAUAAAAAUAAAAAAUAUGUAUGUAUAGAUAAAAAAUAAUGUAAAUUUAUUGGUUUAUUCACUGACGCCAGAGUCAGGAAUAAAAUACCAGUUUAAAUUUAUAUUAUUUUUAUUCGUUGUAUUUUAUUUUAUUUAGAUGAAUAAAAAUAAUGUAAAUUUAUUGGUUUAUUCACUGACGCCAGAGUCAGGAAUAAAAAUACCGGUUUAAAUUUAUAUUUUUUUUUAUUUGUUGUAUUUUAUUUUAUUUAGCUAGAAAAAAAUCAAAAAAAAUGUGCAUGCGUAAAAAAUAAAUUUAUUUUUGUUUAUUUAUCACUAGCACUAGAGUCAGGAAAAUAAAAAAAUAUUAAUCUAAUUUAUUUUAUAGCUACGUGAUAUUUACCAACGCCAGAGUUAGAAGUAUCCGUAGUUUAAUAUUCACUGGCGCCAGAGUCGGGAAUAUUAUAAGUAAAUUAUCAUAUCGUAAACUAAUAAACAUUUAGCAAUUCAAGACGAAACUAGCAAUGCAGCCUGCCUCAGACAGGACGUUUAAGGGGUGAUAAUAUCUUCCCUUUUACGUAACCAGUCCCGAACCAUAGAAUCUCUGUUGACCAGUUAGGGUUCCUAGUGACCAUAAUACUAGGUGGCGACUCCUUAAACAAAAAUCAUUCACCAUCAAAGAAUAGGAUGCUAGAAAUCCAUUCUUUUCUAAUUUUAAUUUUUUAAGACCGCCGCGAUGUCGGGUGUGACAAGGAGUGAUUUCUUUUCUAUUAUUUUUUUUCUUUGGAUCAAAAGGGUCUUAUUGAAUUAUUAUUUGUUAGGUAACUAAGAUUUGUUGAUGUGAAAAAUUUGGCAUGGCCAUCGGUGAGAAUCAAAAGCAGCAGCAAUCCAUCUGUGAAGCCGUACACCACAUCAGGGCCCCAACAUUUAGACUUUUGAUGGCAACCAAAGCUAAAUUUAAAAACAGGACCAUCUGAGAAGCCGGCAUACAACAACAGGUCAAAGAUCCAAUUUCCAAAAAUAAACCAUGUAUCAUGUAGUUUAACAUCUCUAAGCAUGAUUUUUGCAAUAAUCAUCUAUGCUUUACCAUUCAUAUCUUUCACCACAGUUCUCUGUCACCACUUCACAUGCACACAUUCCAAAAAAGAGAUAGCAUGGAAAAAUGUCUUUGCUUGCCGUAAAAAAUACAAGGGCUAAAACCUAACAUAAGGAAAAUAGAUUGGGAAAAGGAAAGCAGAACCAAAGCAAGGCACUAACAAUUAGGAGGGGCAAAAACAUGAAUUCUGAAAAGGAAAAUACAUUCCGGCCUUCCAUGACCCAAUCCAUAUUGGGCAGCAAAUGAUAACCCCGCAUCGAUGUUUCCUCGUGAUGUGAAUUUCUUUUUUCUGAUACAGAAACACAAAACCAAAUUACCUCAAGGUCUAUUGUUGUUGUAAAUUUUUAAGGUAGCAGAAUUACAGGAUAAAAGUAAUUUACCAAAAUGCUUAUGGAUAAUUGGCUCUUCCAUCCAGCAUUAAUUCUAUUAUCAAUUAUAGUUCAGUCACUGGUUGUAGAUAAAUUUUUUUAAGAUAUUAUCAAGUUUUAUUUUUAUCAUUAAAAUUUAGAAUUAAUUCUAUUACGUAUUUAAAUGUGUUUAGUUACCUUGUAAACCGUAUGGUAGAGUCCCUCAAAUAUUCUGGCCACAGCAAAUUGUAUGGGGCUUGCAACCACUAUAUUUUAUGCCAAGCUAAUAAUAUUUUUUUUUCUAAAUUAAAGAUUAAUAUUUUUUGUUCGCAUCAAAUAAUUAAAAAUGAGAAUUUCAGAGCAGAGGGUUUAAGAAAUAUUAAAAGAGAAGGUUUUACGUAAUUAUUAUAUAAUUGAAAUUGUCACUAAUCUCCUUUGUUCAUUUUCUUUUUCUAUUACCCCUUCCAAUCAGCAUGCACGAAACUUUAUGUCACUCAAAUGAUACAAAUGCUUUCACCGUUUUAUGCUGAUUGUUUAUUAUUAUUUUUUUUUUUUUAAUGAAAGUGAUUGUUCAGGCCAGUUUAUAUGUAUUUUGAAGUUAACGAUCAUAUAAACUUCCAGUGACCUUGAAGUUUGUAGGACUCGAACUGAUAAUUUCUAAAAAGUAAACUUAAAGUCUAAUUAGUUGAGUUAUACCUUUCAGAAUUACAAAAUUACAUUGCUUGUUAAAUUAAUAAAGUUAUUAGUUGCUAUAAAGUAAGAGAUAAGAAAGUAUCUAGGAAUAUGGUAAAUAUUGUGUUUUAAAAUAUAUUAAAAUAAUAUUUUUUUAUUUUUAAAAUUUAUUUUUAAUAUUAUUACAUCAAAACUAUAUAAAAUUUUUUUCAGAAUAUCAAUUCAACCGUACUCCAAAGAACACUCAUACUCCAAUAUCAGCAACCACCACGAAAGUUACCACUCAAUAAUUUAUUCUUUGACAAUUAUUGCAUUGCUAAUAAUUUGCAAGGAAACAUACUUUCUAACCGAUACUCAAUCGAUCUGCACCUACCACGAAAUUACCAAUAAGAGUCUGUUUGAUAUUUUUCCAACUUUUACUAUUUUACUUCAAAGUUUCAAUAAUUGUUUUUUCAUUACAUAUUCUUUCCAACGUGUAAUAAUUUGGAACCACUCGCAAUAAAUAAAGCCAGCAAAGCCAGAUGUGUUUGUCUAUAUAUACAUGAACUGCUGAUUCGAUUUGAACACCCCAUUUCUCCGAUUCAAUAACUUCAGUUGCAAAACUUCUCUCUCCGAUUGCUGCAAUUUCAAAGCUAACUCUUUAUUAUACAGAGGUAUAUAUGGCUAACUCUUCUUUGCUUCUUUCUCGUUUUAAUUUCAUGUCUUUACCAAGAAUAAUAAUGUGAAAGCUUUGCUUGUUUCAUGUUUAACUUCAGUUGCUAUUGUCUUAUGCUCUCUCAUUAUUAAGCUUAAAUUGCUGUAUUAUCUUCGAUGAUCACUUCACAUGUAUCAGCAAUUGCUAAUUGAUUGUUCCUUAAAUUCUGCAGCUGAAAUGACAGAGCCACAGUCUUCUCAUUCUAGACCAGAAGGGGCCUAUGAUGUCUUCCUGAGUUUUAGAGGAGAAGAUACCCGCAAGACAUUUGUAGAUCAUCUAUAUACUGCCUUAGUCCAAGCAGGAAUCCACACUUUUCGAGAUGAUGAUGAACUUCCUAGAGGAGAAGAAAUCUCCGAGCAUCUUCUCGAGGCAAUUCGAGAAUCAAAGAUAUCCAUAGUUGUCUUCUCAAAAGGAUAUGCUUCUUCUAGAUGGUGUCUCAAUGAACUUGUAGAGAUUCUGAAGUGCAAAAGGAAGAAAACCGGUCAGAUUGUUCUUCCUAUAUUCUAUGACAUUGAUCCUUCAGAUGUGAGAAAACAGACUGGCAGUUUUGCAGAGGCAUUUGAUAAGCAUGAAGAAGAGCGUUUUGAAGAGAAGUUGGUGAAGGAGUGGAGAAAAGCUCUUGAGGAUGCCGGAAACCUAUCUGGAUGGAGUCUCAAUGAUAUGGCAAAUGGGUAUUCCUUCUCUCUCUAAGAUUCACUUGCACACGUUUAUGGAGUAAUUUUACAUUACAUUUUUCAAUGUGAAGUAAUAAAAUAUUUCUUUUUAACAUACUUAAUUGACUUUCUAUCGAUGACUUGCCUUUUUUCUGUGAGCAGGCAUGAAGCAAAAUUUAUCAAAGGGAUAAUCAAGGAUGUGUUGAAUAAAUUACGUCGCGAGUGCUUAUAUGUUCCUGAGCACCUGGUAGGUAUGGAUCUUGCUCACGAUAUUUAUGACUUUCUAAGUACUGCAACAGAUGAUGUACGCAUUGUGGGCAUACAUGGGAUGCCAGGAAUAGGAAAGACAACUAUAGCAAAAGUUGUAUUUAAUCAACUCUGCAAUGGACUCGAUGGAAGCUGUUUUCUUUCGGAUAUCAAUGAAACAUCAAAACAAUUCAAUGGUCUGGCUCUUUUACAAAAGCAACUUCUUCAUGAUAUUUUAAAACAAGAUGUUGCUAACAUCAAUUGUGUCGAUAGAGGAAAGGUUAUGAUCAAAGAUCGACUUUGUCGCAAAAGAGUUCUUGUUGUUGCCGACGAUGUGGCUCAUCUGGACCAGCUAAAUGCUUUGAUGGGAGAGCGAAGUUGGUUUGGUCCCGGAAGUAGAGUAAUUAUUACAACAAGAGAUUCAAGUUUACUUCGUAAAGCAGAUCUAACAUAUGAGAUUGAAGAAUUGGAACCAGACGAGUCCCUUCAGCUUUUCAGCUGGCAUGCCUUUAAGGACACCAAGCCAGCAGAAGAUUAUAUUGAGCUUUCGAAGAAAGCUGUUGAUUUCUGUGGAGGACUUCCUUUAGCUCUUCAGGUUAUAGGAGCUCUUCUGUACAGGGAAAACAAUGAUAAAUGGGAAGGUGAAAUUGACAACUUGAGCAGAAUUCCAAACCAAGAUAUUCAAGGAAAGCUUCUAAUAAGUUUUGACGCACUUGAUGGUGAACUACAAAAUGCAUUCCUUGAUAUUGCAUUCUUCUUUAUUGGUAAAGAGAAAGAAUACGUCGCAAAAUUGCUAGGAGCCUGUUGCCGUUACAAUCCAGAAGUUUUGGAGAAACUCCGUGAAAGGUCUCUGAUUGAAAUAUUGGAAGAGACGGUAACCAUGCAUGAUCUAUUACGAGAGAUGGGAAGGGAGGUCGUUUUUAAAGCAAAAGGAUGCAUGGAAUGUACUUCAGAAAAACAUUAUGGAAUGUACUUCAGCAGCAGAAGGUACGAGCUCAAUGCAUACACAUAGCCAUGCGUAUUUUCUAGUCAAACUUAUUACAAAUAAUCAUAUAAAAGUUUUAUUGUUUUUUUUUUUCAGGGUACGGAUGUUGUAGAGGGUCUUGCACUGGAUAUGAGAGCAUCAGAAGCUAAAUCACUAAGCACAGUAUCAUUUGCAAAAAUGAAACGUUUAAAUUUACUCCAAAUCAAUGGAGCACAUCUCACCGGAUCCUUCAAACUGCUUUCUAAAGAGUUGAUGUGGAUUUGUUGGCAUGAAUGUCCUUUGAAAUAUUUGCCAUCUGAUUUUACCUUGGACAAUCUAGCUGUUCUUCAUAUGCAGUACAGUAACCUCAAAGAACUAUGGAAGGGAAAAAAGGUACGAAACAUUUUACAAUCCCCAACAUUUCUCCAGUAUGUAAUUUAUAUUUACAUGUUAUGACUUUCUAUGAUUAAUUUUCAUUAUUUUUCUCUCUAUUAUAACAGAUUCUUGACAAGCUUAAAAUCCUUAAUCUCAAUCAUUCUCAGAACCUUAUUAAAACACCAGACUUGCAUAGUUCAAGUCUAGAGAAACUAAUUCUGAAAGGUUGCUUGAGUUUAGUUGAGGUGCAUCAAUCAAUUGAAAAUUUGACGAGCCUCGUUUUCUUGAAUAUGAAGGGAUGUUGGAGGCUGAAGAAUCUCCCUGAAAGCAUUGGCAAUCUAAAGUCUCUUGAAACUCUGAAUAUUUCUGGGUGUUCACAACUUGAGAAAUUGCCAGAACGCAUGGGUGAUAUGGAAUCCUUAACUGAGUUGCUAGCCAAUGGGAUUGAAAAUGAGCAAUUUCUCUCUUCAAUUGGACAAUUAAAGCAUGUCAGAAGGUUAUCAUUGUGUGGAUACAGUUCGGCUCCACCAAGUUGUUCUUUGAUUUUAGCAGGUGCUUCGAAUUUGAAACGGUUGCUGCCAACAUCUUUCACUGAAUGGAUAUCAGUGAAACGUCUCGAGCUUUUUAAUGGUGGUUUGACUGAUCGCGCAACUAACUGUGUUGAUUUUAGUGGUUUGUCUGCUCUAGAAUUUUUGGAUCUAAGAGGAAACAAAUUCUCUAGCGUGCCUUCUGGGAUCGGCUUCCUUCCCAAGCUAGAUGUCUUGUUUCUUCACGGAUGCGAACAUAUUGUAUCAAUCCUAGAUCUUCCCUCAAGUUUAAGUUGUUUCAGUGCACCUUAUUGCAAAUCAUUGGAAAGAGUAAGAUUACCAAUCGAGCCAAAAAAAAAUCUAUAUAUAAAUCUACAGGAAAGUCAUUCGUUAGAAAAGAUUCAGGGCAUUGAAGAUCUAAGUAAUGGUGGCUGGAUAAUGUGGGUUGAUGACAGCAGUCAUUCACCAAAUAAAUUAUCGAAAAAUGUUUUUGAGGUACUAUUUCUUUAAGUUUCUCUUUCGCACAAAAAUAAACACACACAAUUGGCACAUACAUUGGUUAAUGUCUAAAUUCGCAACAUUUCUUAAAAUCAAUAUGUAUACAGGCAAUAAUCAUUAUUAUUAUUAUUAUUAUUAUUAUUAUUAUAUUUUAGAAAAUAAAUAUCAUCUCUAAUAAUAUUUUUUAUUUUUCUUAUUUAAUCUAAAAAAUUAAAUAUUAUAUUUAAUAAUAUUUUUUAUUAAAUAUUUAAAGUCUGAUUGGUUUUAUUUUUUAUUUCUUGAUUUUAUGAUAAUAUAUUUGUACAGACAAUGUUUAACGGUCGUCACCGGUAUUCCUGGUAAGAUGCCAAACUGGUUGAGCUACAGGGGAGAAGGAUGCUCAUUGUCAUUCCAUAUACCUCCAGUCUUCCAAGGCUUAGUUCUUUGGUUUGUCUGUCCAUAUACCUCAUUGCUCCUUCUCACCAUAUGCUGUAAAGAAAUAAUUCUUAGAUGGUCAUCAUAAGUAGGAUGAAUUACAUCUUAAAACUCCAUCACCGAAACAACGUGGCAAAAAUAAUCAAAGGAAAAGGUGGAUGAAUUGUUUCACGUGUCAAAAUAGAUUUAUACCAUGAUUUUGAAUUCAAGUGCUAAUUGAUAUUCAGCUUAGGUGAUAUCAUGUGAAGCAAUUAAUUCGUCCACUUUUUGUUAUGCAGAUCUUUCUCUCUCCAAAUCCAAUCUUACUAAAUAUAUAUAUAUAUAUAUAGUAAUUAGGAGAUCAAAUCUUAUCCUCUCAAUACUUAUCAUUCAACUAAUUAAUAACUUUAUUUAGCAUAAAUCCAUUAAUAAACUCACGAAAAGAACCUAACAUCCUCCUGAAUUCCUUAGCCGACACUCUCGUACACUGCUGAAUCAUUGAAAAAAUCAGUAGAAGAUCUGAAGUUAGCAUCUAUAACAGUGCCUUAGAAUUUAGAAAGAGAAAGGUUUUUUCUUUACUAUAUAUUCCAUUAUAUAAAGCAACUAAAAAAAGGUGGGUGUUAACUAUACAUUCCAAUGUUCAUCCUCUCACAAAAGUUUAUUUCUCCUUUAGGAAGUCCUUGAAAUUUUUAUUGUUUUAUAAUUUGGUUGCUGAACUUUUUUUCUUUUUCAAUUAGUCCUUUCAAGUCGCAUUAUUAUUAUUAGGAUAAGAAAUAAAAGCAAUGGUAUUCAAUUGUUUGAAUGUAAACGAAUAUCACCAAAAACUGAGGGAUGGAUAAGAUACAUAAGUAGAAGUGAAAUGGCAAUGGAAGAUUACUGUGGAGAUGACGAAUUGGAACUAUACAUUUCUUCAGUGCCAACAGUGGAUAAGAUAUAUUAAAUAUUUAAGGCUUUUCGGUAAGAAUACAUAUUUUCUUUAGUUAUUUAUAUUUUAUUCUAUUUAAUUUAAGAGAUUAAAUAUCAUCUUUAAUUAUUUUAUUUUUCUUAUUUAAUCUAAUAAAUUAAAUAUUAUCUUUAAUAAUAGUUUUUAUUAAAUAAUUAGAGUCUGAUUGGUUUUAUUUUUACUUCUCGAUUUUAUGAUAAAAUGUUUCUUAAUUAAUUUAAAAAAUAAAUAUUAUCUUUAAUAAUUAGAUCUAUUGAAUAUCACUUAAAAAAUAAAUUGUAACUUUAAUAAUUAUUUUUUGAAAAACAAAAAGCCAACAAUCACUAACAUAUUUAUUAAAAUCACUUUAGUUUAUUUAGAAAAUAUUGAAAAUUGAUUUUUGUUUUUUUACAUUAAAAUAAAAAAAUUGAAUAAUGUUUUUAUAUUUUAUUUCAAACUCGAUAUUUUAAAACAAAAAUGAAAAAGAUGUGAUAUUAACCUUUUUUUAUUAUAAAGUAAGUUUUUUAAUUAAAAGUAAUAGGAAUUUGUUCGUAAUAACAAAAUGCAUGUACAAUCAUGCGCAUUUAACUUUCUUUUCAAAUUUGAAAGUUCUAAUGAAUUUGAUGGUUUUUUAGGGUGCAAAAGACUUUGAUUGACGUGAGAGUACAAGAUCAUUUUUCAUAGAGAUACUUGAAGUUGCUCCAAAUCAGUACGAUACUUCCAUCUGACAUAUUGAUAUGUAUUUGUUGGCUUGAAGAUCAUUUUCCAAGCUUGGAAGUUUUAUAAAUUGAGCGCUCUUUGUAAUCUUUUCCAUGAUGUAAUUUAUAUUUUCAAGUUACAAAUUUUGAUGAAUAUUGUUUCAUUUUUUUCCUCACUUCAAAAGAUGAAAAUCCUUGAUUGUAGUUAGAAAUAAAUUGGUUUUCUAGGAAGAGAUUAUUGAUUGGGAUAUAAUAUUUAAGUUGUUUCUUCAUCAUUUAAUGUUAUAAUUUAAAAUAAUUAAUAAAAAUUAUUGUACACAAAAAAGUUCUGAGAACAUUCUUAAUUAGUGUAAUAAGUAAAGUGUUGUUAGUUUUGACUAUAAAAUCUUGUUAUGUAUUAUUGCAUAGUUUUUACUAUUUUUUUAGCAUUUUUUCUUUUCUAUAUACAACUUUUAUUUUUCUUGUCAGUUUGUCAUCAGCAUCAACACCAAUUAAUAAUAAAUUUGAUACUAUUAUUAAACAAAGAAAAAACAUAAACAUUGUUAAAACACCAAACUUGCAUUGCUCAAACCUAAAAAAACCUAUGACAAUAAUCUAAUUUAGAAAACAAUUAAUUUAACCUUGUAAUCUUAGAAAAUAGUAUUUAAUCCUUAUGUUUUCGUAUUCAUCUAUGAUUUAAUGUGUUGAUUGAAAUUGGCAAGUGAGUUUACUCACAUAUUGUUAUAUUGGGUUUGAGUUCAAAUAGACGUUUAAAAAAGGGAGUUUUUCAUGAAUGCAACCCUUCAUGUAUUCAAUAUGAAUGAUGGGAGAUUUUAAUGUCUUGUAAAUGCAUUCAUUUAUAUAUGGAUGAUUUUGCUAAGAAUUGGUUGGUUAAAAACUUAAUUUCGUUAUAUAAAAACUGAAGAGAUAACAAUAAAUAGCUAAUAAUUGAUGUGAUAAAAAUGAUUUAUAUGCGUGUAUAAGCUAAUUCAAAUGAAGAUUAAAAUAAAAAAGACAAAAAGAAAAAGAAAAAGGAAAGACUCGUUAAGAUUUUAUGUUAGUGUUCAACAUAUUUUUUCUUAUUUUAUUUUUUUAAUUGGAUUACCUUUGUCUUUCAUGUCAAGUAAAAUUCUGGUAUAUAACACUAAAUUAAAAAAAAUAAGAGGUGAAGUAAAGGUCUAACUAAAUGAAAUACAAGUACAAAGACUACAUCAAAUACAUUUCAUAUACUCAACUCUUAGGAAAUUGACAUUUCAAGGCUAUUCGUAUCUUGAAAACAUAAUCUCAAUUUCAAGGCUAUUAUUAUUUUUUUCUUUGGAUCAAAAGGGUCUUAAUUGAAUUAUUAUUUGUUAGGUAACUAAGAUUUGUUGAUGUGGAAAAUAGCACUAAGGAACACAAAAACAGCAGCAAUCCAUCAAGAUCAUCACCAUCCUAUCGCUUUGCCGUAUUGUUUAUCUUCUUGGCAUUGUUUAAAGGAACGCAAAAAGACAUUCCAAGCGUGAAAGUGUAUUAUUGUAAUAAAUUUUUCAAACUUCCAAUAUAGAGAGUGAAAUAAAGAGCAAGAGCAAAAGGAAACAUCUUUCUUGUUCCCUUCCCCUUCUUUACAUGGCUUACUCAAUGAAAAAGCAAACACCCCAUUUGAUUUUCAAUCAGUAUGAGAGUGAGAAUUAAAGAGAGAGGCUGUCACAGUGUCAAAUGUGCACGAGGUGCACGCUUCGGCAGGCUGGCCAAAACAAGGCCUGAGGGUGCUGGCAGCCAUGCCAUCAGUGGGAGAAAUCGUCAGCGCAGAUUUAUGCGGCUGUAGGUUCGUCAAAGGGAAAAUCAGCAGCGCAGAUUGUUGACGAACAUGGGCUGGACGAGGGACUGUCCAAGCCUCGUCAGGAGGAUAGGCUGACGAGAAUUGGGGCUAUCGCAGAAUUCAGCAGCGUAGACAGGGGCAGCCUGCACGCAGAUGCGAAUUCGGCAGCGCAGAGAUUGGCAGCACGCAUAUGCGAAUUCGGCAGCGCAUUGGCAGCCUGCCCGCAGAUGCGGAUUCGGCAGCGCGCAACAACUUGUGCAAGUCAGGGGCUCGACUUGGCACGAUCUAAAACUUGGGCGAAGGAUUGUCCAAGGCAUGGGUAAAAGAGCUCUAGGCGCUGGGACGCGCCAGCGAAGGCACACUGCCUAGAAUUCGGCAGCGAUGGAUCGCGGCAGCCUUGCAUAGGCAGAGAUGAAUUCGGCAGGCAGCAUGCAAUGGUCUAUGCGAGUCUUUGAGCUUGCGACUUGGCAUGGACGUGGGGGCUUAGAUGAUGGACCUUCUAAGUCAGCAGCUGACGCAGCAGAAGCUGGCAGCUGGGGCUGCCAAGUAGACAGCCAAGAAAUGGGGGAAGUGGCAGCUUCAUGGGAGGCAGAACGUGGGAGCAUAACUGGGGUGCUUUCCAGGCCACUAUGUCCUGAAAACAUGGGAUCAUGGGUGAGAGGUAGUGCUCCACCAUGUCCUGAAAACAUGGGAUCAUGGGAGAAAGGUAGUGCUCCACUAGGUCCCGAAAAUGGGGGAUAAUGGGGAGGAGCCUUUGCAGCUCCUUUGCUUGUCUAUAAAUACAAGAUGUAGCUCUUGGUUGUGAGGGAGCAUUCGGGUGGGAAUGUUCAGAUGUAAGGGCAUUCGGUUGGGAUUGUCCAGCAUGUAGGGGCAUGCAAGAACAUGUGUAGAACACUAGUUAGAGGUAGCUUAGUGUAGCAUGCAAUCUUUGUGCAUAGCACACAUACGGAUUUGUGUAUAGUUUCCUUUGUGUAUGAGAUUAAUAAAGGUUGGGAAAGAGUUCCUGUAAAGCUUGUUGUGCACUAUGAUUCUUAUCCUUGCUUGUGUAUUCUGCUUGCUUAGUUAUUAGGCAAACACGAGUGAGAUUGGUGAGGGAAGGCUGAGUCUAGUGAGGGACUAGGCUGCCGCACGGGUUUAUUCGCGUAGCGAAAAAUACCCCCGUGACAGUUGGUAUCAGAGCGCGGUUGCUUUCGUGGCAGGAUGACGAGAAGAAUUCUGCGGCCAAAUCAACGGACUGAUUUGGGAGAGCUACUGCUUCUGCCGAUGGAGAAGCAGAUUUCAGCGCAAUGAUCAGCGACGAGAAUGCUGGUGUUUCUCGGGACAAAUCGAAGGGACUGAUUUGGGAGAAACAUUGCUGCUGCCGAUGGACUGGCAGAAACUUUGGAGCAAGAGCGCAAUAUGCGUUCAUGACGAAACGAUGGGCUGUUUCGUAGCACAGACGAUGGGCUGUUCUGUGGGGGCAGAUCGAAGGGCUGAUUUGUUCCAAGCCAUUUGAGGGAAAAACUUGCUAGCGUUUUGGGCAGUGUUGGUGUUCAAAAGGCCUGCGGAGUUUUAGGGGUUUAACUACUCCAUGGGCGAUGCAAAGUGACGACGAAGGGAUCAGCUCAAGAUGGGUGCUGAUUCGGCCAUUGAAACUGUCAGGUGGACUGGCAGGCUUGAGAGUAGGGGCCAGCGGAGGGGCUGCUGGGCGCUUCUGUAUUUUCGUCAAAGCCUUGAGGGAAGGAUGGGGCGAGACAGAAGAAGAAGCAAGUCAAUGUGGAGAGCCUAAACUUGUUGCUGCUGAUGAUGGACAGUCAGACGAGAAGGCAAAUCGGUAAGGGUUCGAAACUGAAACUUGCAUUGUUGUUCUCUUGCGAUGGAAAUUACUUUGUGCGAGAUUGUUGCCCAAAGGAGGGGAAACCUUGAUGUUGUCAUUGUGGAAGAUGGUGUUUGAGAUUAGGCAUACGUAAACCUUAUACGUUUGCUAGAUGACCGAGAUGGAAUUCAGUCAUCAUGAGCCAGCAUAUCGGAGUGGAUGCGGUCUGGCCUUGCUUGCUGCCUUGGUGGCAGAACUUAGGGAUUGUUGUGCAUCUCAAGGAAGGAAUGUUCAGGGAGAUGAAUGUUCAGGGAGGUGGAAGCAAAAUCCAGAGACCAAGUUGAGGACAGACGAAUCUAUGAGGAUUUGUUGUGGCUUUGCUGCCUUUGUGGAGGCAGAAUUGAUGUCUUCGGUGGAGACCUUGAUGAUGGACAGUUCAGGGUGAAGAAGACAGAACAGUGGCUGAGAUAGACUUUAGUCACGUUGAGACCAGGAUUGGAGGCAUUAAAGAGGAGGCAGUACCGUGGGGGUGUGUCUCAAGGAGUCUGCACGUUGUCGAGGGACAGACUGGGUGACAGAUUCGGCAGCCGAUCCAGUGGGCUUGGCGUGGAAGCCAAAAUCUUCGAUGAAGAUGAUUUUGUGUAUUGUCUUGGAAUCAGUACGAGUGGCUAUUCUGUGCAUUGUGAUGGUUGGCAGUGAUGGAAGCAGAAUGGUAAUGACCUUGUUGGGACAAAGUGUUGCGAGUUUUCGGUUGACGAAACAUGCAGCGAAGGUUGAAAACAGUAGGGGCUGUUUUGCGUCAGCGAAAUCUUGUGUGAUGGACGAAGUUCUAGCGCAUGACAGUAGCGCAUGGGGGAACCAGGUCAGACGAAACUUGAUACUGGGAUGCUAUGUAUUGGUGCUAUGGCAGGUUACAGAUGGACUUAGAGGGACUUGCCGAAAGACUUCGACAUGAGAUGGAGUUGAUCAACGAAACUGAGUCGGUGCUAGGUUCAACAGCACUGUCUCAUUCUUAUUUCUUGCAGGUGGAGAACCUAAAAGGGCUGACGGCAAUGGGAAGUCAGAAGCCAAGGGCAAGGAAAAGGUUUCGGAAUCAUGUUUGGGCUGUUUUAUUUGUGAGGGGAAGCACUUCACAAGGGACUGCCCGUUAAGAGCACAGUUUAGUGCUACUUCCGUGGAGAAGAAUGGAGAAGGAACGGCAUACGUAAAUCCUAUACGUGUGCUAAACACUAAGUAAAGAGUUAGUGUGAAGGGGCCAGCACAGUUGAUGAAGACUUAGGCGUGGCCGAACUGCCUUGUGCGAGGCAGAUUUGGGGGAGUUUCAUAACUUGGACGAUGGACAGAUCAUGGUUUAACUCCAGGCGUGAGGAUGCGCCAACGAAAAACACACUGCAUAGAAUUCGGCAGCGAUGAACAGCAGCAGCCUUGCAUGGGCAGAGGUGAAUUCGGCAGGAUGUGUUGAUUGCUGAGAAGCGGACAAGUAAGCAAUAUUGGUAAUACUUGCAGUUUUGGGGCACGCAGAAUGGUUGGAGAACUAGAAUGUUCGUAUGGGAGCUCAUGCGGUUCUUCGAAGUGAUUUUGUGUGGAUGUAUUUUGUGAAGGAAGGGACGGAUUCCUUGGGUGCUAGGCGUGGCAUCUAAACUUUGCGAAAACAUGCUUGCGAGUAUGAUGUGUUUGACAUUUGUGGAAAACUAACGAGCCAAAACAGAAUGUGUCACAGCUUGGUUUUUCGAAACAGGUUGACAAAGAUUCGGUGGACUGAAUUUGUUGUUGAAUGUGGGAAAAGCUAAGGGGUUUCGUGCGGAGAAACGUGGAUUGUGACGAGGAACAGAUGCGGUGCAAGGGUACUUCAAUUCUGUCCGACGAGGGCGUCGGGUUCUUUUGGUGGGGGUGGUUUGUCACAGUGUCAAAUGUGCACGAGGUGCACGCUUCGGCAGGCUGGCCAAAACAAGGCCUGAGGGUGCUGGCAGCCAUGCCAUCAGUGGGAGAAAUCGUCAGCGCAGAUUUAUGCGGCUGUAGGUUCGUCAAAGGGAAAAUCGGCAGCGCAGAUUGUUGACGAACAUGGGCUGGACGAGGGACUGUCCAAGCCUCGUCAGGAGGAUAGGCUGACGAGAAUUGGGGCUAUCGCAGAAUUCAGCAGCGUAGACAGGGGCAGCCUGCACGCAGAUGCGAAUUCGGCAGCGCAGAGAUUGGCAGCACGCAUAUGCGAAUUCGGCAACGCAUUGGCAGCCUGCCCGCAGAUGCGGAUUCGGCAGCGCGCAACAACUUGUGCAAGUCAGGGGCUCGACUUGGCACGAUCUAAAACUUGGGCGAAGGAUUGUCCAAGGCAUGGGUAAAAGAGCUCUAGGCGCUGGGACGCGCCAGCGAAGGCACACUGCCUAGAAUUCGGCAGCGAUGGAUCGCGGCAGCCUUGCAUAGGCAGAGAUGAAUUCGGCAGGCAGCAUGCAAUGGUCUAUGCGAGUCUUUGAGCUUGCGACUUGGCAUGGACGUGGGGGCUUAGAUGAUGGACCUUCUAAGUCAGCAGCUGACGCAGCAGAAGCUGGCAGCUGGGGCUGCCAAGUAGACAGCCAAGAAAUGGGGGAAGUGGCAGCUUCAUGGGAGGCAGAACGUGGGAGCAUAACUGGGGUGCUUUCCAGGCCACUAUGUCCUGAAAACAUGGGAUCAUGGGUGAGAGGUAGUGCUCCACCAUGUCCUGAAAACAUGGGAUCAUGGGAGAGAGGUAGUGCUCCACUAGGUCCCGAAAAUGGGGGAUAAUGGGGAGGAGCCUUUGCAGCUCCUUUGCUUGUCUAUAAAUACAAGAUGUAGCUCUUGGUUGUGAGGGAGCAUUCGGGUGGGAAUGUUCAGAUGUAAGGGCAUUCGGUUGGGAUUGUCCAGCAUGUAGGGGCAUGCAAGAACAUGUGUAGAACACUAGUUAGAGGUAGCUUAGUGUAGCAUGCAAUCUUUGUGCAUAGCACACAUACGGAUUUGUGUAUAGUUUCCUUUGUGUAUGAGAUUAAUAAAGGUUGGGAAAGAGUUCCUGUAAAGCUUGUUGUGCACUAUGAUUCUUAUCCUUGCUUGUGUAUUCCGCUUGCUUAGUUAUUAGGCAAACACGAGUGAGAUUGGUGAGGGAAGGCUGAGUCUAGUGAGGGACUAGGCUGCCGCACGGGUUUAUUCGCGUAGCGAAAAAUACCCCCGUGACAGAGGCCAAGGUGGUCCUCGAAUAUUUUCUUCUUUUAUGUCUCGCUCACUGGGGCAAACCAUCUUUUUCAAAAUUUUGAAAAGCAUGCCAUCAAAAAGAAUUUUGUUCAAUCCCAAUCCCACAUUGUCUGUAGAAGUAUUUACUUUUGACUGUACACUUUGUUAUUUUACAAUCCCUCCCCAGUUCUGCAACCAUUUCUCUACUUUCUAUGCACUUGGCUUGCUAGAAACUAAAGAAAACACAUUGCUCUACUUGCCUGCCUUCACUCUUCAGAUUGCUCAACAAAUCCCUUGAGACCUUCUCCAUAGUUAACACAUCACAUAAUGGCUAAUCUCAAAAAUUUAGCCAUAAACAUUGAACACCUUAAGCAAUCAACGUCCCUUCCUUCACAAUAUGCAUCACCCAUAAAUCUUUCUUUUGGGAUGUCGCCGGGAGUUUAAUCUCCGAGUGUAAAAAUUAUGUAUAAAUUUCCAUUCUUUCUUUCCAUCCAUUACUUGUCCUCUAUGAAGAUUCUAUGUAUGGAAUCUCGGAAUCUUUUCGAGCAUAACUUGGGAUCAACAGCUGAGAUCAUAGACGUGGGAUUAAUUGACAAAAUUUAUUUUUAACCAUCAAUAUUGAAUAAUGGCUUAUUUUAUAAUAUAAAUUAUGUUUGAAAUAAAAUUGAUAAAAUUAAAAGACAUGAAACACAAUUAAUGACGACAUAGUAUAUUUUGAGACUAAAUUGAGGUUUUUCAAUUACCUUUAAACAUAUCUUGGUUUUAAUAGUGGACGGUACAUCCUUUGGAUUUAUUAGAAAAAACAUGCAAUGUAAAUUUAAAAAAUAUAUAUAUUUAGUUUUCAAAUACACAUAGUAAUAAAAAAUUAGAUGAUAGUAAAAAGAAAAUAAAAAUUAGUCUGAAUAAUUGGUAUCAGUUUCUAUUAUGAUAUAUCUAGCGAAGAAGUUCAAAGAAUAGAAUGAAGUAAAAUAUUCUUAAUAAAAAAGAAAAAAAACCACAGAAAAAAAUAAAAUAUGUUUUUAAUAAAUAUGAAAGAUGGAUAAAAUUAGAGAACAAGAAAGAGAAAUAGAAUCUCUUUGUAAGAACUUCUAAAAAUUUAAUUAUAAUUUAGUAUUUCUUCCUUAUAAUUAUUCAACGCUAGGUUUUAAUAUAUAAUUAAAGAGUCUCUCUCCUGAACCAGAUAAUAAAAAGAUUGUAUAACUCUUUUGUAUGAAUUGUAAAUCCAGGGACUGUUUUGGUCCCUGACUUCGUUGAUUUGAUUUGAAUAUAUUAUUUAUAAAUUAGAUAAGAUUCAAACUAAGGGGAUUAAAGUGUAAAAUAAAGAAAAACACCCUUGGCAAUCUAAAAUAAUUGAAGUAAUGAAUGCAUGAAGCAAGAUAAUUAGUGGUUGAAUACAGAUUAUAACUAAUUAUUUGUUCUGAUGAACAUUACCAAAUACAAAAAAAAAUGUUUCUAAAAUAAUAAGAUAUGAAUUAACUAUAGGCGGCAAAUAAUUAAAAGAGAUAUAAAUUUUGUGAUGAGUUAUGGUUAAUGCAGAAGCAAAUAAAAGAGGAACAGAAAUGAUAGGCAAAUAUUGUUUCUGGGGUAGUGUUUGUCACUGCGGUUAGAAAAUGUUUUUAAAUUUUUUUUAUUUUUUUUAUUUUAAAUUAAUAUAUUUUUAAUAUUUUUAAAUCAUUUUAAUAUGCUGAUGUUAAAAAUAAUUUUUAUAAAAUAAAAAAAUAUUAUUUUAAUAUAUUUUCAAAUAAAAAACACUUUAAAAAACAAUCACUCCAAACUUUUAAACACUUAAUUAAAACCCAACCUUACAGCUUCUCUCUCCAUAUAUCGUCUUCUUCUGCUUUUGUCAUGGCAUCAACUCAUCGAGUACAGGUAGAGAUACUUGAGGUCUGUCAAGUCAUCUCGUCCUUGAACUCACUUGACCCAGCCACCGAGUUAUCUUUUCUGCUCAUCCUUUUUCCUACAAACUCACCAAGGCAACACCAGAUUAUUUUAACUAAGUGAUCCUUCCAGGUAGCCCCAGGCCACAUUAAUUCUGUUUUUUUUAAAACAAACUCGGCUUAGUUAUUAAUAACAUGUUGCAUCCACAGUCUUACCACUAUAUUAUAAUUAUUUAGGAGGAUAGUUGAACCAUACUUUUUAAAAAAAUUAAUUUUUUUUUUAUACUUUUUAAACAUGUUAUUAUAUUCAUUUCUAAUUUAAUUUUUAUCAUCCAUUUCAUCGUUUUAUUUAUUUAAUAACUAAAUUUUUAAGUGAAAGCAUAUAGUCUUACGAUAAAAAGCAUUUUUUUGAAAUAAAAUAAUAUUAAAUUAACCAUGCUCAACAUUGUUCAAAUUAUUAAUUAAUUAUAAUUAACUCGAGGCCUUUAGAAGAAACAAAAUGGAAAGACAAAAUUAUCUUCCCCACAACCAUAGUUGGGAUUUUUAAAAAAUUAAUUUUAUUUUUAAUUUUUUAAAAAUAAACAACCAAUAAUAAUAUAGUUGGGAUUUUUAAAAAAUUAAGAUGAUUAAAAAAUCGUAUAAAAAGCAAUUUGAAACCAAUUAAUGUUAAAAACAAAAAAAACAAAAUGAAACAUGCCAUGAAAACAAGAGGGUCUUAUUGAAUUAUUAUUUGCUAGGUAACUAUAUAAUAUAAUCUGUUGAUGUGGAAAAUAACACUAAGUUUUUGGCAUGGCAUUGGUGAGAAGCAAAAGCCAUAGGACCAUCACCAUCCUAUGGCUUUGCCGUGCUAUUUGGUUCAAAGGGACGCAAAAAGACAUUCCAAGUGCGCAGUGUUUAUUGUCAUAAAGUUUUUCAAACUUCCAAUAUUGAGAGAGAAAUUAAAAAAAAAAAAAAAAACCAAAAGGAAAAAACCCCCACCCCAUCUUUCUUGUUCCCUUUUCCUUCUUUACAUGGCUUACUCAAUGAAAAAGCAAGCACUAAUGCACCUUCUCCACAAGCUACCCCCUAUUUGGCCACUAUAUAAAUAUAUUAUGGAAAGCAAGAUAAAAAGAAAUCUUUGAUGACUUGCAUUAUCAAUGCAAAAUCUAUUUAUAUAAUUGCUAAAUCUAUAAAGAUAAAUCGAAAAUAACUAGUAAAAUCAGUGACUUGCAUUAUCAAGCUUGACGAAUUUUAAGCUUAAUCUAUUGUAUUAUCUUUGAUGAUCACUUCACAUGCAUCUCUUGCUUGUAUUUGCAAGAGAGUGGAUACCUUCUGCAAUUGCUCAUCGCUAAUUGAUUGUUCCUUCUGCUCUCUCAUUAUUAAGCUUAAACUGUUGUAUCAUCUUAUCUUCCACAAUAAGGAUAUAAUUAAUCAAUCGGACCGACCAUUAUGUUAAGGAUAAGAGAUUGUUGGCACCUCUUUUUUCCUGUUGACAACUCAUGAUUUAUUUAUAGCAGUUAAGGAUAUAAUUAAUCGGACCCACCAUUAUAUAUGUUCCACAUUAAAGAUAUAAUCCAAUGUUUCAUAAUGAUCAUCUUGAAGUUGUUUUUUUCCGCCUUAAUGUUCAGCAUUUUUUAUUUUAUGAUCAGAUAUUAUUUGGAUGUGAUAAUAUAAAAAAUAAUAUUUUAAAAUUUUAAAAAUAAUUUUUAUUAUAUUUUUUUUAUAAAAAAAAUACUUUAAAAAACAGUUAUUAUUACUUACAUGUGAUCUUUCAAUCUUUCAUGAUUGCCUUGUAUUGAUUAAAAGGAAGAAAUAUGAAUACCUCGGCAUUCUGCCACUCAUCAUUUAUCCCUAGGGGAGGCCAGGUAGGUCUGGCCAUUGCUUGCUUCUGUUAAUAAUGAACCUCAUUCAGCUUACGCAUCAACUAUUCAUAACCUAAUUUUAGGUUAUUUUUUAAAAUUUAUUUUUUUUUAAAUAAAAAUAAAAAUAAUUAAAUAAAAAUUGACAGUGCGAAGAAAACAGGUCGGGAAAUAUAACUAUAAUUAUACCCCAUUAUAUCUAAAAAUUAAAAAACAAUGUAAAUUCAAAGUUAAAUUAAAUAAUUAUUGAACGAAUUUGCAUAAAUAUAAAGUCCAAUAACAUAAUUAAAUUUUUAAUAAGUCAAUUUAAUUUAAUCAUAGACCAAAAUGAUUUUUAAUUACGUUUAAGAAUUAAUUUUAAUCCAAUUAAAAGGUUUAAUUAAGUGAAAAGGUUUAAUUAUACUUUAAAGAGGUUAAAUUAACUUUAUUAAAGAUUUAAUUGAUGAAAAAUUGAGUUUAAAAACUCAAUUUAAAUUUAAUUAAAAAGAUUAAUAUUUUAAAUAAUCAAAUUUAAUUUUUAUCAAAUUAAUUAAUUAAAAUCAGGAUGCAAAAUCACAAUAAAUUGAAGUUUAGCUUUUAUCAUUUCAAAAGUUGCAGCCUCAUCUUCACUACUUGUAAAAUUGGGGCAGAUUAUGGACUUAACCGAGCAAUUACCACUCGAAAUUCCUCGCAAUUUAUGAAGGAAAUUUCCGUGUUCUUUCUCUGUAUAUUAUUAGAAAAACUGUCAUUGACUAAUUUAAUUGUAAAGUCUUUGCAAGAAAGCUAAAAGAAUUAGAGUUUUUUAAUUUCUAAAAUUAUAAUUUUAAAUUGUAAAAAGAAUUCAAUUAUUUUUACAAUUCAUCAACAGGUAUAAAAAACAAUUAUACCACUAGCUGUCUUCUCCCAAUGAUCUUUGUAACACUUCCAUUUCCACAUCAUGCAUGAUCAAUUUAUCAGAAUUUUAAUUAGUGGUUGAAUAUAGAUUAUAACUAAUUAUUUGUUCUGAUGAAGAUUACAAAAUUAAAAUGAAAUUACAGCUUCUCUCUCCAUGGUCUUCCUCUGCUUUUGUCAUGGCAUAAAUAAUAGGAAAUAAAUUAACUAUAUAAAUUUAGUGAGGAGUUAUGAUUAACGUAGAAGCAAAUAAAUUAAAAGAGAUAUAAAUUUUAUGAUUAACGCAGAAGCAAAUAAAAGAGGAACAGAAAUUAUAAGCAAAUAUUGUUUUCGGUUUCGACUUUAAAUCAAACCUAUAAAACCUAACCAUUACAUCUUCUCUCUCCAUCGCCUUUUCCUCUGCUUUUGUCAUGGCAUCAACUCAUCGAGUACAGGUAGAGAUACUUGAGGUCUGUCAAGUCAUCCCGUCCUUGAACUCACUUGACCCAGCCACCGAGUUAUCUUUUCCGCUCGUCCUUUUUCCUACACCAAGGCAACACCGGAUUAUUUUAACUCAGUGAUCCUUCCAGGUAGGCCCAGGUCACAUUGAUUAUGUUAAAAAAAAAAAAUCUAAUGUCUUACCAUUAUAUUAUAAUUAUUUAGGAGGAUAGUUGAACAAUACUUUUUUAAAAAAAUUAAUUUUUGACGAGUAAAAUAAUGUGGAACCAAUCGCAAUAAAUAAAGCCAAAAAAGGCAGACGAGUGUGUCUAAUUCAUGACUUGCAUUGACUAAAAAUUACCACUAGAAAUUCCUAGUUUUAUCCUAUAUAAAGAAUACAAAAAAGGCAGACGAGUGUGUUUCGUGGUGCUUUCUCGGCCUGCAAAUGAAUAGAAAGCAUAUCCUUUUAUCCUAUAUAAAGAAUAAUACAAUUAACAAAGCAUAUUUCAAUAUCCUUGCUUUACUCUCCAGCCAUAUGGCCAUUGAUAGAAAGGUGUGUUGAAGCAAAAUCUUUUUUUAUCUGUAGCGACCUCAAUAAUGUUAUCGCGUGGGACCCAGUUGUUGCGACCACCACGAAAUUACCACUCCAAAUUGCUUGUUCUUUCUCUUUCUCCGUAUAUUAUUAGAAAAACUGUCAUUACUAAUUUAAUUGGAACUUAUUUGAGAGAAAGCUAAAAGAAUUAGAUUUUUUUAAUUUAUAAAAAAAUUCAAUUAUUUUUAAAAAUAAAACAUCAACUAUUUACAUAAUAGCUAAAUAAAUCUAUUAAAAUAAAUUGAAAAUAACUAGUAAAAUCAAGCAAAUAAUCCAAAAAUAAUAAGAAAAUAAAUAUAUUUUCUAGAUCUGAUUUGAGUAUUUUUUUAUCUUGAUUGACUGACUUGUUAAGUCUCACUAAGUAUAAAUGAAGUCUGUUUGAUAUUUCUUCAUUUAUUAAUGAAAUAUUACUUCUAUUAUAUAGUUAUUGGGUUUCGAGUUGAUCCAUCGGGUCAAUAGGUAAAUAGUAUAUUCUUUGAAUUUAUUAGAAGAAACGUGUAAUGUAAAUUAUAGAAAAAUAUUUAUUUUUCUGAUAUACAUAAUAAUAAUAAUAAAUUAGAUGGUAGUAACAAAAGAAAAUAGAAAUUAAUUUGAAUAAAUGGUAUGAGUUUCUAUUUUAAUAUAUCCAGGGAAGAAGUUCGAAGAAUAGAAUGAAGUUAAAUAUUUUUAAUAAAAAAAAGAAAGAAAAAAAUAAAAUAUAUUUUUAAUAAAUAUAAAAGAUGGAUAAAAUUAGAGAACAAGAAAGAGAUAUAUAAUCUCUUUGUAAAAACUUCUAAAAUUUUAAUUACAAUUGAGAAUUUCUUCCUUAAAAAUAUCCAAAAAAUUCCUAUUAUUUAUGAAUCAAGACAACAGUAGAAUAACUUUUACAUAUUUUUCAAGUCUACUUAGAAUAAUUAUUUUAAUAUUUUAAAAUUAAAAAAAUACUGUGUAGUUGUUUUGUAUAAAUUCUAAUGUUGAGAACUCUUUUGUGCUUGGUAAAAUAUGAUUUUCAACUUUCGCAGGCGAGCACUAAAGUCCCAAACUUGAAGAAUUUCUCUUCUUUUCCUUUUGUAUUUUCUCAUUUUUUUGGCAUGCGCGCAGCUGCUUCAUGGAAAAAACGUUUCAGAUGCGGAAAAUAAAGAUAAAUGUAGAAAAUAAAAGUGGAAAAAAAAUCCCAAAUAUCGACAAACAUCACAAGAGAAGCUUGAUAUCAACCACAUGCUGCAGUCCACAGUCUUUCCAUUACAUUAUAAUUACUUCUAAAAAAAAAUUAAUUUUUAUUUAAUUAUAUGCCAUCAGCAACUACCUCAAAAUUACCACUCUAAAUUCCAGCUCAAUAUCGAUUAACAUGUGGCUAAAAAAUUUGAUAAUCUCUUAUAGGAAUCUCUUUAUUUAUUAAAUCAUCAAAAUAUCAGAGUAUAUUUCAAAAGACUAUGACUACAGUUUAUAUAUAUAUAUAUAAAAAUAGAAACAACUAAAUAGAAAAAUUAUUAUUUUUUAAAUAAAAAACUAGAAAAGCCUGAUAAUAUUAUUGAAUAAAAAAUAAAAUAGAAAUUUAAUCAAUUAAAAGUUAAAAAAAAUACUGUUUAACUGUUUUGUAUAAAUUCUAAAGUUAAAGAGCCUUUUGUGCUUGGUAAAAUACGUCACACUAAAAUUAAUAAAUAAUAACACAAGAAAGGACCAAAGUUAAUAAAUAAUAGCAUGCACGAAACUUCAUGAUACCCAUGUUUUCCACGUUUUACACUGCUUUAAUAGAUUGUUACAGCAAGAGCACAGAGAGAGGAACGGUUCAAGACAGAACAAUAAAGGAGGGGCUGACGCUCAGUGAGGACAUCCUCCAGCUCAUCUGAUCCAGCUCAAAUGGUUGCAACCACCACGAAAGGAACGCAUUAAUGUUAACGCGUGGACCCAGUUGCUGCACCAGCAUGAAAGUACCACUCCAAAUUCCAGCUCAAAUUGAAUAAUGAUUUAUUUUCUAGCAUAAAUUAUGUUUGAAAUAAAAUUGAUAAAAGACAUAAUUACACAAUUAUUGAUGGGAUCGUAUAUAAAAAUAAUUAAAUUGAGAUUUUUUAAUUAUUUUUAAACAUAUCAUGGUUUUAGGUACAUCAUGUAAAUUAUAAAAAAAAUAUUUAUUUUUCUGAUAUAUAUAUAUAUAUAACAAAUGGUGUGAAAGGGGGAAGUACUAUGAGAGCUUUAUGCCACUUUCUAUCUUUGAUGUAAUGGCUUUGGCAAAAAGAAGCAAACAAAAGUUAGUGUUCGCACUACUUUAGCCGAAGAGUCUUUCAUGGGUGCCUUGGAUUGAUUGAUAGGAAGAAGUCUGCUUUGUUUUUAGAAAGAAGCAGUCUUCAUUGCUUUAAUAAAUUAUUACAAUAAUAGCACUAAGAGAAGAGAAGAAUGAGAGAUGAUCCGAGUUUCAAAACUAUAGUUUAUAUAUAAAAACAACUAAAUAGAAAAAUUAUUAUUUUUUAAAUGAAAAAACCAGAAGAGCUUGAUAAUAUUUAAUAAAAAAAUAAAAAUGAAAAAAUAUGCCUUUUUAAGUACAAACAAAAUUAUAAAGAUUUAAUAAUACUGUAUAAAAAAAUUAAAAAUUCUAACCUAAAUUAAAAAAAAUAAAAAUAACUGAAAAAAUAUUUAUAAAAAUUACGGUAUGUAAAUCUAGGGACUAAAGAUAAUACAACUGCAUUGACCGGAGAUUUCACUUAGAAUUUCUAGUAAAUUAUAAAGGAAAUUUCCUUGUGCUUUCUCAUAUACAUGAAUUUAAAAAUUAUCGUUGCUGGAUUGACUUGCAUUGACUGACUUGCUAAGUAUUUGCUGCUCUUGUGCUCUCUCUUGUAUAUUAUUAGAAAAAUUGUCAUUGACUAAUUGACUUGCAAAAGUAUUUGCAAGAAAGCUAAAGAAUUAGAGUUUUUAAAAUUUUUAAAUUAUUAAAAACAACCAAUUAUUUAAAAAAAAAAUCAAGAAUACAACAUCAACUAUUUAUAUAAUUGCUAAAUAAAUCUAAUAAAAUAAAUCGAAAAUAACUAGUAAAUAAUUCAAAAAUAACUAGAAAAUAAAUAUAUCUCCUCAAUAUGAUUUGAGUAUGUUUUCUAUCUUAAUCGACUGACUUGCUAAGUAUUUGUUAAACAUAAAAAAACUUUACUUUAAAAGUCUAUUUAAUAUUUUUCUUACUUUUAUUAUUUUACUUCAAAGUUUCAAUUUCAUAUUUUUUUACAAUGUAUAUUUUAUUUGAUUAAGGAUAUGUUAAGCAUUGACUCGAAAUUACUACUUGAAAUUCUGGACUGGAAACUAGCUUAAACGCUGGCCACCAACUCUUUUUUGCUCGAUUCAUAGGGAGAGAUCAGGGUAGAAAAUGUGAUUUUUUAUUCAAGAUCGUGGAUAGUACGUUUAAGAUUAUGGAAAUGUGUUUUUUUGUUUACUAGAAGGAUUGGGUCGAAAAGAGGGAAAAAAGUGACAACCUUCCAUAUACGUUUAAGGAAAUCUAGAUUUCUGUAAAUUUUAGGAAAAAACAAUGUCAUUUUUGUUUUUCUUUCAAUAUCAAAAUUUUUUCUUUCCCUAAAUUAUGAUAUAAAAACUCUCAAACUUAAUUUUUACGUAUAAUAUUUAAUUAUUGGUCUAAUUUCAAUACUAACUAUAUAUUUUAUUAUUAUUAUUUGUGUAUUUUUUUUCUGAUUAUUUCUAACCACUUAAAAAAUUAAAAAAAAUAUCAAAAUAAUAAAAUAAUUAAAAUGAACUAAAUUUACUGAAAAUAUUUUUUUAUAAAAAAAUGAAGGGUAAAAAAAUUAAAUUAUGACAUAUAUCAUUAAUUAUUGAGAUUCUUAUAACAAACACGGAACUUCAUGUCACUUGAUGAUACCCAUAUUUUCAACGUUUUACACUGCUUUAAUAAAUUGUUACAAUAAUAGCACAGAGAGAAGAAUGGUUCAAGAGAAAACAAUAAUGGAAGGGAAUCAAAAUCUUUGUUUGAUUUUCUGUUGUGUUUUUGGUACAUUGGUCAACAAUAGCUUGGAAGAGUUUGGUAGCAGUAAGUAACCUUUUCGACCUCAAUAAUGUUAACGCGUGGACCCAGUUGUUGUGGAAACUUUGCAGAGGAAGAAAAAUGAUUGCAUUGCUAAUAAUUUGCAAGAGAGAAUUCUUUCUCUGAAUAUAUAGAAAAAACUAUUAUUUUUAAAAUAAAAACAACUAUAUAGAAAAAUUAUUAUUAUUUAGGUAGAAAUGAUUUAAUUAAGGAAGUAUGUUAAAAAAUAAUAUAAAUUAUAUUUUAGAGUUUAUUUUAAUAGUUUAAAUUUUUAGAUGGAUAGUUUUUGGCAUGGCCAUCGGUGAGAAGCAAAAGCAGUAGCAGCCCAUCAGGACGAUCACCAUCCUAUCGCCGACAUUCCAAGUGUGAAAGUGUAUUAUUGUCAUAAAGUUUUUCAAACUUCCACUAUAGAGAGAUAAAUAAAUAAAUAAGUAGAAAGCGCAAAAGAAACAAUACGAUAAAUUUAAACUAUACUAAAGGUCAGUUUUUCACUCUGUGUGAAUCUACAGUGAAAGUUUGAUUUUGCACAUGGUAGAUAAAUUUAGGUUUAGGAGUAUAAUUUUUUAUAUAUAUAAUUACACUAAAGAAGAAUAUUAAUCAAAUAACCCUUAAAAAAUUCCUUUUAAUUUAUGGUUUAUUUUUUUUAUCUAAUUUAAAGUGAAUUUUAUACCUGAUAAUAUUUUAUCUAAUUUUAUUACACGCUAAAAAAAUUAUGAAAACUGUAGUUCUUGUCGGAUGUAUUUCGUACGUAAUGGAAUUGUAGAUGGUUUCAUGGAAUAAUAAAAAAUAUUUUAUAUAAAGUAUAAUUUAUUUCAUGAUGUAAUAGCAAUAGUUAAAUUCAUAAUAUUUAAAUUAAAAAUCAUCAAUAUUAAUAUAUAUUUUUUAAAAUUAUUUUAUAACCUCAAUUUUAAAAACAUUAUUAACCAAACACAUUAAAUUACUUUUUCUUCAGCCUCAAUUUCAACCAUAAUUUUAACCAAACACCUAUUUUUUCAAACCAACUUCAACUAAAAGUACUUUUUAUAAAACAAUUUUUUUCAAAUCAUAACCACAACAGCUACCGCAAUACCAAACACACUCUUAAUCAACUUAAAUUUGAGUGUACCUUCCGAGUAAGACAAACCCUGUAUUUUAAAAUACUAUUGCCAAAAGAUCCCCUUAUAUAUGGAUCAAGACAACAGUAUCACUCCCAUUUUAGUAAUAGAAUAAGUUUUACAUAAUUUUCAAGUUUAGUAGAAUAGUAGUGGAUUAAUUUUUUUAAUAUUUAAAAAUAAAAAAAUACUGUGGAGCUGUUGGUAUAAAUUCUAAAGUUAAGGACUCCUUUGUGCUUGGUAAAAUACGUCAAUUUAAAGUUAAUAAAUAAUAGCAUGCACGAAACUUCACGAUACCCAUGUUUUACACUGUUUUAGAGUAUGUUUGGUAUUGCGGUAGCUGUUGUGGUUGUGAUUUGAAAAAAAUUAUUUUAUAAAAAGUACUUUUAGUUGUGGUUCGUUUGAAAAAAUAGGUGUUUGGUUAAAACCGUGGUUGAAAUUGAGGUUGAAGAAAAAGUAGUUUAAUGUGUUUGAUUAAGAAUGUUUUUGAAAUUGAGGUUAUAAAAUAAUUUAAAAAUAUAUAUAUUAAUAUUGAUGGUUUUUAAUUUAAAUAUUAUGGAUUUAACUAUUGUGGUAACAUCAUGAAAUAAAUCAUACUUUAUAUAUAAAAAAAUUUAUUGUUCUAUUAAACUAUCUACAAUUCCAUUACGUACAAAAUUCAUCCGACAAGAACUACAGUUUUCAUAAUUUUUUAGCGUGUAAUAAAAUUAGAUAAAAUAUUAUCAUGUAUAAAAUUCACUCCAAACUAGUUUUUUUUUAAAAAAAAAUGUUAAAAAAAUUAACAAAAAAAAAACUUAACACACUAAAAAAAAAAAGAAAAAGAAAAAGAAAAAGAAAAAAGAGUCCACGCAGUGCAAGUGAACAGUGCAAGAGAAUUGCACCGUUCACUAUUUUUAAGUGAACAGUGCAUCACUUGCACUGUUCAAUGAACAGUGCAAUUAACGUGAACAGUGAAAAAAGUAAGAAAUGACUGCUUUUCCUUUCCUGCGUUGCUAACGCAGAAAUUAAGUGGGGCCCAGUAAACAGUAAAUCAAUUUUUUUCUUAACCAAAUAGCUGCGAACUGCAUUUUAAAUAAAACGCAGCCGCAGUCGCAGAGCCAAACAGGCUUAAUAGAUUGUUACAGUAAAAGCAAAGAGACAAGAACGGUUCAAGACAGAACAAUAAUGGAGGAACGCAAAAAGACAUUCCCUUUCUUGUCACUAAAGAGUAGCAAAAGUAGUAGUGAUGUUUUUUUCAACUUGCAUGUCUGUUAUGACUAUUUAUUAUGGGCUAUGCAUGACAUGGUCAGGGCAGCCUCUAAAAUCAUCCGAUCAGUCAAUUAUGCCAAGCGAUAGGCCUAGCUGAAGAGAAAUUUGUUGCCCAAACCUUGACUAACCUAGCAUGUCUAAGAGGAGACUUUGACUCCAAAACUAGCAAGUAAAUUUCCUCGUCUUUUGUUUAAUUUUUCUCAAGAUGAAGAAAUGGCUGGAUUAAUUUUCAUAUACGAAAAUCAAAAUUUUCUUAAUGGGAUCUUAAGAAAAUUUCUUUUCUUGUCCAAAUCAAGCCUCGAGAAAGCAUGUGCAAUUUAUAUAAGAAGCAAAUUCUAUUUCUUGACUUGUAUUUGCCUUUUGGAAUUUUCUGUACAAAUUUCUUGCCAGGAGUUGGAGAUAAUUCAAUGAACUUCCCCAAAUUUUGAAUUCCCCUCCUGUUCUGCGGUGGUAUCAUAGGACUUCAUUGCACUAUUCUGUGCAUGGAUACUUUGGAAAACAAAGGCUCUUAGCUGAAACCAAAGAACACUCUCUGGCACAUUCCAUUCACUAUACCAGUAAAUAGACAGAUAGAAAUGAAAAUGUUGAUGGAAAAUAUUUUAUUAAUAAUUUCAGAUAAAAAUAACAAUAAAAAAUUUCAAAUCUCUUAAAAUUCUGACCACAAUAGCAACAAAAUAGAAAAAAAUAAAACGGAUCAGAUUGCUUUUGAUGCAUACUGUUUCAUUCUUUUUCUCACUUCUUCGACGUAUUUUCAAGAAGAUGGAAAUUCUUGAUCUUAGUUAGAAACAAAUUGGUUUUUCAAGAAGAGAUUAUUAGUUGGGAUAUUGCAUUUGAGUUGGUUCUUCACCAUUUAAUGUUAUAAUUUAAGAUAAUUGAUGAAAACUAUUGAUAUAUACAGGAAAGUUCAGAAAGCAUCUUUAAUUGAUUUGAUAAGGAAAGUCUUGUUUGUUUUGGCUAUAAGAUUUUUCUAUGUAUUAUUGCAUGCUUUUUACUGCUUUUUGGCCUUUCAUUCGAAGGAUAUAAAAAUAAUAAGAACAUUUUUUAUUCAUUAUCAAUGCUUGAUUUUAGCACGAUAAAAUCCAAGGGAUUGAUGGUCUGGUGUUUGUGGUGCUGGUAAAUGUAAGAACGGACCGAGAGAUGAAAUAGGAAAAACCCAUGUCUAUUAGUUGGCACCGGUGAUCAUUAGGCCCUUGCCGCCCACGAAAUCGCUUUAUCCUGUUGUUAAUUUUUUAAUGAAGCGUAUCAAGUGUUUGAUAAAAUUCCUUAACUGGAAAAAAAAAACCUUUUUUUAAUGAAGCGUAUCAAGUGUUUACACUUUACAGUGCUUUAGAAUAAGUUUGGUUUUUAAAAUAUUUUUUAAAAAAAUACAUCUAAUUAAUUUUUUGAUGAUUUAAAAAUAAUAAAAAUAUAUUUUAGAAUAAAAAUAUAUUUUUUUAAAUACUUUUACACCACAAAAACAACUACUUUUCAAGUCUUCCUACCCAUCGUUAAAUCAAACCUAUAAAACCUAACCAUUACAGUUUCUCUCUCCAUCGUCUUCCUCUGCUCUUGUCAUGGCAUCAACUCAUUAAGUACAGGUAAAGAUACUUGAUGUCUGUCAAGCAUAGGUUUUAGAACCGGCUUGAGGGCCUGGUUAAAUAUUUGGGUUUCAAGUUUUUAUCUGGUUAAUUUUUUUAAAAAAAUUAAAAUAAUAUUGUUUUAGUAGAAGAAUAAAAAUUAACAGGUUGUAAUUAGGUUUUUGACCGGAUCUUAUCAAGUUAAUCUGCCGGAUCACACCAGGUUUUUUCUUUCUUUUUUUUUCCAACCCGGCUCAGUUCCAGUUGCAAGUCAGCCGGAUCCUGAAUCAACCUACCAAAUCAGGCCGGGUUUCAAAUCUAUGCUGUCAAGUCACCCCGUCCUUGAACUCACUUGACCCAGCCACCGAGUUAUCUUUUCCGCUCAUCUUUUUUUAUAUCCUGUUCUUGAAAGUCGCUCCAGCUGAACACGCUUAUUCCUCUACAAACUAUUGCAUUUACCAAUACACGCUUGAGAAAUUUCCUUGCUUUUUUUUCCUUGCAUGUGUUACAUUUUUGUCUUUUAUAAUUAUAAUUAUUGCAUUGCUAAUAAUUUGCAAGAAAUAAUAUUCUUUCUCUGAAAAAGGCUUGAAGCAUUAUAGAUAAUCUCUUAUAGGAAUCUCUUUAUUAAAUCAUCAAAAUAUCAGAAAAUAGCGGAAAUGAUAAACUGUGCAGAAUUGAUGCAGUCUUCCUUAAUGCUUUCAACCUUUUACACUGAUUGAGUCCUCUAGAAAACUAUUAGAUGCCAUAAAGCAAGAGAGGAAUAUAUUUUGGAGUGACAUAGAUAUUAUGUUUUAAAAUGAAAUGUAUUUAAAUUUAUUUUUAAAAAUUUAUUUUUAAAAAUUUAUUUUUAAUGUUAACACAUCAAACUAAUCUAAAAAUAUUUAAAAAAUCAUUUAAAAAAAUAAAACAUUCAGCAACCACCAUGAAAUUACCACUCUAAAUUACCACAUAGAUUGUUGCUUGCUCUUUGACAAUUAUUGCAUUUCUAAUAAAACAUACUUUCUCAAUUUCCUUCUUUUUUUUCUUUUUUAACUAUACUCAAUCUGCACCUGCCACGAAAUUACCAAUAAGUAAAUUCCAGCUCAAUAUUUUCCAAUACGCACUUUUGAGAAAUUUCCUUGCUUUUUUCUUUCCUUGUACGUGUUACCUUUUUAUCUUUUAUAAUUAUAAUUAUUGCAUUGCUAAUAAUUUGCAAGAAAUAAUAUUCUUUCUCUGAAAAGGGCUUGAGAAAACCCGAAGCAUAGUAUAUAAUCUCUUAUAGGAAUCUCUUUGUUAAAUCAUCAAAAUAUCAAAGUCUGUUUCCAAAGUUAUGACUACAGUUUAUAUAUAGAAACAACUAAAUAGAAAAAUUAUUAUUUUUUAAAUAGAACAACCAGAAGAGCUUGAUAAUAUUUAAUACAAAAAUAAAAUAGAAAAAUUAUUCCUUUUUAAGUAGAAACAAAAUUAUAAAGAUUUAAUAAUACUGAAUAAAAAAAAUUAAAAUUUCUAAACUAAAUUUAAAAAAAUAACUGAGAAAAUAUUUAUUAUCCCAAUAGUUCUAAUAUUAAAAUCUCAUUUAUCAUAUGUUAGAUCUAUCAAAUAAUAAUAAUUGAACAGUUUUUAGUGAAUUAAGUUCAAUUCAAGAUAACAAAAUAAAGUUUGUUGAGGCUUAUCUUGGAACCGGUAUUAAUUAGUGAGAAUAAGAAAAUCCUAUACAAAUUAUACAAAAUUAAUUAUUAAUUAUCGAUAUUUAUUAUUGAUAAUCAAUAAUGAAUAAUAGCUUAUUUUCUAGUAUAAACUAUGUUUGGAAUGAAAUUGAUAAAAGACAUGAUACACAAUUAAUGAUGGGAUCAUAUAUAUAAAUAAUAAAAUUGAGAUUUUUCAAUUACCUUUAAAUAUAUCAUGGUUUUAAUAGGUGAACGAUACAUUCUUUGAAUUUAUUAGAAGAAAUGUGUAAUGUAAAUUAUAAAAUAAUUUUUUUUUUAUAUACAUAAUAAUAAUAAUAAAUUAGAUGAUAAUAAUAAGAAAAUAGAAAUUAAUUUGAAUAAAUGGUACGAGUUUCUAUUCUAAUAUAUCUAGGGAAGAAGUUUGAAAAAUAGAAUGAAGUUAAAUAUUCUUAAUAAAAAAAAAAGAAAUAAAAUAUCACAGCAUAAAGAGAUGUGGUAAAUCUUAUGUUGGGAGACUGCUCUUCCAAGGAUCCUACGGUUGCGAGCCAUACACGCUUGAGAAAUGGUGUGUUAUCCUUGCGACCAUAAAAUAUCCUUGCGACACAUCUUCCAAGGAUCCUAUGGAUAGCACUUGCGAGCAAUCUUGUUUUUUCAAUGCCGCCAUUCAGCAAGUCCACAUGUCAUGAGUCUACACGGCAUCAAAUUUGCAAAAUCAUAUGGCCCAUUGAUAAAAAGAUGUGUCGAAGCGAAAUCUGUUUUAGGCUUUUAGGUUGAUUUUAUAUGGGUCUCUGACUUGGCUGAUUUUAUUUGAAUAUAUUAUUUGAUUAGUUCAUUUAUAGGUUGACUCUACUAUAUAUUCUGCCUUGCAUUGACAGGAAAUUUCACUAGAAAUUUCAAGUAAUUUACACAGGAAAUUUCCUGCAUGUGUUACAUUUUUAUCUUUUAUAAUUAUAAUUAUUGCAUUGCUAAUAAUUUGCAAGAAAUAAUAUUCUUUCUCUGAAAAGGGCUUGAGAAAACCCUAAGCAUUGUAGAUAAUCUCUUAUAGGAAUCUCUUUAUUAAAUCAUCGAAAUAUCAGAGUAUGUUUCCAAAUACUAUUACUACAAGAAACAACUGAAUAGAAAAAUUAUUCUUUUUUAAAUAAAAAAAAACUAGAAAAGCCUGAUAAUAGUAUUGAAUAAAAAAUAAAAUUGAAAUUUAAUCAACAAUAAUUUCUCAUCUCCAAUAAAAAUUUAGGUUUAUCAUUUGGGUAACACAAACCCUGUAUUUUAAAAUACUAUUGCAAAAAAUUCCUAUUAUAUAUGAAUCAAGAUAACAGUAAAUAACUUUUACCUAUUUUUUCAAGUUUGUACGUAGAAUAGUAGUGGAAUAAUGUUUUUAAUAUUUGAAAAUUUUAAAAAAAAUACUGUGUAACUGUUUUGUAUAAAUUCUAAAGUUAAGGACUCUUUUGUGCUUGGUAAAAUACCUCACAAUAAAAUUAAUAAAUAAUAACACAAGCAAGGACCAAAGUUAAUAAAUAAUAGCAUGCUUUUAUAGAUUGUUACAGUAAAAGCACAGAAAGAAGAACGGUUCAAGACAGAACAAUAAUGGAGGAACGCAAAAAGACAUUCCCUUUCUUGUCAUAAAGUUUUGAAUAGUACUUUUGUGUAUUAUUUUCGUAAAGUUUUUCAAACUUCCAAUAUUUACAUGGCUUACUCGAUGAAAAAGCAAGAGCAAAAGGAAACGCACCCCAUAUUUAUUGUUCCCUUUCCCGUCUUUACAUGGCUUACUCGAUGAAAAAGCAAACACCCCAUUAGUUGUUGCCACCAAAUUCCAGUACACGCUUGAGAAAUUUCCUUGCGUUUUUUUCCCUCUACGUACGCGUUACCUUUUACCUCUUUUAUAAUUUUGAUUAUUGCAUUGCUAAUAAUCUGCAAGAAAGAUGAUGAAAAUUUUUUAGUGAAUUCAAAAUAACAAAAUAAGGUUUGUUGAGGCUUUUCUUGGAACCUCGCUUGGGGUUUAAUUAGCGAGAAUGAAUUCUACAAAGAUAUCGGACUGUGAGUUUGUUUCUAAUGCAAUUCACAAUAAUGACCUUGUGGAUGGACUCUCAGAAUACGUUAGUGAGACAGAAUAUAAUGAGGUUAAUAAUGGGCUUCUACAACUCAUCAUUUAUCCCCAGGGAAGGCCAGGUGGGCCUAGGCCACUGCUUCUGUUAAAAAUAAACUAAAAUAACACUUGUAAGGUGAUACAUAUUCUUGCAAUAAAUAAAGCCAGCAAAGGCAGAUCUGUGUGUCUAUAUAUACAUGAACUGCUGAUUCGAUUUGAACACCCCAUUUCUCCGAUUCAAUAACUUCAGUUGCAAAACUUCUAUCUCCGAUUGCGGCAAUUUCAUAGCUAACUCUUUGUUAUACACAGGUAUAUAAUUUCAUAGCUAACUCUUUGUUAUACAGAGGUAUAUACGGCUAACUCUUCUUUUCUUCUUUCUUGUUUUAAAUAUUUCAUGUCUUUACCAAUAACAAUAAUGUGAAAGCUUUGUAUGUUUCAUGUUUAACUUCAGUUGCUAUUGUCUUAUGCUCUCUCAUUAUUAAGCUUAAAUUGCGAAUUGAUUGUUCCUUCAAUUCUGCAGCUGAAAUGGCAGAGCCAGAGUCUUCUCGUUCUAUACCAGAAUGGACCUAUGAUGUCUUCUUGAGUUUUAGAGGAGAAGACACUCGCAAGACAUUUACAGAUCAUCUAUAUGCUGCCUUAGUCCAAGCAAAAAUCCACACUUUUCGAGAUGAUGAUGAACUUCCUAGAGGAGAAGAAAUCUCCGAUCAUGUCCUCAGGGCUAUUCAAGAAUCAAAGAUAUCCAUAGUUGUCUUCUCAAAAGGAUAUGCUUCUUCUAGAUGGUGUCUCGAUGAACUAGUAGAGAUUCUGAAGUGUAAAAGGAAGAAAACCGGUCAGAUUGUUCUUCCUAUAUUCUAUGACAUUGAUCCUUUAGAUGUGAGAAAACAGACUGGCAGAUUUGCAGAAGCAUUUGUUAAACAUGAAGAGCGUUUUGAAGAGAAGCUGGUGAAGGAGUGGAGAAAAGCUCUUAAGGAGGCAGGAAAUCUAUCUGGAUGGAAUCUCAAUGAUAUGGCAAAUGGGUAUGCCUUUUUUUCUCUAAGAUUCACUUGCACACAUUUAUGGAGUGAUUAUACUUUACAUUUUUCAAUGUGAAACAAUAAAAUACUUAAUUGGCUCGCUAUCAAUGACUUGCUUUUGUCUAUGAGCAGGCCUGAAGCAAAUUUUGUCAAAGAGAUUAUCAAGGAUGUGUUGAAUAAAUUAGGACCCAAGCACUUAUAUGUUCCUGAGCACCUAGUAGGUAUGGAUCGGCUUUCUCGCAAUAUUUUUUACUUUCUAAGUACUGCAAUAGAUGAUGUACAAAUUGUGGGCAUACAUGGGAUGCUAGGAAUAGGAAAGACGACUAUAGCAAAAGUUGUAUUUAAUCAACUCUGCAAUGGAUUCGAGGGAAGCUGUUUUCUUUCGGAUAUAAAUGAAAAAUCAAAACAAUUCAAUGGUCUGGCUCUUUUACAAGAGCAACUUCUUCAUAAUAUUUUAAAACAAGAUGUUGCUAACAUCAAUUGUGUCGAUAGAGGAAAGGUUCUGAUCAAAGAGCGACUUUGUCGCAAAAGAGUUCUUCUUGUUGCUGAUGAUGUGGCUCGUCAGGACCAGCUAAAUGCUUUGAUGGGAGAGCGAAGUUGGUUUGGUCCCGGAAGUAGAGUAAUUAUUACAACAAGAGAUUCAAAUCUUCUUCGUGAAGCAGAUCAAACAAAUCGGAUCGAAGAAUUGGAACCAGAUGAGGCCCUUCAGCUUUUCAGCUGGCAUGCCUUUAAGGACACCAAGCCAGCAAAAGAUUAUAUUGAGCUUUCAAAGAAAGCAGUUGAUUACUGUGGAGGACUUCCUUUUGCUCUUGAGGUUAUAGGAGCUCGUCUGUCCGGGAAAAACAGAGUUACGUGGGAAAGUGAAAUUGACAACUUGAGCAGAAUUCCAAACCAAGACAUUCAAGGAAAGCUUCUAACAAGUUAUCACGCACUUGAUGGUGAACUACAAAGAGCAUUCCUUGAUAUUGCAUGCUUCUUUAUUGGUAAAGAGAAAGAAUACGUCGCAAAACUGCUAGGAGCCCGUUGCGGUUACAAUCCAGAAGUUGUUUUGGAAACUCUCCAUGAAAGGUCUAUGAUUAAAGUAUUGGGAGAGACGGUAACCAUGCAUGAUCUAUUACGAGACAUGGGAAGGGAGGUCGUUCGUGAAUCGUCUCCAAAAGAACCUGGAUAGAGGACCAGAAAUUGGAAUCAAGAGGAUGCAUGGAAUGUGCUUGAGCAGCUGAAGGUAAAAAAAAAUAGUCAUGGAACACUUGACUGAUCAAAGAAAAAAAAUUAUUUAUUUUCUCUUAUUGAGUUCCAUAGUUUAAACUUUCUCGUUACACAUAAUUUUUAGUUUGGUAUAUAUAUUCUACUGUUUUUUAUAAUCUUUAUAUUUAUAUUUUUAAAUAUAAGUACACAUAGCAUCAUUUGAAUCUUUUGAUUGAAAGUAAAAGCUUUAUCUCGUAAAAUCAUCUCUAGAAGGUUUUAUUUGGUCAAUCUUCAAAAACUUAGGGAUUAAAAAAAAAAAACUUCUUACUUGAUUCAAUUUGGAAACCUCAAGGAGAAAAUUGAAACAAGUAUAACCUCACGGGGAGAAGUUGAAUUCUCCCCAAACUCAGGGGUUAAUUAAAAUUAACCUUUAAAUUUCUAUCCAUGCCCAGUUGCCCACGAAAGAGAAGAGGUACAUCCACGUGAAGCUCAUUUUGGGUUUGGGUUAGUUGAAAAUAUCUAGUGGGUGGGCCUUUUUUCUGUUUUUCUGUUUUUUUUUUGUUUUUAUGCACAGAAUACAUGAAAUAAUAAAUUUAAAUCCAACAAAUCCAAUAGAGAUAUAAUAUUGUAUACGAUCAACAUGAAAGAAUUUUACGAAAAGACAUGAAAAUAUCAUAUAUUAUGUGUCUCUGCCAGUCAUAAUUGUAUUGUUUUGUGUAUUAUCAAUUAUCUUUCUUGUAUAGGAAAUAUCAUGUUGGAUUUUGCUGAUGACAAACUUAAUCCUAGAGAUUGCAUCUGCGGUUUUUGACCAGACGGGUUAUGCAUUAAUUGGCAUGGUGUUGGCAUUUGUAGCUUUGCUUCUUGCUGCCGUUGAACUCAUUCACAUGGCUCGAAAGGAAAGAACUAAACGGGUGGGCCUAUUGCCACCUUUUAUUCUCCAUGCAACUAGAAAGCCUGUUGGCUGGUGCUGUCUGGCAAUGUGUUUAUUCGACUGUGGAGUAUAUGUAUACUCGUCAGAAGAAAGAUAAUCCAAUUAAGAUGUGUCUUUUACCUUUCAUUUUCUUAUUAUGCGUGGCGAUUUCCAAAUUAUUAGUCGACAAGAGUUCCGUUGUAAAUAGUUCUUAGCAAUAGUAUUUUCUUUGAACUAGAAGGAAUUUCUAGUAUUGUGUUCUAAGGACUCUUUUUAGUGGGAAUGAGUCAAAGAUUUUGAUUCCUAGAUUUUCUUAUCGAAGACCCAGACUUGUAAUGCAAUUAAGACACUAUAUUUUAGACAGUGAGCAUGAGUUGAUGUGGACAAUCUAGCUAUUAUUGAUAUGCGGUUCAGUAACCUCAAAUAACUAUGAAAGGAAAAAACUGUCAUUCACUGAUUUAAUUGGAAAUUAUUUGCGAGAAAGCUAAAAAGAAUUAGAGUUUUUUAAUUUAUAAAAUUAUAAUUCUAAAUUCUAAAAAAAAUUCAAUUAUUUUUAAAAUUAUUUUAAAAAAUAAAACAUCAACUAUUUAUAUAAUAGCUAAAUAAAUCUAUUAAAAUAAAUUGAAAAUAACUAGUAAAAUCAAGCAAAUAAUUCAAAAAUAAUAAGAAAAUAAAUAUAUUUCCUAGAUCUAAUUUGAGUAUAUUUUUUAUCUUGAUUGACUGACUUGUCAAGUCUUUAUUCCGUAUAAACAAAUUUUAUUCUAAAAGUCUGUUUGAUAUUUCUUCACUUAUCUAUGAAAUAUUACUUCUACUGUACAGAAUAGAAAUAAAAAUUAGAUGAUAAUAUUUAUUCUAAAAGUCUUCGUUAAGGAUAAAUGAACUUUAUUCUAAGAGUUUGUUUGAUAUUUUUUUAUUUAUUAAUGAAAUAUUACUUCUACUGUAUAGUUAUUGGGUUCCGAGUCGAUCCACCGGGUCAAUAGGCGAACAGUAUAUUCUUUGAAUUUAUUAGAAGAAAUGUGUAAUGUAAAUUAUAAAAAAUAUUUAUUUUUCUGAUAUAUAUAAUAAUAAUAAAUUAGAUGAUUGUCACACCCGACAUCGCGGCGACCUUAAAAAUUUAAUUCUUUGGAAAAGAACAGAUUUCUGGCAUCCUAUUCUUUAAUGGGGAUAUUCUUUGUUUAAGGAGUCGCCACCUAGUAUUAUGGUCACUAGGAACCCUAACUGGUCAACAGAGAGUCUACGGUUUGGGACUGGUUACGUAAAAGGGAAGAUAUUAUCACCCCUUAAACGUCCUGCCUGAGGCAGGCUGCACUGCUAGUUUUAUCUUUAAUUGCUAAAUGUUUAUUAGUUUACGAUAUGAUAAUUUACUUAUAAUAUUCCCGACUCUGGCGUCAGUGAAUAUUAAACUACGAAUACUUCCAACUCUGGCGUUGGUCAAUAUCACGUAGCUAUAAAAUAAAUUAGAUUAAUAUUUUUUAUUUUCCCGGCUCUAGCGCCAGUGAAUAAAUAAACAAAAUAAAAUUUGAUUUUUUUACGCAUGCAUAUUUUUUUAUUUUUUUUAGCUAAAUAAAAUAAAGUACAACAAAUAAAAAUAAUAUAAAUUUAAACCGGUAUUUUUAUUCCUGACUCUGGCGUCAGUGAAUAAACCAAUAAAUUUACAUUAUUUUUAUUCAUCUAAAUAAAUUUAAUUUUUUACGCAUGCACAUUUUUUAUUUUUUAGCUAAAUAAAAUAAAGUACAACAAAUAAAAAUAAUAUAAAUUUAAACCGGUGUUUUUUAUUCCUGACUCUGGCGCCAGUGAAUAAACCAAUAAAUUUACGUUAUUUUUAUUCAUCUAAAUAAAUUUAAUUUUUUACGCAUGCACAGUUUUUAUUUUUUAGCUAAAUAAAAUAAAGUACAACAAAUAAAGAUAAUAUAAGUUUAAACCGGUAUUUUUAUUCCUGACUCUGGCGCCAGUGAAUAAACCAAUAAAUUUACAUUAUUUUUAUUCAUCUAAAGAAAAUAAAAUACAACGAAUAAAAAUAAUAUAAAUUUAAACCGGUAUUUUAUUCCUGACUCUGGCGUCAGUGAAUAAACCAAUAAAUUUACAUUAUUCUUAUCCAUACAUGCAUAUUUUUUUAUUUUUUAUUUUUCUGCCUUUUAUUUUUUUAUUUUUUUUAUUAUAUAUUUUUUUAACUGGGCGGGGCCCGGCCCGGCCCAGAAAAAAAAAAAUUGGGGGCUGGGCCCAGCGCAGCCCACAUGGACUGGGCUGGACCCAGCCAGCCCAGCCCGGUCACUGGCCCAAGCCAGUGACCCGGCUGGGUAAAAACUAAAGGCACGCGUGACUUAUUCACGCGUGCCCGAACACUGGUGAAGGUAAUUAAAUUACCUUCACACAGUGUUCUUGCAGCACAUAAUUAUCUUUUGAAAUGAAAAUGCAGAGGAGACGGGGUCAUACCUGCUUCUGGAGACCGAAGAUGCUGCUUCUGGAGACCGAAGAUGUUGCUUCUGGAGACUGAGAUGCUUGCAGCGCUGCUUGAUGAUUUUCGCCUAAUGUUCCUCUGGUUUUCCUUCUGUGAAUACUUAUCUAUGCUUUCCUUCUUGAUUUCUCUGUAACUUCUAAAGCUACAAAGAAGAUUCCGGCUUGUUGUGAGUGUUCUUUGGCUGAAUCCGGGUUUUUUUGUUUGCAGGUUCGGAGACAAUUUCAAGGAUAAUUCUCCUUACCGUGUCCUGCCUUCUUGUCCUCUCCUUCUCUGUGUAUUUGGAUUUGUGCUCUGUUUUCUCUGCCUUUUUCUUUUAACUCUGUUUUUCUGGGUUGAUUUUUUCGGUUCUCUCCCUCCUUUUCUUACUGUGUAUAAUUUCUCUGGUUUUCUUGCUUUUUUUCUUGCUCUCCCUCCUUUUUUUUUCUUUAGGUGUUCUUCUCCCUUUUAUAAACCCAGCCGAUUGCCCCCCAUCAGUCCUGCCUUUGCAGGACUGUUAUCUUCCACGAACGAGAUCGUGGGCGAGAGACGUGGUCCUCGAUUGGAUUGAAUCCGUUGCAGAUUUUCCAGCCUGUUGAAUCGGGAUGGAGAAGACGAACACGACUGUUCUACCCGCAGCGGCGACGUUUCGGCAGCAAUGGAUUUCACCAGCAACGACGCCGUUUCAAGCAGCAAAUGGACAUUUUUAUUUUGAUCCCUGAACUGUUGGAAAUUCGGCAAUUGGACCUUAAAAAAAAUUCCACUUAAUUUUGUCCCUUUGGAUUAAUUUCAAUUAAAUCCUUAAAUUAUAACACUGUUUACAAAACAGUCCUUAAUUCCUGGAUUGUUCAAUUUAGCCCUUAAUUAAAUCUUUAACCUUUCAAAAUUGAUCAAUUAACUCUCAAAUUACAUCCUCAAACUUCAAAUUUUGUUGUUUUAACCCCAUUGGCAACUAUAUUUAAUUUUUUUAUUAUUUGUUCAAAAAUUGGUUAUGACAGUUGCUCCCUCUUUAUAAUAUUUACAAUACAAAGAUAUUGAAAAAUUUCAUUUUUCCUUAGCUUUGUGUAGUAAAUUUAUAAAGAAAAGUAGAUAAAAAAAAAAUCUUGAAAACAGUAGAUUGACAUAUGACUUUUUACGGAGAGAAUAAGUUAUUUGGAAGAUGACUUUUUUUUUUUUUUUUGAAACUGAUCAAAUUAUUUUGGGUAACCUACCUAAUGAUAAAAGAAACGCGAAGAAUUUCGCGAGUGGUCUAAUUGUUCCAGGCGACCUACCCAAUGAUUGAAAAAUACGAGGAUUUUUUUUUUUGUGAUGGUAUAUUGUAAUGGGUUACCGGCCCAGAAUAAAGUGGUUUAUUGUAAAGGGUUACCGGCCCAAAUGGUCACAUUGUAAUGGGUUACCUGCCCAGUGUAGGAUGGUAAAUUGUAAUGGGUUACCAGCCCAGUCUAGGAUGGUAAAUUGUAAUGGGUUACCAGCCCAGUUGGUCACAUUGUAAUGGGUUACCUGCCCAGUUGGUCACAUUGUAAUGGGUUACCAGCCCAGUUGGUCACAUUGUAAUGGGUUACCUGCCCAGUGGAUAAAUACGUGGAUUUUUUUUUAAUAAGAUAUGAUAGGGCUCGAAGACGCACUCCAAAGGAGGUAGGAUAGGAAAUGCACUACCUUUGAUGUUCGAGGGCUCGAAGGCGCCCUCGAAAUGGAGAUAAAACGAGGGCUCGAAGACGCGCUCGAAUGGAGAUAAGAUGAGGGCUCGAAGGCACGCUCGAAUGGAGACAAGACGAGGGCUCAACGGCACGCUCGAAAAAGAACUCAAAAGGAGGUAGGAUAGGAAAUGCACUACCUCAGGAGUGGAAACUGAAAUGUGGUGGAAAAAUAUAGAGAGAGAUUUUUUUAGGUGGCCUAAUUCUCAUGGGCGGCCUGCCUAGGUUGAAAAAUUCUCAAAAGCGAAAAUUUUUCAAAAGCAAUUUCAAUGUUGGCCAUCCACUUGAUGGAUUCCGUUAGAAUUUUCUCUAAUAAAAUUUGCAGCACUCAUUGUCCAAUGUUUCAAAGUUUAAAUGAUAUGCAUGCAUCUUUACCUGACUUGAAAUAUAGGCCCCCCAUUUCUUCUUAAUCUUCUCAUUGUAUGGUUGAUGAGAUCUUGCUAUCUGAUUUGAGUCAUCUUUGUCGUUUGGAUUUCUAGCGCACUCGAGUUAGCCCAUAUAAGACUUUUUCCAGAUUUGUUUGCACAACUCAGCCUUUGUGGUGCCCAUCGUGACCCACAUGCUUGAUGGACUCGUCAAAUAAUUUGAGAGGAUCAUUCAUUACCCCUUGACUCACUGCUAAAAACAUUCGGUGUCACUAGCUGAAAGGAUCAAGCUGUCUUUCAUAAACCAAAAUGCCCCCUUGUCUUGUUGAAGGAAAUUACCAUCUCUUUUUUUUUUAGAAUUUUCCUUCUGAACACAAUAUCCCCUUGUAUUGGUCAUUCCCCCUAAGUGUGCUCUGUCAGCGACUUUAGACAAAUAAUGGUUUUAAGAGACCCUUUUCUCAUUUCUAUCCUUUUUCAGUUUGGUGAAGAAGUAUGGGUCUAGAAUAAAUCUUGAAAUCUUGAUCUUGCAUUUUUGAAAACAAAAAUUAUUUCAAUAUGAGUCUAAAACAAUUUACUUUCAAAAUCUUGCAACUCCUUGGUUAUUUUCUUUCUUGGAAAAGAGAUUAUUUGCUCUUGUGUUUGGCAAUGAGAUCUUCGGUGAAAAAUACGUUAUGAGAUGACCUUUUGUGUCAAAGUGAAGGGCUCGAGAGAAAGCUCGAGAUUUUGUAUGAGAAAAACAUCUCUUUUUAACUUUUAUUUUUAUCAGCAUGAAUAAUAAUGGGUAGUUUAUUCUUGAUGCCAUGAAUUUCAUGAAAAACUAUUCUUUGGAUUUUGAGAGCAUUGUUUAUUGUUCCAGGUUGCUUGCUUGCUUGAUUAGAAAGGACUUCUACAAGCACGUAAUGUAGGCUGUGGUUUUUGGCUAUGAAAGAAAAGGACUCGUAGGGCUCAAAGAGUGUUUCAGGGUUUCAAAGACUGAAGAUCACUAUUAAUAGUUUGACUCUUGACGUCAUUCAUAUUUUCUUUUGCCGCUCUUCUUUGAUUUGCCCUUUUUUCUUCUUUCUUUUUCAUUGCUUUGCUAGAGCCUACUCAUUUUAUCUUGGUUAUCACUUUUUCUUGUGAUUUGGGCAUGCCCCCUAGCACUUGAGUUUCUUGGGCUCUUUUGCCUUUUGGCUUUCUCACGGCUUUAUCAUUUUUCUUGAUCAUUGAAAUUUCACUUGCCCCCAGUGUGGGGUGUGAUCUUAGUCAGGAUUUUUAAUGAAAGAAAAAUUAUUCAGGCUCAAAAAGGGAUCGCAAGGGAUGUACUUAUUUUAGAACGUGAAAGGAAUAACAAAGAUGGCCUUUCCUCAUUUCAAACGUAAGCAACUAUGAUCAAUAAACUUUGACCUCAUCCAGUGUGAUGGUUUAGUCUUUACGAGGAUGCAUUUCAUGAGUUAUGAGCAACAAGUUCACUACAUACCAUUAUUCAUACAUUUAAAAACACAUGAUUCAAGAGUUAUGGGAUAAGGGUAUUUAUUCAUUUUUUUUUUGUUUUUAGAGUUUGGUCACCUCUAUGUAGGAGUUGCUUGAUUCAUUUGUCAUUCUACACGUAGAAUGUCAAAAAUCAUUUUUGAAUAAACAUCAAAUUACUUUUGAAAUCAAAAUACCAGAUCAAUUUUUCAAAACUCAAAUAAGAAAACUGAUUUUGGUAAAAGUAAUGAAUUCAAUCUAUGAGAUCAUGCAAGGCUUCAAGAGUGUAUUUACUGAUUCUUUAAUAUCAAUAACAUUUAUGAGAGAGAAAAGAUAUGCAAAGUGAAUUUCUUGGCAAAACUUUUAUUGAUUUGAUGAGAACUUAUACAAUCAUGGAUAAUAUUUCUUCACAGAAUUGGAAUUCACUGGCCUACUCAAAUCUUCUCCAUCCAUUCCUGUCAGUAUCAACGCCCCUCCAGAGAAUGCCUUCUUUACUACAUAUGGACCUUCAUAAUUAGGUGCCCACUUGCUAUGAUUCUCACUAGGUAGUAAUAGGAUUUUUCUCAAUACAAGAUCUCCUUCUUUAAACUCUCUUGGUCGAACUUUUCUCUCAUAGGCUCUUGCUAUCCUGUUUUGAUACAGUUGGUGGUGACAAAUUGCAGCUAAUCUCUUCUUACUGAUCAUAUUUAGCUGUUCGUAUCGUAUCUCAGCCCAUUUAGCCUCUUCUAGCUCAGAUUCCAUGAGAACCCUUAGAGAAGGAAUCUCUACUUCUAAAGGCAUCACUGCCUCCAUUCCGUAAACUAACGAAUAAGGUGUAGCCCCCGUUGACGUCCUUAUUGCUGUUCGAUAUGCAUGUAGAGCAUAAGGAAGCCAUUCCUGCCAAUCUUUAUAUAUGACCACCAUUUUCUGGACAAUCUUCUUUAUGUUCUUGUUAGCAGCUUCAACAGCACCAUUCAUCUUUGGUCUGUAAGGGGAUGAAUUAGAAUGCUUGAUUUUCCAUUUAGUGCAUAAUUCCAUGAUCAUUUUCCCAUUGAAGUUCUUGGCAUUAUCGGUUACUAUCCUUUCUGGCAAACCAUACCUACAAAUUAGAUCUCUCUCAAUGAAUCGCUUGACCACCUUCUGAGUCACAUGAGCAUAUGAGCAGGCCUCUACCCACUUUGUAAAAUAAUCAAUUGCGACCAAGAUAAACCGAUGACCAUUGCUGGCUUUUGGAUUAAUAGGCCCAAUCACAUCAAUUCCCCACAUCGCGAAUGGCCAAGGUGACACCAUAUUGAAUAAGGGCACUGGGGGUGCAUUGAUUUUGUCACUAUACACCUGACAUUUAUGACAUUUUCGAACAAAUUCUAUACAAUCUUUUUCCAUGGUCAACCAAAAAUACCCAGCUCUUUGCAUCUGUCUUGCCAUCAUGUGCCCAUUUGCAUGGGUGGUGCAAAUUCCUCCAUGCACUUCAUACAAUGCUUUAUUGGCUUCUGAUCUGUCUAGACAUCUUAAUAAAGUCCCAUCAAAUGACCUUUUGUAUAAGAUUUCUCCAUCUAUAAAGUAUUCCAUUGCCAUUCUUCUUAGAGUCUUCUUAUCUGUCUUUGAAGCUUCAGAAGGAUAUUCCCGAUAUUGGAUGAAUCUUUUUAUAUCUGCAUACCAAGGAUUGCCAUCCACUUCUUCUUCUAUUAAACAACAAUGAGCAGGAGAACUUCUAAUAUCAAUGCUUAUAGGAUGUACUCUGAUACCACAAUCGAUCGUAGCCAUAGAGGCCAAGGUUGCUAAAGCAUCCGCAAACUGAUUCUUAUCCCUUCCUAAAUGAUUGAACUCUAUCUUUUCAAAGUUUUCAGCCAAUUUGGAGAGAUAUUCCUGAUAUGGUUUCAAUUUCUCAUCUUUUGUCUGCCAUUCCCCCUUUGUCUGACAGAUUAUUAACAUAGAGUCUCCAUAUACCUCUAAUUUCCCUAUCUUCAGUUCCAAUGCAGCUUCUAAUCCAUGAAUGCAAGCCUCAUAUUCAGCUGUGUUAUUCGUGCAACUAAACUGCAGUUUGAUGGAGAUGGGAUAUUGUUUUCCUUCUGGAGAAAUUAUUACAGCACCAGCUCCAUUACCAGACACAUUCACCGCACCAUCAAAGUACAUAGUCCACCAAUCUCUUUCUAUUACCAACACAUCUUCAUCAGGGAAGUCAAAAUUUAAUGGCUCAUAGUCCUCAAUGGCGUUAUCAGCUAAAUGAUUCGCAAUUGCACUUCCUUUCAUAGAUUUUCUUGUUUUGUAGAUGAUAUCAUAUUCAGCCAACAACACUUGCCAUCUGGCCAGCCUAUUUGACAUAUAUGGCUUUUCAAAAAUAUAUUUCAGAGGAUCUACCUUUGAAAUUAACCAAGUGGUAUAGUAUAACAUAUAUUGUCGGAGUCUUUUCGCACUCCAUACCAAGCCACAACACAGCUUCUCAAUCAUACUGUAACGAGAUUCACAUUCAGUGAAUUUCUUACUAAGGUAGUAGAUGGCUUGCUCCUUUCUCCCGGACUCAUCAUGUUGGCCAAGCACACAGCCCAUUGCUGAUUCAGUCACUGUUAAGUACAAAAUGAGAGGCUUCCCAGGCACAGGUGGUACCAAUAGCGGUGGUUUCUGCAGAUAUUGUUUGAUCUUAUCAAAGGCUUCUUGACAAUCUUCAUCCCAUACUCCGGGGUUUUUCUUUCGAAGUAAUCGAAAGAUUGGUUCACAAGUGACUGUAAGUUGUGAAAUGAAUCGAGCAAUGUAAUUUAAACGCCCCAAAAAGCUUCGAACUUCUUUCUCAGUCUUAGGAGCUGACAUGGCUUGUAUGGCCUUCACUUUAUCAGGGUCUACCUCUAUACCAUUACUGCUUACCACAAAUCCCAAUAACUUCCCAGACUUCACUCCAAAUGUGCAUUUUGCAGGGUUCAACUUUAAUUGAUACUUUCUCAACCUUUCAAAUAAUUUCUUUAGAGCUGGGAUAUGAUUUUCCUCAUCUUUAGACUUAGCAAUCAUAUCAUCCACAUAGACCUCAAUUUCUUUAUGCAUCAUGUCAUGAAAUAGUGUCACCAUUGCUCUUUGAUAAGUUGCUCCAGCAUUUUUUAAUCCGAAUGGCAUAACUCUAUAACAAUAUGUUCCCCACGGAGUAACAAAUGUUGUCUUCUUCUUGUCUUGCUCGGCCAUUUUGAUUUGAUUAUACCCAGAGAAACCAUCCAUAAAAGAGUAAGUAGAACUCUUAGCAGCAUUAUCCACAAGUACAUCUAUGUGGGGUAACGGAAAAUCAUCCUUCGGGCUUGCCCUAUUCAAAUCUCGAAAAUCCACGCAUACCCUGAUUUUGUUGUCUUUCUUGGGUACUACUACAAUAUUGGACACCCAUUGAGAAUAAUCAACAACUUCUAAGAAUCCAGCAUCCCACUGUUUCGUUAUCUCUUCUUUUACUUUGAUUAGCAUAUCAGGCCUCGUCCUCCUCAACUUUUGCUUAAUCGGUUUACAACCCUCUAUCAAAGGUAGUUUAUGUACCACAAUAUCAGUAUCCAGACCAGGCAUAUCGGCAUAUGACCAGGCAAAAACAUCAACAUAUUCUUGUAAAAGAAUGACCAACUCGCUUCUCACACCAGCAGAUAUUAGCUUCCCUAUUUUCAACUCUCUUUUAUUAUGUUUGGUGCCCACAUUUAUCAGUUCUAGUUCUUCUUUAGCAGGCUUCCAUGUGUGAUCAGAUUGUUCCACUAACCUUGCGAACUCAUCGAUGUCUUCCUCACCCAACUCUUCCUCAUCCAUUGCAAUUAUAGUUUCAUCAAAGUUAGGCCAAUUAUCCACAGUGCAUUGAGUUUGUGAGCACAAUCCGCUUUCAGAUCUCCUGAAAGCGGAAAGUGUUUCGGUUAUGAGUGUAUAAUUCUGGGAAAGCAAAUAAAUAAACAAAUAACAAGAAAACAUGUUUGAAAGAAAAUAUGCAUGAUCUCAUUGAAUUUUAAAGGAUAGACGGGCUCAACAACAAAACCUUAUUGCCAAUCUCUUGAGCCACAAUGGUUUUGGCAAGGCACAAUUGUUCAAACAAUACAAUAAAAACAAAGAACAAACAAACAUUACUUUUUAAAAACAACUGGGACUUCAUGAAUUUCCCAAUUUUCCAACUCUUCUCCCUCAGCCAGCUUCCUCACGAAUUCGGAUGAGCCAUCUUCCAAAACACCAAUAGUUAGUUGUGGUAGCUGUUCGUAAGGACUCUCUUCUUCCUUUACAUCUUGCUCACUAACAUUUUCAAGAUAAUUGAUAGUAGCACCACUGAAUUCUUUUCUUAGCCCCUCCUCAUAAUCCUCAGCUUUUAUCACAUACGCGGCUCUUGGAAAUGUUACAUAGAUAGGUGGGAUUUCCAUUCGAUCUUCAUCUGGCUCUCUUCUUUCAAUCCGGGCUACUCUCUUUUCCCUUCUAUUUUCAGCUGCUCUUUUAAAAUCUGCUUUGCCAGGCUUAAACCCUAAGCCAAACCUCUGAUCGGCGCAUUUUAUUUUUACCGCAUUAACCCUCUCAGGCAUUCCAGUAGUUAGGUCAUAUUGAAAUGGUAAUCCAUGCUUCAAGAAGUAUUUAGCAGCCAUUUUUGCUGCUUCAGAAAUUUCUGGCUUUCUUCGUAUCAUAUUUUCAGGUACCCAUUCAGCAUUUACAACUUCAAAUGCAUGCAGAUUUCCAUCCUUACUUUCUUCAGCUUCUAUAUAAGGGAUCGAUACAUUUCUCAUCAUUGACAAAGUUUCUUCAGCUCUCACAGUCACCAAAUUCCCAUUGAUGAUGAACUUGACCCGUUGAUGUAAAGAAGAUGCGACAGCUCGAGCUGCAUGGAUCUAAGGUCUCCCUAGCAAAAUGUUGUAUGAUGGAUGAAUAUCCAUUACUUGUAAUGUGACUUGGAAUGGUUGGGGGCCAAUGACUAGUUCAACAUCAAUACUUCCAAUGAUUGGUCUAGGUGACCCAUCGUAUGCCCUUGCAGUCAUAGUACUUGGCUUCAUGUGAGAGGCAUCAACUGGCAUUUUAUCAAGUACAUGUCUCGGCAAUACAUUGAGAGCGGAACCAUUAUCCAUAAGCACCUUAGCAAUCACACAAUCCUUGCAUUUUACCGUGAUAUGCAAUGGUUUAUUAUGACCGGUCCCUUCAUGAUCCAACUCAUCAUCGGUAAAAUAGAGGUAGUUGGUGGCUUGAAUCCUACCCACCAAAUGUUCUAUGGAGUCUUGUGUGAUAUCCUGAGGAAUAUAUGCUUCAUUAAGAACCUUCUGAAGUGCGUUCCUAUGCAAUUCUGAACUCAAUAUUAAUGACAACAAAGAAAUCCUAGCGGGUGUUUUCUUUAGUUGAUCAACCACACUAUAUUCGCUGUGCUUCAUCAAUUUCAGGAAUUCAUUAGCCUCUUCAUCACUUACUGGCUUGUUAACCUCAUUUGACUUUGUCAAAUCCACCAUAUCCUUUCCUUUGGCUUUUCUUUGGUUUUCCAACUCUUCAGGAGUAAAACAUCUCCCACUCCGAGUGAGUCCUCCUAUUUCCGCAUGGAAAACGGGGGCAGGAUUUGUGCUGUGAAAGGAACAACCAUAAUUAUAGGGUUGGGCAUUAUAGCUUCCGCUAACAGUAUUCAUAGGCUUGGCUAGUAUCAUUUUUGGUGGACCCUUUUCGGUUGGUAUAUAUCUACAAACUUCCACUUUUUGGUUACAACCAGUCAUUGUUCCUACUAACUCAUCUUCUUUGGGUUUCAUCAAUCUUAACAUUCCCAACGUCAUCAUAUUUUCUACCUCCAAAUGAAACUCCUCGCACGAGUCAAUAUCAUGCCCAAGCUGCUGAUGAUAUUUACAAUAUUCAUUUGCAUUCCUUACAGCUUGUGUUUUGACUGGUGUCUUUAGAUAAUUUGUUUGCCUCAACAUCCCAUACAAUCUAUCCAUAGUCACCCUUAAAGUUGUUGUACUUCUCCUUCCUAUCUCCAAGUUAUUAACUCCCCCACUUCCCGAAGCAUGAUUUGGUAGAGGAUUAGAUUUCACAUUUGGAGAUUCAUCAAAAGAAAUCCACCCAGCUUUGAUGAGCUGAAGGAUUUUUCUUUUGAAUGCAACACAUCCAUCAAUAUGAUGACCAACAGCGCCAGGAUGGUAUUCACAUUUUUUAUCGGGUUUAUACCAAAAAGGAAAUGGUGGUUGUAAAGGUUCUAAGGGAACAGGUGCUACCUGGCCAAUACUAAGCAAUCUUUGGUGCAUUUCAGUAAGAGACAUGGGUAAUGGCGGAAGUUGCACUUGCUCUAUUGGAAAACUUCUUCUUGGGCGGUAAGUAGCAUUGGUUUGGUUGUUUAUUGGGUUAUUUUGGGUGUUUGUAGGUGAUGAGAAUUUUAUAUUGGAUAUAGAAGGGGUAGGUGUAAUACUUUUGAAACUGUAAUUAUCUUGGUAGGUGUUCUUCCCUCUACUUUCCCUUUCAACAUUGUGAACUUCCGUUUCUUUCCUUUUUCCAGUAAAACCUCUUUUUUCAGUAGGAUCCACGAUCCUACCUGUCCGAACAGCUUGUUCGAUCCUUUCAGCUAUGACAACCAAAUCAGAGAAAUUUUUUGCAGCACUACCUACCAAGUAUUCAAAGUACGGGGCUUUGAAAGUGUUGGAAAAUAAACCAGUCAUCUCCCUUUCUGACAAUGGAGGAUUUACUUGCGCGGCUGAUUCACGCCACCUUUGGGCAUAUUCUCUUACAGACUCCCUAUUCCCUUUUUCCAUGGCUUGCAGACUUGACCUUUCAGGGGCAAUAUCCAUGUUGAACUUAUAUUGUCUAAUAAAAGCUUCAACCAAAUCCUUCCAUCCUUUAAUCUUGGUAUUAUCUAAGCGCAUAUACCAAGCAAGAGCCGCAUCACUUAAACUGUCUUGAAAGAAAUGGAUCAAUAGCUUCUCAUCAUGGACUACCUCAGCCAUCUUAUUACAAUAUGCUUUAAGAUGGGUGAUCGGGCAUUGAGUUCCAGUAUAUUUAACAAAAUCUGGUACACGGAAUUUUCUGGGAAUAACCACAUUAGGCACCAAACACAUUUCAGCAGCUUUCACCGGAUCAUACAAACUAUUCCCUUCCAUUGCCUUCAUUCUUUCUUCUAAAGCAGCUAGCUUUUCAUGACCAUUUUCCUCCACUAUCUUAUUCCUUUGAGGUUCUUCUUCUGUCAAAACUGCAAUGGGGACCCUCGUUGGAUAUGCUGAUUGGGCAGGUAAGAAAUGAGCAGCAUGCUAAGGUUCAAAUGGCGGAAUAAAAGGAGGCGGAGGCUGAGGUGUAAAUGUUUGUUGAGAAGAUGUUCCUUCUCCAGCUCUAGGCCUCAAAGCCUGUUCAAGCAAGCUGGUAAGCCUUGCUACAUCCUCCUUCAGGCUUUCCAACUCUUUUUGGUGUUGAAUUUCUAACUGAGUUCUCUCUUCAUUUUCCAUUUUCUUCCGUAAACGAGUAUUAUGGAUACGUUUCAGUUGGGGACCUAUAUUUCACCUGUUAUAUGUAGAAUAUGACAAUUUAUAAAACAAAUGUAUGAAAUGCAUGAAUAUGAAUGCAACAUAUUGGAUAUGGAUUUGCUUUUCAUUGGUGACAUAUGGUCGUCAUUCUUUGGAUAUGAGGUUUGAGCUUGAACUUGAUAUCAUCGUUGUGAUGCCGAGAAGAGAUCUGUUUAGCUUUUUGACAUUUCAGCUUCCAGCCAUAUACGCAUAUUUUUGAAUUGAAAAGGUGGGUCUCAGCCCUUUAUUACUUAUUCAGAAGCUUACAAUGAAAAAUUGAUCUAAUCUAUUACAGGAGAAAAAACACUGCCUCUAUUAGCUAUUGCUUUUAAGAAAAGAUCGGUGUUAUCCAAGCUUCUUCGAUACUUUAUUAUAUCACCUCCCACUUGGCGAGCUUCCACUCGUAAUAAAUGGGCUUCUGCAGCUGCUUGACCAACUUGAUCUUGUAGUUCCCUUAUCCUCUCAGUAUGUAUCAAGUUGUUUCUAGACAGAAAGUUAUUGGUGGCAUCCAAUGUUUGAUUAUGUUGUUCUAUCAUUUUCUGGCUUUCCAUAAGCUGUGCAGUCUUUGAUUUUUCUUUGUCCAGCUUAAAUCUCAAUGCUUCCACCUCAGUAUUGUGAUUGUUCCACUCUGCUUUUUGCUCUUCAUGAAUUUUAGUUAAAGCCUCAGCUUUUCCCAAUUGGCCUUUAAACUUAACAAUGUCCGCCCGACGCAUUUUCAAUGUAGCUUGUGUCUUGAUGGCUAAUUCUUCCCAAUGCUUAGCUUUGUCCAUAUAAUACAUCAUAUCCUGAUUAAUUAUUUUUUGUGUUUCCAAGUCAGCCUUUGCCUUUAUCAAGUCUUGACCUACAGAGUCCCUUUCUUCUUCAGCUACUUUCCUUACACCCUUUUCUUUGGCUAGUUGCCGCUCUAAGGACACUCUUUGUUCUUCCUUUGCUUUAAGCUCAGCUUGUAACGAUUUUACUUGUUUUCUUAAUUCUUCUUCACAAUUCACUCUUUUCCUUCGAAGGCCCACAGAUUCAGAAACUUCUGCCGUAUAAGAGACUCCUCUAUUACGCCAUUCAGGAUACUUUUCACUAACUGUAGGAUUCCUUACACCGAUCUCUUUUUUAACUAGCACCAAAGAUCCCCAAUCAUGUUUAAUGCUCUCCAGCAUCUCAUUAUAUGCACCCUUAUAGACUCCGGUGAAUUGAGCUAAGCCAACUGUUCUUGGAAUGCUUUGUAUGCCCCCAAGCUGUCUUGCAACCAAAGCAGACGCAUAACUAAUAUAUCCAGUCACUCCAAUCAAAGGUACCCAAGGCCUCUUCCCACAACCCAUUAGGCAUGUUACAUUUUUCAUCCAAGGAGCUCUCCAAUUAAAAUUGCUUUGUGGAAUUCCUUGCAAUUUUACCCUCCAAUCAUCUUCAGAAAAGUUUUCCCAUUCACUUGAUACAAAUAACUCGAGUGGCUUUUGGUCAAACCACCAAAAAUUUCGGAAUAUUAGUGUUUCAGAUUCUAUAUGGCUUACCAUCCAAAUGAAUAACAAUGGAACACAACAUCUCAUAGAACCUUUCCCAAUCCUUUUGCAAUGAUUGAGAGACAAAAAAGUUUCAGCCAAGAUAGCAGCAGAAGGAUUAAUUUUAGUCUUCUCAUACUCAACAAACAGAUUAGCUGCCUCUAAACUGAUAAUUCCAGCAGUCGAAGGACACAAAAUCAGCCCAAAUAUUCCCAAAGCCAAUAUUCGGUAUACCUCCAAAUUAGCACCAGGAUUAGAUGUUUUAGCAAUCAACAGCUCUUCUAGCCGUUUCCAUCUCAAACCCCCAGAAUUGUUUUUUUCUCUAUAUAAGCUCAUUUGAUGGAUUCCCAGUAGCUUAGCAAGCUCCUAUACAGUAUUCUCAAUCUUUUGAUGAAAAUAAACCUUAUGGAUAUCCUCAGGGAAUUCUGUCAAAACACCGUAUUCUUCAAUGGUAGGAACCAUAUCGACAUUCCCAAAUGUAAAACAUCGAUAAUCAGGAUCCCAAAAAUGAAUUAGGGCUUUUAUGGCUAAUGGCAGUACUGGAACAUUCAGAAGAUGCAAAACUCUCCCAUAUAUCUUAGUAAAUUCUGUCUCAUCAGCCAAGUAUUUGGUGAAUGGAAGCAAACGACUGGCAUCAUUUAUUACGCAUCUCACAUCCUUUAGCAGCGGUAUCCCACUGUCAUCCAGUCUAGGGCAGUCUCCCUCAGUCAUAUGCAAUGAUUCAGAUUCGAGCCCAUACUCAACAGUUGUGAUUUAACGAUUAACGACCAUUAUGUCACCCAAAAACAAUCCUGUAAUGAAGAUGCUAUACGUUAAGCUUGCCUUAGUGAAAUUUACAUAGGGAACAACCUAAAUGGUAGGUUCUAGUCAUUUAAAUGCUUGAGGUAGGUUGCUAUCUAGUCUUGAAAGGUCUUUCGCAUGCUCAGUGAUCUUCCUCGAAAGGUUGAUGUGAGGUUUACAAGUAGCGUGAAAAUAGAGGCCCUGAAUGAUAUCAGUUAGGCAUAUCAACCACUAUCGAGUAAACAAUCAAGCGAAAGUUGGAUGGUUUCACGAGUCUUACCCAGGCUAAAGCCAUUGGGGUACCGCUACUCUCCCACUUAACUUAAAGUUGAUAUAACAGAUGUUUAUUAUGAAAUGCGUGGUGUGUGAAGGCCUAAAUCUAUAUCCAAUAUAUGUAUGAUGACAUAAACAAAUAUGGAUGCUAAAACUAUAAAAAUAAAUAAAAUAAAAUAAACCAAAUAAAAUAAAAACCAAAUAACACAACAAGCAUUUGUAGCAAUUAAAAAAAAUCAAAGGCAAAGCUUAGUCCAUUAGUCCCCAGUGGAGUCGCCAUUCUGUCACACCCGACAUCGCGGCGACCUUAAAAAUUUAAUUCUUUGGAAAAGAACAGAUUUCUGGCAUCCUAUUCUUUAAUGGGGAUAUUCUUUGUUUAAGGAGUCGCCACCUAGUAUUAUGGUCACUAGGAACCCUAACUGGUCAACAGAGAGUCUACGGUUCGGGAUUGGUUACGUAAAAGGGAAGAUAUUAUCACCCCUUAAACGUCCUGCCUGAGGCAGGCUGCACUGCUAGUUUUAUCUUUAAUUGCUAAAUGUUUAUUAGUUUACGAUAUGAUAAUUUACUUAUAAUAUUCCCGACUCUGGCGUCAGUGAAUAUUAAACUACGGAUACUUCCAACUCUGGCGUUGGUCAAUAUCACGUAGCUAUAAAAUAAAUUAGAUUAAUAUUUUUUAUUUUCCCGGCUCUAGCGCCAGUGAAUAAAUAAACAAAAUAAAAUUUGAUUUUUUUACGCAUGCAUAUUUUUUUAUUUUUUUUUAGCUAAAUAAAAUAAAGUACAACAAAUAAAAAUAAUAUAAAUUUAAACCGGUAUUUUUAUUCCUGACUCUGGCGUCAGUGAAUAAACCAAUAAAUUUACAUUAUUUUUAUUCAUCUAAAUAAAUUUAAUUUUUUACGCAUGCACAUUUUUUAUUUUUUAGCUAAAUAAAAUAAAGUACAACAAAUAAAAAUAAUAUAAAUUUAAACCGGUGUUUUUUAUUCCUGACUCUGGCGCCAGUGAAUAAACCAAUAAAUUUACGUUAUUUUUAUUCAUCUAAAUAAAUUUAAUUUUUUACGCAUGCACAUUUUUUAUUUUUUAGCUAAAUAAAAUAAAGUACAACAAAUAAAGAUAAUAUAAGUUUAAACCGGUAUUUUUAUUCCUGACUCUGGCGCCAGUGAAUAAACCAAUAAAUUUACAUUAUUUUUAUUCAUCUAAAGAAAAUAAAAUACAAUGAAUAAAAAUAAUAUAAAUUUAAACCGGUAUUUUAUUCCUGACUCUGGCGUCAGUGAAUAAACCAAUAAAUUUACAUUAUUUUUAUCCAUACAUGCAUAUUUUUUUAUUUUUUAUUUUUUAUUUUUCUGCCUUUUAUUUUUUUAUUUUUUUUAUUAUAUAUAUUUUUUAACUGGGCUGGGCCCGGCCCGGCCCAGCAAAAAAAGAAAAAAAUUGGGGGCUGGGCCCAGCGCAGCCCACAUGGACUGGGCUGGACCCAGCCAGCCCAGCCCGGUCACUGGCCCAAGCCAGUGACCCGGCUGGGUAAAAACUAAAGGCACGCGUGACUUAUUCACGCGUGCCCGAACACUGGUGAAGGUAAUUAAAUUACCUUCACACAGUGUUCUUGCAGCACAUAAUUAUCUUUUGAAAUGAAAAUGCAGAGGAGACGGGGUCAUACCUGCUUCUGGAGACCGAAGAUGCUGCUUCUGGAGACCGAAGAUGUUGCUUCUGGAGACUGAGAUGCUUGCAGCGCUGCUUGAUGAUUUUCGCCUAAUGUUCCUCUGGUUUUCCUUCUGUGAAUACUUAUCUAUGCUUUCCUUCUUGAUUUCUCUGUAACUUCUAAAGCUACAAAGAAGAUUCCGGCUUGUUGUGAGUGUUCUUUGGCUGAAUCCGGGUUUUUUUGUUUGCAGGUUCGGAGACAAUUUCAAGGAUAAUUCUCCUUACCGUGUCCUGCCUUCUUGUCCUCUCCUUCUCUGUGUAUUUGGAUUUGUUCUCUGUUUUCUCUGCCUUUUUCUUUUAACUCUGUUUUUCUGGGUUGAUUUUUUCGGUUCUCUCCCUCCUUUUCUUACUGUGUAUAAUUUCUCUGGUUUUCUUGCUCUCCCUCCUUUUUUUUUCUUUAGGUGUUCUUCUCCCUUUUAUAAACCCAGCCGAUUGCCCCCCAUCAGUCCUGCCUUUGCAGGACUGUUAUCUUCCACGAACGAGAUCGUGGGCGAGAGACGUGGUCCUCGAUUGGAUUGAAUCCGUUGCAGAUUUUCCAGCCUGUUGAAUCGGGAUGGAGAAGACGAACACGACUGUUCUACCCGCAGCGGCGACGUUUCGGCAGCAAUGGAUUUCACCAGCAACGACGCCGUUUCAAGCAACAAAUGGACAUUUUUAUUUUGAUCCCUGAACUGUUGGAAAUUCGGCAAUUGGACCUUAAAAAAAAUUCCACUUAAUUUUGUCCCUUUGGAUUAAUUUCAAUUAAAUCCUUAAAUUAUAACACUGUUUACAAAACAGUCCUUAAUUCCUGGAUUGUUCAAUUUAGCCCUUAAUUAAAUCUUUAACCUUUCAAAAUUGAUCAAUUAACUCUCAAAUUACAUCCUCAAACUUUAAAUUUUGUUGUUUUAACCCCAUUGGCAACUAUAUUUAAUUUUUUUAUUAUUUGUUCAAAAAUUGGUUAUGACAAUGAUAGUAACAAGAAAAUAAAAAUUAAUUUGAAUAAAUGGUAGGAGUUUCUAUUCUGAUAUAUCCAGGGAAGAAGUUCGAAGAAUAGAAUGAAGAUAAAAAAAGAAAAAAUUUGUGUUACAUUUUUAUCUUUUAUAAUUAUAAUUAUUGCAUUGCUAAUAAUUUGCACGAAAAAAUAUUCUUUCUCUGAAAAGGGCUUGAGAGAACCCUAAGCAUAUAUAGGAAUCUCUUAUAGGAAUCUCUUUAUUAAAUCAUCAAAAUAUGAAAGUCUAUUUCCAAAUACUAUUACUACAGUUUAUAUAUAUAUAUAUAUAUAUAUAUAUAUAUAUAGAAACAACUAAAUAGAAAAAUUAUUAUUAUUUAAAUAAAAAACUAGAAAAGCCUGAUAAUAUUAUUGAAUGAAAAAUAAAAUAGAAAUUUAAUAAAUUAAAAGUUAAAAAAUACUGUGUGACUGUUUUGUAUAAAUUCUAAAGUUAAGGAGUCUUUUAUGCUUGGUAAAAUACGUCACAAUAAAGUUAAUAAAUAAGAACACAAGAAAGGAUCAAAGUUAAUAAAUAAUAGCAUGCACGAAACUUCAUGAUAUCCAUGUUUUUCACGUUUUAUACUGCUUUAAUAGAUUGUUACAGCAAGAGAAACGGUACAAGACAGAACAAUAAAGGAGGGGCUGACGUUCAGUGAGGACAUCCUCCAGCUCAUCAGAUCCAGCUCAAGUUGUUGCAACCACCGCGAAAGGAACGCAUUGAUGUUAACGCGUGGACCCAGUCGCUGCAACCAGCACGAAAGUACCACUCCAAAUUCCAGCUCAUUUGUUAUAUAUAUAGUAAUAACAAAUGGUUAGAAUGCUUUAGUCCUUUUCGAGUGGAAAGUGGUGUGAAUGUGGGAAGUACUGUGAGAGCUUUAUGCCACUUUCUAUCUUUGAUGUGAUGGCUUUGGCAAGAAGAAACAAAUAAAAGUUAGUGUUCGCACUGCUUUAGCCCAAGAGUCUUUCAUCGUCGUUGCCUUGGAUUGAUUGAUUGAUUGACAGGAAGAAUUCUGAAUGUUUUUAGAAAAGUCUUCAUUGACAGGAAGAAUUGUGAACGGAAUGAGAUUUUAUUUUGUUUUGUUUUUUAAAUUAACAUGGAAUAUUUCAGUUAUUUCAGGUGAAACGAAACAAAAUUAACAACCUUGAUAAAAACUCUAAAUCACGAGUAAAAUCUGAAUGUUUUUUUAUAGAAAGAAGCAAUCUUCAUUGCUUUAAUAAAUUGUCACAAUAAUAGCACUAAGAGAAGAAUGGGUAGACCCUCGAGCCGGGCCAAAUUUUAAAAUUAUAGUUUAUAUAUAGAAACAACUAAAUAUAUAAAUUAUUAUUUUUUAAAUGAAAAAACCAGAAGAGCUUGAUAAUAUUUAAUAAAAAAAAUAAAAAUGAAAAAAUAUUCCUUUUCAAGUACAAACAAAAUUAUAAAUAUUUAAUAAUACUGUAUAAAAAAUUAAAAAUUCUAACCUAAAUUUUAAAAAAAUUGUCAUUGGCUAAUUGACUAAUUGACUUGUGCUAUCUCUUGUACAUUAUUAGAAAAAUUGUCAUUGACUAAUUGACUUGCAAAAGUAUUUGCAAGAAAGCUAAAGAAUUAGAGUUUUUAACAUUUUUAAAUUUUUAAAAACAUCCAAUUAUUUUUUUAAAAAAUCAAGAAUAAAACAUCAACUAUUUAUAUAAUUGCUAAAUAAAUCUAAUAAAAUAAAUCAGAAAUAACUAGUAAAUAAUCCAAAAAUAACUAGAAAAUAAAUAUAUCUCCUCAAUAUGAUUUGAGUAUGUUUUCUAUCUUAAUUGACUGACUUGCUAAGUAUUUGUUAAGCAUAAACGAACUUUACUCUAAAAGUAUGUUUAAUAUUUUUCUUACUUUUACUAUUUUACUUCAAAGUUUCAAUUUCAUAUUUUUUUACAAUGUACAUGUUAUUUGAUUAGUCUGAUCAUAGGAUAUGUUAAGCAUUGACUCGAAAUUAGCACUUGAAAUUAUGGACUGGAAACUAGCUUAAAUGCUGGCCACCAACCCUUUUUUGCUCGUUCUAUAGGGAGAGUAGAAAAUGUGAUUUCUUAUUCAAGAUCGUGGAUAGUACGCUCAAGAUUAUGGGAAGGUGUUUUUUGUUUACUAGGAGGAUUGGGUCGAAAAGAGGAGAAAAAGUGGCAGCCUUCCAUAUACAUUUAAGGAAACCCAGAUUUUUGUAGAUUUUAGAGACAAAACGAUGUCAUUUUCAUUUUUCUUUCAAUAUCAAAAUUUUUUCUUCCCUUUUCCAGGCAAAACGCACCAUUUCAAUUAGUGUGAAAAGGCAUCAUUUUGCUUUAGGUUUUCUUCAUAUGUAAUAAUGCUAAACACACCAUGUGGAACUAUGUUAAACGCAACAUUUUAGCAUCUUUUGUGCUUCGAUCCCUAGAAUUUUAAUUCUUUUAUUUUGAUCAAUUUUCAACUCUUUUCCUUUAAUUUCAUUUAAUUUGCUAUUAACUGAAUUACAAUAUGACCUUUAAUUUCUUUAUUUUUUUCAUUUCAGUCACUGAUUCUUUCAAUCUUCAUUUUUAAGCCAAAUGAAUUGCAGUUUCAAUUUUCUUUUUUAAUUAAAUCUCUAAUUGAUUUUUUAAAUUGGUUAUUCAUUUCAAACUCAUUCUUGAACUGCUAAUAAUUUUAAUAGAUGUAUGGUACAUCCUAUGAAUUUAUUAGAAAGAAUGUUUAAUGUAAAGUAUGAACCACUUGCCAUUAACUAGCUUUUUCAAUUGGAUCUUUUAUUUAAAUGAAAAGGAAUAUUUAUUUUAAUAUGAAGAAAAUAAUUAUUUUUUUUGAUAUAUCUAGUGAUAAUAAAUUAGAGGAUAGUAACAAGAAAAUAGGGAUUAGAUCGAAUAAAUGGUACCAAUUUGUAUUAUGAUAUAUCUAGUAAUAAUAAAUUAGAGGAUAGUAACAAGAAAAUAUGAAUUAGAUCGAAUAAAUGGUACCAAUUUCUAUUCUGAUAAAUCUAGCCAAAGAGUAGAAUGAAUUAAAAUAUUCUUAAUAAAAAAGAAAAACAGAAAACACAGAAAGAAAAAAAAAAUGCUCUUAAUAAAUAUUAAAGAUAGGUGAAAUUAGAGAACAAGAAAGAGAUAUAGAAUCUCUUUCUUAAGAUUUCUAAAAACUUAAUUACAAUUACAUUAUAAUUUCUUCCUUAAAAUUAUUCAAAAUAUAGUAUUGUAAUUACAUAAUGCUAGGUUUUAAUAUAUAAGUUUUUAUAUUGUUGAAGAGUCUCUCCUAAAACAAAUAAUAAAAAUAUUGUUAUGAACUGUUUUGAAUGAAUUGUUAAUGCACGGACUAUUUUGGGUCCUGACUUGGCUGAUUUAACUUGAAUGUAUUAUUUGAUUGGUCCAAGUAAAGAUCAACUCGAAAUUUCUAUUAAUUUAUGUCGCACCCGACAUCGCGACGGCCUUAAAAAAAAAAAUCAGGUAUAUUGCGGAAAAAGAACAGAUUUCUGGCAUCUUGUUCUUUUAGGAAAAAUGUCUUGUUUAAGGAGUCGCCACCUAGUAUUAUGGUCACUAGGAACCCUAACUGGUCAACAGAGAUUCUAUGGUACGGGACUGGUUACGUAAAAGGGAAGAUAUUAUCACCCCUUAAACGUUCUGCCUAAGGCAGACUGCAUUGCUGGUUUUGUCUUAAAUUGCUAAACAUUUAUUCGCUUAUGCUAUGAUGAUUUGUUUAUAAUAUUCCUGACUCUGGCGCCAGUGAAUAUUCGAUCGCGAAUAAUUCCAACUCUGGCGUUGGUAAAAAUUCCACCCGAAUAAUUCCAACUCUGGCGUUGGUAAAAAUUCUACUACAAAUAAUUCCAACUCUGGCGUUGGUAAAAAUUCAUAGCCACCAAAAAUAAAUUCAGAUUAAUAUUUUUUUAUUCCUGACUCUAACGCUAGUGAAUAAACAAAUAAACUAAAUUUAUGCAUUCACAUAUUUUUUUAUUUUUUAUGUAGUUAAAUAAAAAAAACAAAGAGAAUAAUUAAAUAAGUAUUUUUAUUUUUGACUCUGAAGUCAGUAAAUAAAAAUAAAUUUAUUUUUCAUACAUGCACGUAUAUUUUUUUGCUAAAUAAAAAAAAUAUACGAAUAAAAAUAAUAUAAACUUAAACUAAUAUUUUAUUCCCGACUCUGGCGUGGGUGAAUAAACUAGUAAAUUUAUAUUAUUUUUAUUCAUGCACACACAUAUUUUUUUAUUUUUUUAUUUUUUAUUUUCUUAUUUUUUUUAUAUAUAUAUAUUUGUUUUUUGCUGGGCCUAGCUCAGCCCACAUGGGCUGGGCCCAGCCCAGCCCAGCCCAGCCCAGUCACUGGCCCAAGCCAGUGACCCGGCUGGGUAACAUGAAGCACGCGUGAACUAAAUCACGCGUGCAUUAGCAGAUAAAGGAAUUAAUUGAGAGUGUACAGUAGGAAGUGAAUUAAAAUGAAAAACGGUGAAAGGUGAAAGAGAAACUUACUUACCUGGCUCUGGAUACAACGAAGGCAGCAGCAACAAUGGUUCUGGUCACGGUGGCUUUCCUCUGCUUAUGUUCGUCCCCUGUUUAUUGGCUUGUUCGUCCCCUGUUCUUGUUUCCAGUCGCUCUCCUUUUGUUUCCUUGCUCUCGUUCUCUGUCUUCUGCGUUUGUUUUUCUUCUGUGUUUCCCUGGUUCUCUUUUUGUUCACCUUAUCUUCUCUGCUUUUCCUUUUUUUUUCGUCUGUGUCUGUCCCUUCUCUCUCGGUCUGUUUUUUCUUUUUUUUUCUCUUGCUCUCACAUGCUCUGUCUUUCUCUGUUUUUUUCUGUUCUUGGCUCUGUUUUGGGUUGAUUUUUCUUGUGCAGGGAUGAAGAUGAUGGCGGGGUUGAUCUCUGAUUCCUUUCUGCCUUUCUCCCCUUCUCCCUGGGUAUUUCUUUUUGUGUUUGUGCUCUGUUUUGCUCUGCUUGUUUCCUCACUGAUUUCCGGUUCUUGCUUUUUCCAAUCUUCCCCCUCGUUUUAGUCCAAUUCAUCCCCUGUUUCCAGUGUUCUUUUUCCUGCGUUUUGCUCGGUUCCCCUCCUCCGGUUUGUUCGGUUCUUUGUCCAGCCCCGUUGUUCCCCUGUUUCCUGAGUUUUUCUAUGGGUUCUGCUCCAGUUAUCCCCCCUCUGUUCGUCCCCUUGCCUCUGCUCUGCUCUGCCUUUUAUAGAGCCCGAGCACGCAGAAAAAACCCGUUCCUCUGUUCAUCAAUCCAUGAGCGGGAUCAUGGGCAAGAAAUCAUGGUGUCGUGGUCCACGAUUUGCUGCAAAUUUCCUGUUAAAACGGCUUUUUCCGCUCAAACGUGGGAGACGAUGAACAAUGCUUCCAAAACGGUGCCGUUGUGUCCUUGGGCAUGGCUUUUUUUAAUUUAGUCCCUAAACAGUUUAAACUUAACAAUUGGGAUCCUAAUCAGAAACAAUUGAUUUCUAAUUGUGCCCUUGGAUUAAAUUUAAUUGAAUCCUUGAGUUAUAACGCCAUUUACACAACAGUCCUAGAUGUUUGGACUAUUCAAUUUGGUCCUUGGACUUUAAUUUUCUAGCAAUUUUUCCUUGAAUCAGCUCUAAACUUUGAUAUUCUUUCAAUUACACCCCUGAUUCCUUUAAUUAAUUAAAUCAAAGUUUAAUUAAGUCCUUAAACUCAUUAAUUCUUCAAUUAAACUCUUGAUUUCAUUAAUUAAAAUAAUCUGAAUUUUAAUUAAAUCAAUUCUCCAAUUAAACCCUUGAUUUAAUUAAUUAAAAAGAGUUUAAUUAAAUCUUUAAACUUCCAAUCAUGCUGCCCUUAACCUAAAUUUUAAUUCAUUCUUCAUUUAUUUUAUUUUUAUUUGUUUUUUCAUCAUUUUUUAAAUAAAAAUAAUUAAAAUAAAAAGGUUAAAAAUUGGGUUAUGACAGUUGCCCCCUCUUUAUAAUAUUUACCUUGCAAAGAUAUUUAGAAAAUUUCAUUUUCUUUUAGCUUUGUGUAGUAAAUUUAUAAAGAAAAGUAGAUAAAGAAGUUUUUUUUUUUUUUUUUUUUUGCUUUUUUAGUUUGAAAACUUCAAAAACAGUAGAUUGACAUAAGAUUUUAACAGAGAGAACAAAUCAUUUGGAAGACGGUCCAUUUUUUUGUUGUUUUUUUUUUGUUCGAAAUGGAUCAAAUUGUUUUGGGCAACCUGCCCAAUGAUAAAAGAAACGCGAAGAAUUUCGCGAGUGGUCUAAUUGUUCCAGGCGACCUGCCCAAUGAUUGAAAAAUACGAGAAAUUUUUUUGUGAUGGUAUAUUGUAAUGGGUUAUCGGCCCAGAUGGUCACAUUGUAAUGGGUUACCUGCCCAGUAUAAGAUGGUAUGUUGUAAUGGGUUACCCGCCCAAAUGGUAACAUUGUAAUGGGUUACCUGCCCAGUAUAGGAUGGUAUAUUGUAAUGGGUUACCGACCCAGUUGGUCACAUUGUAAUGGGUUACCUGCCCAGAUGGUCACAUUGUAAUGGGUUACCUGCCCAGUGGAUGGUAUAUUGUAAUGGGUUACCGACCCAGUUGGUCACAUUGUAAUGGGUUACCUGCUCAGGUGGUCACAUUGUAAUGGGUUACCGGCCCAGUUGGUCACAUUGUAAUGGGUUACCUGCCCAGUGGAUGGUAUAUUGUAAUGGGUUAUCGACCCAAUUGGUCACAUUGUAAUGGGUUACCUGCCCAGAUGAUCACAUUGUAAUGGGUUACCUGCCCAGUGGAUGGUAUAUUGUAAUGGGUUACCGACCCAGUUGGUCACAUUGUAAUGGGUUACCUGCCCAGGUGGUCACAUUGUAAUGGGUUACCGGCCCAGUUGGUCACAUUGUAAUGGGUUACCUGCCUAGUGGAUGGUAUAUUGUAAUGGGUUAUCGACCCAGUUGGUCACAUUGUAAUGGGUUACCUGCCCAGUAUAGGAUGGUAUAUUGUAAUGGGCUACCGGCCCAGAUGGUCACAUUGUAAUGAGUUACCUGCCCAGUAUAGGAUGGUAUAUUGUAAUGGGCUACCGGCCCAGAUGGUCGCAUUGUAAUGGGUUACCGGCCCAGUUGGUCGCAUUGUAAUGGGUUACCUGCCCAGUUGGUCGCAUUGUAAUGGGUUACCUGCCCAGUGGAAGAAUACGAGGAUUUUUUUUUUUAAGACAUGGUAAGGCUCGAAGGCGCUUUUAUUCAAUAGAUGGAAGCUCAAAGGAAAUGAGGGCUCGAAGACGCACUCAAAAGGAGGUAGGAUAGGAAAUGCACUACCUUUGAUGGUCGAGGGCUCGAAGGCGCGCUCGAAAAGAAACAAGACGAGGGCUCGAAGGCACACUCGAAUGGGGAUAAGACGAGGGCUUGAAGGCGCGCUCGAAUGGAGAAUGAAAGGUGGUGGGAAAAUACAUAUAUUUUUCAAGUGGCCUAAUUUUCAUGGGCGGCUUGCCCAGGUUGAAAAAUUCUCAAAAGUGAAAAUUUUUCAAAAGCAAUUUCAAUGUUCGCCAUUUCAAGUUGGCCUUCCGCUUGAUGGAUUCUGUUAGAAUUUUCUCUAAUAAAAUUUGCAAAACUCAUUGUCCAAUGUCUCAAAGUUUAAAUGAUAUGCAUGCACCUGAUUUGAAAUAUAGGCCCCCCAUUUCUUCUUAGCCUUCUCGUUGCUUGGUUGGUGAGAUCUUGCUAUCUGAUUUGAGUCAUCUUUGUCGUUUGGCUUUCUAGCCCACUCGAGUUAGCCCAUAUAAGACUUUUUCUAGAUUUGUUUGCACAACUCAGCCUUUAUGGUACCCAUCGUGACCCACAUGCUUGCUAAAGAUUUUCGGACUCGUCAAAUAAUUUGAGAGGAUCAUUCAUUACCCCUCGUCUCAAUGCUAAAAACAUUCGGUGUCACUAGCUGAAAGGAUCAAACGGUCUUUUGUAAACCAAAAUGCCCCCUUGUCUUGUUGUAAGGGAUGAUAGAUUUUCCUUAAACAUAAUGUUGUCCCCUUGUACUGGUCAUUGCCCCCAAGUGCGCUAUGUCACUGACUUAGAUGAAUAAUGAUUUUAAGAGGCCAUUCUCUCAUUUGGUGAAGGAAUAUGAGUCUAGAAUAAAUCUUGAAAUCUUGAUCUUGCAUUUUAAAAACAAAAAUUAUUUCGAUGUGAGUCUAAAAUAAUUUGUUUUUGAAAUCUUGCAACUCCUUGGUUAUUUUCUUUCUUGGAAAAGAGAUUAUUUGCUCUUGUGUUUGGUAAUGAGGUCUUUGAGGAAAAUAUGUCAUGAGAUGACCUUUUGUUUCGAAGUGAAGGGCUCGAGAAAAAGCUCGAGGUUUUAUAUGAGAAAAACUUGUCUUUUUUAGCAUUUAUUUUUAUCAGCAUGAAUAAUAAUGAGUAGUUUAUUCUUGAUGUCAUGAAUCUUAUGAAAAAAUAUUCUUUGCAUUUUGAGAGCAUUGUUUAUUGUUCUAAGUUGCUUGCUUGCUUGAUUAGAAAGGACUUCUACAGGCAUGUAACGUAGGCUGUGUUUUUUAUUUUUUUGCUAUGAAAGAAAAGGAUUCAUAAGGCUCAAAGAGUGUUUCAGGGUUUCAAAGAUUGAAGAUCACGAUCAACAGUUUGACUCUUGAUGUCAUUCAUAUUUUCUUUUGCCGCUCUUCUUUGAUUUGCCCCUUUUUUUUUAUAGCUUUGCUAGAGCAUACUCACUUUAUCUUGGUUAUCAUUUUUUUCUUGUGAUUUGGGUAUGCCCCCUAGCAUUUGAGUUUCUUGGGCUCUUUAUGCCUUUUUGGCUUUCUCACGGCUUUUUCUCAUUUCACAUUGAAAUUUUCUCUUGCCCCCCAGUGUAGGGUGUGAUCUUAGUCAGGAUUUUUAAUGAAAGAAAAAUUAUUCAGGCUCAAAAAGGGAUCGCAAGGGAUGUACUUAUUUUAGAAAGUGAAAGGAAUAACAAAGAUGGCCUUUCCUCAUUUUAAGCGCAAGCAGUUAAGAUCAAUAAACUUUGACCUCAUCUAGUGUGAUGGUUUGGUCUUUGCAAAGAUGCAUUUCAUAAAUCAUGAGCAACGAAUUCUCUACAUACCAUUAUUCAUACAUUUAAAAACACAUGAUUCAAGAGUCAUGGGGUAAGUGUCUUUCUUUUUCUUUUUCAUAAUUUUUAUGGUUUAUAAUUUAGUCACCUCAAUGAUGAAGCUGCUUGAUUCACUUGUCAUUCUACAAGUAGAAUGUGAAAAAUAUCAUUUUUGAAUGAACAUCAAAUUAUUUUUGAAAUCAAAAUACCAGAUCAAAUUUUCAAAACUCCAAUAGGGAAAUGGAUUUUGGUACAAGAGAUGAAUUGCGUCUAUGAGAUCACGUAAGGCUUCAAAGGUGGAUUCGUGAGUUCUUAUAAGAAAAACUCUCUUAAUCAGAAUAAUGCUUGGUCGUGAACACGAUUGAAUGACAAACUCAAUAUUUCAUUGAAGCUUAGGAAAAGAAGUUCAACAACAAAGAUCUUAUGCCAACAUGAAUACUGGCAUGAUAACACAUAAAGGAGCUAAACAUUUAGUGAUCAUUCUCGACCUAAUAUCACCAUAGCUUUCUCUUCAAGGUAGUUGAUUUCUAGGAGUCGGCGUAAAGAAAUUAACCAUAGGAACAGUAAGAGCCUUGGCCACCCCCUUCAGUGUCCUUUCCUUUUUCGGUGAAACCGUUCUUUUCAGUUGGAUCAGCAAUUUUACCUAACCCAAUGGCUUGUUCAAUCCUCUCAGCUACAACAACCAGGUCAGUGAAAUGUUGUGCAGAGCUUCUAACCAAGUAUUCAAAGUACGGAGCUUUAAAGGUGUUGGAAAAUAAACUGAUCAUCUCUUUUUCCAACAUGGGAGGAUUAACUUGUGCAGCUACCUCACUCCAUCUCCGGGCGUAUUCCCUUAUGGACUCCUUGUUGUCCUUCUCCAUAGCUUGCAAGCUUAACCGAUCAGGGCCCACGUCUAUAUUGAACUUAUAUUGCCUCAUAAAGGCAUCCACUAAAUCCUUCCAUUUUUUAACCUUGGUAUUGUCCAACCGCAUAUACCAAGUGAGGGCAACAUUACUCAGACUGUCUUGAAAGAAAUGAAUCAGCAGUUUCUCAUUAUCAACCACCUCAGCCAUUUUGUUGCAGUAUGCUUUGAGAUGAGUUAUAGGACAUUGAGUUCCCGUAUAUUUAACAAAUUCGGGCACUCUAAACUUUUUAGGAAUGACAACGUUGGGCACCAAACACAUCUCAACAGCCCUUAUAGGAUCAUAUAGGUGAAUUCUCUCAAAUGCCCUCAUCCUUUGCUCUAGGGCAAUGAAUUUGUUCAGAUCAUCUUCUUUUACCACCUUGCCUUUUUGAUAUUCCUUCUCUAUAGAAUCAAUGGUGGACAAAACUCUCGCAGGGUAUGCUGGCUGGAAAUGCAUAGGUUGUUGAAAUUCAGAUGACACCCUAUUUGCCCCCAGAUUCUGUGGAUCGAAAUGAGUUACAUGCAUAUCUUCAGGCUGAGCUAUAAGUGUUGCUUUUCCGGAUUUAUUUCUCAAGACCUGCUCGAGUAGACUAGUAAUCCUUGUGACUUCUUCCUUAAGAUUGUCCACCUCUUUUUGAUGUUGGGCUUCCAACUGGGCUCUUUCUUCGUUUUCCAUUUGUCUUUUUCUCGAACGAGUGUUAUACAUGGGUUUCAAUGGGGAACCUAUAUUUCAACCUGUUAAAUGUAAAUCAUGCAAUUAUGCAAAAAUGCUGAAGCAAUUAGAAAAAAUGCAAAUGAAAUGCGGACUUGCCCUUUUACGGGAUGACAACCUAAUAAACAGAUCCUAAUUGUUGAGUGCAUCAAAGGGUUGGUCAUUAUCUAGUUUUAAAGGGUCUCUCGCACGCUCAGUGAUCGUCCAUGAAAGGUCGAUAUGAGGCUUACAAGUAGUGUGAAGAUAGAGGCCCUAAGUAAUAUCAGUUUGGCAUAUCAACCACUUCCAAGUAAACAAUCAAGCGAGAGUUGGAUGGUUUCACGAGUCUUACCCAGGCUAAAGCCAUUGGGGUACCGUUACUCCCCCCAUUUAUCCUAGAUUUUAAGGUAUGUGCUUUUAACGUGAUGCAUGACAAUAUAAACAUAGAUGCAUGCUAAAGCAGUAAAUGCAAGAAAAAUAAACAAAUAAACACAACAUAACAAAUAUUAUAGCAAUUGACAAACAAAAGGCAAAGCUUAGUCCAUUAUUCCCCAGUGGAGUCGCCAUUCUGUCGCACCCGACAUCGCGGCGGCCUUAAAAAAAAAAAUCAGGUAUAUUGCGGAAAAAGAACAGAUUUCUGGCAUCUUGUUCUUUUAGGAAAAAUGUCUUGUUUAAGGAGUCGCCACCUAGUAUUAUGGUCACUAGGAACCCUAACUGGUCAACAGAGAUUCUAUGGUACGGGACUGGUUACGUAAAAGGGAAGAUAUUAUCACCCCUUAAACGUUCUGCCUAAGGCAGACUGCAUUGCUGGUUUUGUCUUAAAUUGCUAAACAUUUAUUCGCUUAUGCUAUGAUGAUUUGUUUAUAAUAUUCCUGACUCUGACGCCAGUGAAUAUUCGAUCGCGAAUAAUUCCAACUCUGGCGUUGGUAAAAAUUCCACCCGAAUAAUUCCAACUCUGGCGUUGGUAAAAAUUCUACUACAAAUAAUUCCAACUCUGGCGUUGGUAAAAAUUCAUAGCCACCAAAAAUAAAUUCAGAUUAAUAUUUUUUUAUUCCUGACUCUAACGCUAGUGAAUAAACAAAUAAACUAAAUUUAUGCAUUCACAUAUUUUUUUAUUUUUUAUGUAGUUAAAUAAAAAAAACAAAGAGAAUAAUUAAAUAAGUAUUUUUAUUUUUGACUCUGAAAUCAGUAAAUAAAAAUAAAUUUAUUUUUCAUACAUGCACGUAUAUUUUUUUGCUAAAUAAAAAAAAUAUACGAAUAAAAAUAAUAUAAACUUAAACUAAUAUUUUAUUCCCGACUCUGGCGUGGGUGAAUAAACUAGUAAAUUUAUAUUAUUUUUAUUCAUGCACACACAUAUUUUUUUAUUUUUUUAUUUUUUAUUUUCUUAUUUUUUUUAUAUAUAUAUUUGUUUUUUGCUGGGCCUAGCUCAGCCCACAUGGGCUGGGCCCAGCCCAGCCCAGCCCAGCCCAGUCACUGGCCCAAGCCAGUGACCCGGCUGGGCAACAUGAAGCACGCGUGAACUAAAUCACGCGUGCAUUAGCAGAUAAAGGAAUUAAUUGAGAGUGUACAGUAGGAAGUGAAUUAAAAUGAAAAACGGUGAAAGGUGAAAGAGAAACUUACUUACCUGGCUCUGGAUACAACGAAGGCAGCAGCAACAAUGGUUCUGGUCACGGUGGCUUUCCUCUGCUUAUGUUCGUCCCCUGUUUAUUGGCUUGUUCGUCCCCUGUUCUUGUUUCCAGUCGCUCUCCUUUUGUUUCCUUGCUCUCGUUCUCUGUCUUCUGCGUUUGUUUUUCUUCUGUGUUUCCCUGGUUCUCUUUUUGUUCACCUUAUCUUCUCUGCUUUUCCUUUUUUUUCGUCUGUGUCUGUCCCUUCUCUCUCGGUCUGUUUUUUCUUUUUUUUUCUCUUGCUCUCACAUGCUCUGUCUUUCUCUGUUUUUUUCUGUUCUUGGCUCUGUUUUGGGUUGAUUUUUCUUGUGCAGGGAUGAAGAUGAUGGCGGGGUUGAUCUCUGAUUCCUUUCUGCCUUUCUCCCCUUCUCCCUGGGUAUUUCUUUUUGUGUUUGUGCUCUGUUUUGCUCUGCUUGUUUCCUCACUGAUUUCCGGUUCUUGCUUUUUCCAAUCUUCCCCCUCGUUUUAGUCCAAUUCAUCCCCUGUUUCCAGUGUUCUUUUUCCUGCGUUUUGCUCGGUUCCCCUCCUCCGGUUUGUUCGGUUCUUUGUCCAGCCCCGUUGUUCCCCUGUUUCCUGAGUUUUUCUAUGGGUUCUGCUCCAGUUAUCCCCCCUCUGUUCGUCCCCUUGCCUCUGCUCUGCUCUGCCUUUUAUAGAGCCCGAGCACGCAGAAAAAACCCGUUCCUCUGUUCAUCAAUCCAUGAGCGGGAUCAUGGGCAAGAAAUCAUGGUGUCGUGGUCCACGAUUUGCUGCAAAUUUCCUGUUAAAACGGCUUUUUCCGCUCAAACGUGGGAGACGAUGAACAAUGCUUCCAAAACGGUGCCGUUGUGUCCUUGGGCAUGGCUUUUUUUAAUUUAGUCCCUAAACAGUUUAAACUUAACAAUUGGGAUCCUAAUCAGAAACAAUUGAUUUCUAAUUGUGCCCUUGGAUUAAAUUUAAUUGAAUCCUUGAGUUAUAACGCCAUUUACACAACAGUCCUAGAUGUUUGGACUAUUCAAUUUGGUCCUUGGACUUUAAUUUUCUAGCAAUUUUUCCUUGAAUCAGCUCUAAACUUUGAUAUUCUUUCAAUUACACCCCUGAUUCCUUUAAUUAAUUAAAUCAAAGUUUAAUUAAGUCCUUAAACUCAUUAAUUCUUCAAUUAAACUCUUGAUUUCAUUAAUUAAAACAAUCUGAAUUUUAAUUAAAUCAAUUCUCCAAUUAAACCCUUGAUUUAAUUAAUUAAAAAGAGUUUAAUUAAAUCUUUAAACUUCCAAUCAUGCUGCCCUUAACCUAAAUUUUAAUUCAUUCUUCAUUUAUUUUAUUUUUAUUUGUUUUUUCAUCAUUUUUUUAAAUAAAAAUAAUUAAAAUAAAAAGGUUAAAAAUUGGGUUAUGACAAUUUACAAAAGAAAUUUCCUAGUACUUUCUACUGUAUAUAAUUUGAAAAAUUGUGACUGACCAACUUACUUGCAAAGUAUUGGCAAGAAAGUUAAAGAAUUAGAGUUUUUAAAUAUUUAAAAUUAUAAUUUUAAAUUCUAAGAAAAAAAUCAAUUAUUUUUAAAAUUGUUUUCAAAAAUAAAAGCAUCAACUAUUUAUAUAAUAGCUAAAUGAAUCUAUUAAAAUAAAUAAAAAAAUAACUAGUAAAAUCAAGUGAAUAAUCCAAAAAUAACAAGAAAAUAGAGAUAUUUCCUAAAUAUGAUUCCAGUUUGUAUUUGCUAACAUAAAUAGCAUACAUGAACUUUAUUAUAAUAGUAUAUUUGAUAUUUAAAUAAAAACUUAUAGAUAUUAUAUGGGUUGGAAACCCAUUUUUUAUUAAAUUUUAAAUUUUAUAUGUUUAAAAAUAUUUUUUUAUAUUUUUUAAUUAUUUUAAUGUGAUAAUAUUAAAAAUAAAUAAAUAAAAUUUUUCUAACUUUUACUACUUCUGACUUGCUUUGACUCGAAAUUCGCGGUGCUUUCUCCUGCAAAUGAAUAGAAAGCAUAUCAUUUCUCCUCCUCCUAUAUGAAGAAUACAACUCGCUUUGAAACCUCAAUUAAAUUUCCUUGGUUUACUCUUCAGAUUACUUCUCCUAAACUCCUUUGUUCAUUUUCUUUUUUAUUACCCCUUCAUGCCAAUUGUUAGAUACUAAAAACAGCAAGAACUGUACUCAAUUAGCAAAAAAUAGAUUUUUGACUAGAAAAAUUCUAUCAAAUUCUCUACUUUAUUAGUGUUCAUUUUCAUUCUUUUUUAACAUAUCUUUUCCAAUUGUUUAGAAAACUUUUAUGUCAAUCAAUAUACACCUACUUUCAACGUUUUACACUGCUUUAGUCCUAAAAAAUAAUUCUAGAUAUAGUUGUAUUGUAAUAGAUAUUAUAUUUCAAACUAUUUUUGAAAUAUAUUAAAGUAAUAUAUUUUUUUAAAAAAAUAAUUUUAACAUCGCUACAUUAUAAUAAUAAAAAUAAUAAUUUAAAACAAUAAAAAAAUUUAAAAUAUUUUUAAAAUAUGAUUUUACUGCACUCCAAAACAUACCAUCCUCCCUCAGCAACCACCACGAAAUUACCACUCUAAAAACUCUUUGACAAUUAUUGCUUGCUCUUUGACUAUUAUUGCUUGGCUAAUGAUUUGCAAGAAACUUUCUCAAUUUCCUUCUAUUUUCUUUUUAUCAUGGAAACUUUAAGUCACAUCUACGCCUACCACGAACUACCAAUAAGUAAAUUUCAAUAUGUAAUUGUGUAGGUUGAAUUAAAAGUGCUUUAAUGAAGUAUGUUAAAAAAUAAUAUAAAUUAUAUUUUAGAUUUUAUUUUAAUAAUUUAAAUUUCUAGAUGAAUAGAUUUUUUACAAAUAAAAGAUAUAGUUUUACGAUAAAAUGCAUUUUUUGAAAUGAAAUUAUAUUAAAUUAAACAUGCUCGAGAUUGUUUGAAUUAUUAAUUAAUUAUAAUUAACUUUAUGUUUUUUGAGGAAACAAAUGGGAAGGACAAAAUUAUCUACCCCAAACGAUAGACCUAGCCCACUUUUCAAACCAAUCCCCAAAUAAAUAGAAUGAUGGUCUCAUAAGUUGCUUUUUUUCUUUCUAGGCCGCCAAGCAGUUUGGUCUCCCUCACUAGACCACUUUAGCACAAGAAUCACACUAGAGGAUUUAAAAGUAGUUUGAAGUAUCAUUAAACCUGAUAAAAAUGAAUAACUGAUAAUAAUAUAGUUGGGAUUUUAAAAAAAAAUUCAUAAAAAACUAUAUAAAAAGCAAUUUAAAACCAAUUAAUCUUAAAAACACCAAAAUGAAACAUGCCAUGAAAAACAAAUUAAAAAAAAACAAAAUACUUGAAAAAAAUUAAUUCAACCCUUUUUCAUAUAAAAAAAAGUAAUUGGGUAUUAAUUUACGGUAAAAAGAGUAUAUUAAUGCAAAAAAAAAAAAAAAGAGUUUGAGGGUAUUGAUUUUAUUACUUGUUAGGUAACUAUGUAAUCUAAUCUGUUGAUGUGGAAAAUAGCACUAAGUUUUUGGCAUUGCCCAUUGGUGAGAAGCAAAAGCAGUAGCAGUCCAUCAGGACCAUCACUAUCGUAUCGCUUCGCCGUACUGUUUAGCUUCUUGGCAUUGUUCGAAGGAACGCAGAAAUACAUUCCAAGUGCGAAAGUGUAUUAUUGUCAUAAAGUUUUUCAAACCUCCACUAUAGAGAGAGAAAUAAAUAAAAAGCGCAAAGGCAACUAUACUAAAGGUCAGUUUUUCACUCUCUGAAAAAUCCUUAAAAAAUCUUUUUUAGUUUAUUUGUAAUUAAAUUAAAGAAAAAUAUUAAUUAGUAAUUUUACAUUUUUUUCUAUACUAUAAUUAUCAAAUAACCCUUAAAAAAUUUCAUUUUAACCUUUAUUCUCUCUUCUUCUUUUUCAAUUCAUUUGUUAAUUUGAUUUUUUUUUAAUUUUGCUUUUUGAUUCAAAAUUUUAGUUUAUCCUCUCAAUUUUUUUUCAAAUAAUGUUCUUAUUCUCUUAAUUGCUAUUUUUUUAUCCUUUAAUUUUUUUAUUUUAUUAUUCGACAAUUCAUUAAUUGGAUCUGAUCUCAUUGGUUUUUUCUAUUGUUUCUAAACCCUACCCAAUAAUCAAUCCAGGAUAAUUAUCGAGUUACGAGUCGAGUGGGUUGACUCGAGUGAACCCAGACAACCAAAUCCUUUUGUUUUAUAAAAAGCCAAAAUGAUACCAAUUUUUUAUUUUUAAAAAAUAAUAAACGAGUUUUGACCCUGUUUCGGCUAGAUUUUCUUAGGAUUAACUAAAACAUUUAUCAACCCAAGUUUUUUAUUGUAUUACAUUAGAUUAAUUCUCUCUCAAUUAUUUUUGAAACUCGUGCGUUUUAAACCAAAGGUCACAUGGGACACAAUUUCUUUGUGCUUUGUACUGUACAUAAUUUGAAAAACUGUGAUUAACCGACUUACUUGCAAACGAAGCUAAAGAAAAAAAUCAAUUAUUUUUUUUUAAAUUCAAAAAUAAAACAUCAACUAUUUAUAUAAUAGCUAAAUGAAUCUAUUAAAAUAAAUAAAAAAUAACUAGUAAAAUCAAGUAAAUAAUUCAAAAAUAACAAAAAAAAAUAGAGAUAUAUUUUUUAAAAACUUUUAUCUUAUAUGGGUAGGGGUUGCCAUGCAACUUAACCGGGAUCACCAUGAUUGUCGAGUAAAGUAAAUAAAUUACUUAACCGGGAUCACCAGAGGAGUUAUUUGCCAAGAUUGAGUUAUAUAACAGUUUAUAAAUCAUGCUAUCAUCUCCAUCACCAUAUAUAAAGCUAGACAAAAUAGGAUAAGAGGGGAUUAAAUUUAGUUUUAGAAUAUAUUUGAGAAUAUAGUUGAACCAUGUUUUUUAAAAUGUUUUUAAAUUGUUUUAAUAUGCUGAUGUUAAAAAUAAAUUUUAAAAAUUAUUAUUUUAAUAUAUUUAUAAUUAAAAAAUAUUUUAAAAAGUAAUUUUCAUCACAUUCUCAAAUUAGUUAAAGUUUUUCAAAUGAAUAGAUUCAUGUCGAUGACACUCUCUAGUCAGUUUUGAGAAUUUUAAAUCCAAACAAGUGAAUUUAUAUUAUAUAUGGAUCAAACAAGCAUGCUUGUACAAUAAUUUCUCAUACUCAAUAGAAAUUUGGGUUUAUCAUUAGGGUAAGACAAACCGAAUAAUUCUUUUAAUAUUUAAAAAUUAAAAAAUACUGUGUAGCUGUUUUGUAUAAAUUGUAAAAUUGAGUCUUUUGUGCUUGGUAAAAUACGUCACAAUAAAGUCAAUAAAUAAUAACACAAGAAAGGAUCAAAGUUAAUAAAUAAUAGCAUGCUUUAAUAGAUUGUUACAGUAAAAGCACAGAGAGAAGAACGGUUCAAGACAGAACAAUAAAGUUAACGCGUGGACUCAUUUGUUGCAACCAGCACGAAACUCCAGCUCAAUUAUAUGUUAAAAAAUAAUAAAGUAUGUUUUAAUAGCAUGCUUUAAUAGAUUUAAUAAAGUAUGUUAAAAAAUAAUAUAAAUUAUAUUUUAGAGUUUAUUUUAAUAAUUUAAAUUUAUAGAUGAAUAGAUUUUUUACAAAUAAAAGAUAUAGUUUUACGAUAAAAUGCAUUUUUUGAAAUGAAAUUAUAUUAAAUUAAACAUGCUCGAGAUUGUUUGAAUUAUUAAUUAAUUAUAAUAAACUUUAUGUUUUUAGAGGAAACAAAUGGGAAGGACAAAAUUAUCUACCCCAAACGAUAGACCUAGCCCACUUUUCAAACCAAUCCCCUGGUAAAUAGAAUGAUGGUCCCAUAAGUUGCUUUUUUUCUUUCCAGGCCGCCAAGCAGUUUGGUCUCCCUCACUAGACCACUUUAGCACAAGAAUCACACUAGAGGAUUUAAAAGUAGUUUGAAGUAUCAUUAAACCUGAUAAAAAUAAAUAACUGAUAAUAAUAUAGUUGAGAUUUAAAAAACAAUUCAUAAAAAAACUAUAUAAAAAGCAAUUUAAAACCAAUUAAUCUUAAAAGCACCAAAAUGAAACAUGCCAUGAAAAACAAAUAAAAAAUAAAAAAAAUACUUGAAAAAAAUUAAUUCAACCCUUUUUUCAUAUAAAUAAAGUAAUUGGGUAUUAAUUUACGGUAAAAAGAGUAUAUUAAUGCAAAAAAAAAAAGAGUUUGAGGGUAUUGAUUUUAUAUUUUUUAUUAACGUGGGUGUCCGAGUCAGUUUACAUGCACCUCGACUAAUUCUACGGGUCCUGAAGCUAACUACCAUGUAAGUCUCCAGUGGUCCUGAGAUUUAUGAGACUCGAACUGGUAAUCUUUAGGAAGCAAACUCAGGAGCUAGUCAGUUAAGUUACCCUGAGGAUUGGAUCUAGAUUUUAUUAAGAAAAAAACCGGUCGAUCCACCGAGUCAAUCUGGAACCCGGGUGACCCGACAAAACCCGGUAGAAACUUUUUUUUUUCAAAUGUGUUUUUUCUUCUAGCUAGAGAUUCAUCUUUUUUCAUACAUGAAAAUAAAAAAAAAUAAAAAUUUAAAACAAUAAAAAUUUUAAAAUAUUUUAAAAAUAUAAUUUUAUUGCAAUCCAAAACACACCCAUGCUCCCUCAGCAACCACCACGAAAUUACCACCCUAAAUUCGGGCUCAAUAAUUUAUUCCUUAGCAAUUAUUGCUUGCUCUUUGAAAAUUAUUGCUUGGCUAAUAAUUUGCAAAAAACAAUUGCUUUUUUUCUUUCCAGCCAGCCAAGCAGUUUGGUCUCCCUCACUGGACCACUUUAGCACAAGAGAUGUCGUUAAAAGAGUACCAUAAUGCAAAAAAAAAAAACAAAAAAAGGAGUUUGAGGGUAUUGAUUUUAUUAUUUGUUAGGUAACGAUGUAAUCUAAUGUGUUGAUGUGGAAAAUAGCACAAAGUUUUUGGCAUGGCCAUUGAUGAGAAGCAAAAGCAGUAGCAGUCCAUCAGGACUAUCACCAUCCUAUCGCUGACAUUCCAUGUGUGAAAGUGUAUUGUUGUCAUAAAGUUUUUCAAACUUCCAAUAUAGAGAGAGAAAUAAAUAAAUAAAUAAAUAGAAAGCGCAAAGAAAACAAUACGAUAAAUUUAAACUAUACUAAAGGUCAGUUUUUCACUCUGUGUGAAUCUACAGUGAAAGCUUGAUUUUGCACAUGGUAGAUAAAUUUAGGUUUAGGAGUAUAAUUUUUUUUUUUAUAUAAUUACACUAAAGAAGAAUAUUAAUUGGUAAUUUUACAUUUUUUUAUAAUAUAAUUAUCAAAUAACCCUUAAAAAAAUUCCUUUUAGUUUAGGGUUUUUUUUUUCAUCUCAAUUACUUAACUGUCCCUAAAAAAUAAACUCCUUUACUAUGGAUGUAAGGUCAUUUUAGAUUUUUGGCUAUAUUUUUUUUAUUAACGUGAGUGUCUGGAUAGUUUAUACACACCUCGACUAAUCUCAUGGGCCCUGAAGUUAACGAUCAUGUAAGCUUCUAGUGACCCUGAGGUUUGUGGAACUCGAACCAGUGAUCUUGAGGCAACAAACUCAAGGUCUAACCAGUUGAGUUAUACCCCUGAGAAUUGGGUCUAGAUUUUAUUAUUUGUGAGGUAACUAUGUAAUCUAAUCUGUUGAUAUGGAAAAUAGCACAAAGUUUUUGGCAGUCCAUAGUCUUACAGCUAGUACUAAAGUUUUUUUUUUUCUAAAUUAAAGAUGAAUAUUUUUUGUUGGCAUCAAAUAAUUUAAAAUGAGAAUUACAGAGCACAGGGUUUAAUCAAAUAUUAAAAGAGAAGAUUUUGUGGAAUUAUUAGAUAAUUAAAAUCAUCACUAAUCUCCUUUUUUCAUUUUUUUUUAAUUAUUAUUAUCCCUGGCAUGCACGAAACAUUGAAAACCGCAAUUUUUCAUGAUAAAAUCCAAAGGAUUGGUACUUUGGUGUUUGUGGGGCUGGUAAAUGGAAGAACACGUGUUUGUGGGGCUGUUAUUUCAUUCAAGGUGCGUACUUUGGUGUGUAUCACGUGUUUGUUGCAUUGACUGAAUAUGAUAGUGGGAACUUAUUUAUCAAGAAUUAAAGCAGUAGUUGCUUAUGGAUAAUUAGCUCUUCCAUCCAGCAUUAAUUCUAUUAUCAAUUAUAGUUCAGUCAUAAAGUUUUUCAAAGAGAGAAAUAAAAAGGAAAAGGAAAAGGAAACAACCCCCACUCCAUCUUUCCCUUCUUUCCAUGAAAAAAGGAAACACCCCAUAUGAUUUUGAUUUUCAAUCAGUGUGAGUGAGAAAGAAAGAGAGGAUUAAAUUUGAUUUUGAUUUCGAAGAGAGAAUUAAUUAAAUUUAGAAUUAAUUCUAUUAUGUAUUUAAAUGUGUUUAGUUACCUUGUAAACCGUAUGGUAGAGUCCCUCAAAUAUUCUGGCCACAGCAAUAUUUUAGGUGGAUUGUAUGGGGCUUGCAACCACUCUAUUAUGCCAAGCAAUAUUUUGUCAUAGAACCCUUUGGCCCUCUAAAUUACCCAAAAAGGACAAUAAUUGAGCACAAGUGGUACAGGUCAGGGUUAAACUCAGCUUGCUAGAGCCAGUUCUCAAUUUUAGGCACCAGUUCUCAAUUGAAUUUUAGCAAAAUCAAGGAUUCAAGAAUUGGCCUCUGUAACAUGGUUUGUAUUCUGAGCCAAUCUGGGCUAGGAUUUGAAACAAAUGUAGCUAUUUUUUCUCCUUUUAUUAUUAAAAAAUAUAUUCAUGGAUUAAUUUUCGUAUAAUUUAAGAAAGUAAGUCCUUUAAUCAAAUUUUAGAUGUGGCCAUCCUCAAUGUGUUAAAAGUAAAUGUUAAUUACCAAGUUGUUGCAAAAAGACAUUCCCUUUCUUGUCAUAAAGUUUUAAAGAGCUAUCAAAAACGUACUUCGUGUAUUAUUGUCGUAAAGUUUUUCAAGCUUCCAAUAUAGAAAGAGAAAUAAAAAGGAAAAGGAAAAGGAAAAGGAAACAACAAGGAAUCUUUCUUGUGCGCUUUCCCUUCUUCACAUGGCUUCCUCGAUCGAUGUAAAAAAGCAAACGCCCCAUUUGAUUUUCAAUCAGUAUGAGUGAGAAAGAAUGAGAGUCCUCUCUUUCCUUGCUUUUUUUAACGCGUGGACCCAGCAGUGGUUGCCACCAAAAUCCUUCCUCAAUAUUUACCAGUACUACACGCUUGAGAAAUUUCCUUGCUUUUUUUCCUCUACGUACUGUUACCUUUUACCAGAUUUCCCAGAAUAGCCCCUUCGUGGGCUACUUUAUUCUUCACGGGUUCUUCUAUUGCCAGAUUCUCUCAUGCAAUUAAGUUUUUCUUUCCGUUUCCAAAUUUGAUAGCCCCAAAACCUCAUCAUUGAGUAGGUUUUGUUUUAGUUUAAGCGUGAUGGAGACGACACUAAAAAUAACAACAACAAAAAAACAGUUUUGGUGUAAAUAUCAAUGGAAGGUUUGGGUGCAGUCCUGUUUGUUUUUGUAUUUUAAAAAUAUUUUUAAAAAAAUUAAAUUUUUUUUAUUUUUUUACUUCAAAUUCAUAUAUUUUUUAGCCAUUUUAGAUCAUUUUGAUGCGCUAAUAUCAAAAUAAUUUUUAAAAAAUAAAAAAAAUAUUAUUUUAAUAUAUUUUAAAAUAAAAAACACUUUAAAAAUAACUCCAACAAUAAUCUCAAAUAUUCUUUAAAGACACAAUUUAAGUCACCGUAGGGUCAAAUAGGUCAGGCACUGUGCUGCAUGGUUAUUACUACUUUUUAGCCUUUUUUUUUUAUAUAUAUAUAUAUAAACAUCUUUUAUUUUUCUUAUCGGUUUCUCUGUUUCUCAUUAGCUUUAUGACACCAAUUAACAAUAAUCAAAUUUAAAAAAUAAUUAAUUUGUCCUUUUAAAAAAUAAUAUUUAAUCCUUAUGUUUUAAUAUAAAGUUAAACAUGUGGCAGUAGAAAUGAAGAAGAUGCCACACCACUUAAGGGCCCAAAGCCAAAUUUAAAAACAGGACCAUCAAACACGUGUUAACCUCUCAAGAUAAAGGAUGCAAAACUUGGAACAAAAUGAAAAAAGUGCAAUGCUGAUGAGUUCAUCAAACCAUGACCGUUCCAGGUGAAAUACAAAGUUUAGAUCAGUGCUUGUCAGUUGUGUGUUGAACUGAGAAAGAAUAAUUUGAUUGUCAUUUCAGUACAAAAGUAAGAGCAGAAGAGGCUUUUAUAUAUAUAUAUAGCCUAUACAGAGACUAAUAAGGAAAAACUCAUUACACUAAUCUAGUAAAUAAUCAUGGACGAUUUACAAUCAAGUAAGGCUAAUUAGGAAACUAAAUAUUCUAUGAUUCCUAUUCUGUGAUUUCCAUAUUUAUUCUUCACGUUAACACUCCCCCUCAAGUUGGUGCAUAGAUAUCAGCAAUGCCCAUCUUGUCAAGUGAUUUAUGAAAGAUUUUGCCCGAGACAGCCUUUGUAAGUAUAUCUGCUAGCUGAUCUUCUGAUUUUACAAAUGGAAAUUGAAUCACGUUGUCUUCAAGCUUCUGUUUAAUGAAAUGCCGAUCUACCUCAACAUAUUUGGUACGAUCAUGUUGAAUUGGGUUGUGCGCAAUUGCUAUGGCUGCUUUAUUGUCACAAAACAUGUUCAUUGUAUCUUGAGAUGAACAUCCAAUUUCUUCCAUUAAUCUCUUUAACCAAAGUAGCUCACAUAGUCCUUUGGUCAUACCUCUGAAUUCAGCUUCUGCACUUGAUAAAGCAACUACCUUCUGUUUCUUACUUCUCCAAGUGACUAGAUUCCCGCCCACAAAUGUGAAGUAGCCGGAUGUGGAUUUCCUGUCAGUGAUGUUCCCUGCCCAAUCUGCGUCAAUGUAACCAUUGAUGUGCAGAUGUUGAUGUUUCCUGAACAUCAGUCCUCUGCCUGGAGAAGACUUCAGGUAUCGUAAAAUGCGAAUCACAGCACUCAUAUGAUCUUCGCUGGGGUAAUGCAUAAACUGACUUACCAAACUCACGUCAUAUGCAAUGUCUGGUCGAGUAUGAGAUAAGUAUAUUAGUUUUCCCACAAGGCGUUGAUAUCUCUCUUUAUUGGUGGGAGCCUGAUUAGGAAAUUCUCCCAAACCAUGGUUUUGAACUAUUGGUGUAUCAGCUGGUUUGCAGUCAAGCAUUCCUGUUUCAGACAGCAAGUCAAGCACAUAUUUCCUUUGGGAUAGAAAUAUGCCUUGUCUCGAUCGAGCCACUUCAAUCCCCAAAAAAUACUUUAAUCCUCCGAGGUUCUUCAUCUCAAACUCGGUUGCUAACUGCUCUUGUAAUUUUGAGAUUUCUUCUCUGUCGUUUCCUGUAAUUAUCAUAUCAUCAACAUAGAUUAUGAGAGCUGUUACCUUUUCUCGUUGGUGCUUCAAGAAGAGAGUGUGGUCUGAAUUACUUUGCUUGUAACCGUAUCUCCGCAUGGCAAAACUAAAUCGUCCAAACCAUGCUCUCGGGGAUUGUUUUAAGCCAUAUAACACCUUUUGUAGCUUGCAGACCACCUUCCCUUGCAUUAGGGAAGUAAGGUCAGGUGGAACAUCCAUGUACACCUCCUCCUCAAGAUCUCCAUGGAGAAAAGCAUUUUUCACGUUAAAUUGGUGUAGUGGCCAGUCCAAGUUUGCAGCAAGAGAUCAGUACUCUCACAGUAUUUAAUUUCGUUAUCGGUGAGAAGGUUUCUUGAUAAUCUAUCCCAUAUGUCUGAGUAUAUCCCUUUGCCACCAGCCUUGCUUUAUAUCUUUCUACCGAACCAUCUGCUUUGUGUUUGACAGAGAACACUCAUCUACAUCCCACAGUUUUCUUUCCUUCAGGUAGUGGUACGAGGUUCCAAGUAUUAUUUUCCUGCAGUGCUUCCAUUUCUUCAUCUAUUGCUUGAAUCCAUUUAGGAUUAUUCAAAACUUCAUUCACUGUAUUAGGGACAUCUUCUGUAGAUAGUUUAUGCGCCAAUGCCUUGAGGGUUCAGACAGCUUCUGAGUUGAGACAUGGUUGGCAAUUGGGUACUUGGAUUUGCUCAUUCCAUGAUCAGGUGAAUAUCGUUUUGGAGGUUGUCCACAAUUAUGUCUGAAAGGCAAGUUAUAGCCAGCAGAAAUAUUUUGAGAUGAGUUUAGAACUUGUACCUCAUAAAUAUUCUCAGGAGAUUGAACUGAUUGUGGUACUGUCACGGCAUGGAAGGGCUGUUCAUUGGAGACUUCUCCAGUUGCUUCCAUUUGCUCACUAGUUUCUGCACUCUUCUCCACUGUCUCGGUCUCAACGUGCUCAUCAUUUUCUCCUUGUUCCCUCAUUAAUUCUGUCUCUGUAUCAAUAGCAACAUGCGGCUGGAUAAUAUUAUCUGAGAUAUGCUCACUAUCUCCCCCUGCAUUCUUCACUGUACUGUCAGUAAAGCCCGGCCAAUAUUCCCAGGCCUGCUCUGCACUUAGGAGCUCCCCCUGACAAGAGGAGCUAGAAGAUAGGGAAGUGAAUAAAUGCUCAGAUUCAAGGAAGGUAACAUCCAUGGAGGUAUAGAGUCGUUUUGUAGCUGGAUCAUAGCAUUAGUAUCCUUUCUUAUGAGCUGCAUACCCAAGAAAAACACAGCGGACAGCACAAGGGUCGAGCUUGGUUCGUUGGUUUUUGUGUAUAUGAACAUAUACAACACAACCAAAUGUUCUGGGCGGAAGCAUGAGAACUGACGGUAGGAUCACAUGGUGGCCUAGAACUUGAAGCGGGGUCUUAUAGUCCAGAACUCUUAAUGGCAGUCUAUUCAGCAAGUAUACUGCAGUCACCACUGCAUCAGUUCAGAACCGUUUGGGCACAUUAGCAGCUGUCAAGAGAGCUCUAGUGAUCUCCAAGAUAUGUCGGUUUUUACGUUCAGCAACACCAUUCUGUUGUGGCGUUUGUGGACAAGAUGUCUCAUGAUGCAUACCAUGUUCCUGAAAGUAUCGGUGGAAUUGUUUGUUAUCAUAUUCCCCACCAUUAUCGGAUCAUAGAAUCUGUAGUGUUGCAGAAAAUUGUGUUUGAAUCAUAUUAUGGAAUGAGCGAAAUAUGUCAAACACUUUAUAUUUCGUUUUCAUCACAUACAACCAAGUCAUUCGUGUACAAUCGUCAACAAAUGUGACAAACCAGCGAGCUCCAGAAGAGAUAGUAAUCGGGGCAGGGCCCCAAACAUCAGUAUGAACAAUUGCAAAUGGAGUGGCACUCUGAUUUAAACUUAUUGGGUACGAUACACAAUGACUCUUAGCUUUAAUACAAGUUUCACACUGAAAAUCUGCUUCACGAAAUUUCGUGAAUAGUUCUGGAAAUAAACAGCGUAAAUACCGAAAUGAGGGGUGUCCCAACCGAUUAUGCCAUAACCAAAUCUGCUGUUCCUUAUUGUCGACGAUGUGUAUGUUAUUUGCUCGACCACAGCUGAAGUCAUCCAUGUAAUACAACCUUUCCCUCUUAGUACCACGACCAAUAAUCUCCUUGGUGAGAAUAUCCUGAAACAAGCAAAAACUAGGAUACAUUAGUGCACAACAUUGUAAUUCCUCAGUCACUUGUCCUACAGAUAACAACUUAUUGGACAGUGAUGGAACUAGCAGGGUAUGUGGUAAUGAGAAAGAAGGAGAAAGUGCAACUGUUCCAACCCCAGUCACUGGAUAUGUCACUCUAUUAGCAUUAGCAAUGCAUAGCCGUUUUGGUUGAGUGGUGUCAGACAAAUCACAGGGAUCAUACGUCAUGUGGUCUGUUGCUCCAGAGUCAAUAAUCCAGCCAUCAUGAUCAUGUCUUCUCUUCUAAGAGCAAAAAACAUAACCUUGAUUACCUGGGUCAUUCUGAUCAGUCUGUUCUUUAGCCGAGAUAGGAGAUUCUUGUGCAGGUACAAGUGAUAGUGUAGGUUCCAUGCUUAUAAGGGCUGCACGACCAGGAUGUUCACUACGCCUGGCUUCUGGUUUUUUCUUCGCCUUGAGUUCGUGCCACCAAUCUGGAUAACCAUGUAUUUUGAAACAUGUAUCUUUGGUGUGUUUUGUAUUUUCACAGUGUGUGCAACCUGCCCCUUCCCCAUGUGAUUUUGUAACUGGCCUUCCAUUCGCUGGCAUUAGAAAGGAUAAACGAUGUUGAGGUUUCUGUCCUCCCCUUGACAGCAUAGCACCUCCAGAUAUGACUUCUUCAUUUUUCAGCAUCACAGAUUGCCUUAGGUCUUCUCUCCUGACUUGCGCAUAGGCUUGUUCUACUGUUGGAAAUGGCUGCAUCUGGAGCACAUCUGCUCUAAUAUUGUCAAGUCUGUCAUCAAGCCCGUCUAAGAAUAUAUAGACUAUGUCCUCUUGCAAAAGUGAAUUAUAUUUCUGUAUGUCAGUAUUGCACUCCAUAGGGUUUGGAUGCCGGAAAUCAAUUUCUCUCCAUAAUCCCUGCAGAUUGUUGUAAUAUGUUUCAAUAGAUCCUCCUCCCUGUUUCAGCCUAGUAACUCUUUUUUUGAGUGUAUCAGUGCCAUCAAAGUAGGUUGUUGCAAUGUUAUCCCAAACAGCUUUGGCUGUUGAAAAUCUGAUGAAGUUGCUUAUAAGUUUUGGGUUCAUAGAGUUGAUCAGCCAUCCCUUCACCAUUGCAUUUUCAGUUCUCCACUUCCUGAAUGUUGGAUCUGUUUGCAGAGGUUGUGGAAGGUCUCUAUUUAUGUAUCCCAACUUGUCUUUUCUUGAGAUAUACAUGUCAACAAUUUGGACCAUAAUGCAUAAUUGUUGUCAUCUAACUUGAUUCCAAUCGGUGCAGCAGGUUCAUGGCUGGCAAGUUGUGUCAUCCCUGCUGUCAGAUCUGCAAGGAUUGAGUUCUCCCCUUCAUAAGUUUUCACCCCAGCAGAAGGGGUUUCCAUUCUUUUCCAGAAAAAAUUCUAUGGCCCUAGAAUCUCUGUUCUGAUACCAUGUUGAACUGAGAAAGAAUAUAUUUGAUUGUUAUUUCAGUAUAAAAAUAAGAGCAGAAGAGGCUCUUAUAUGUAUAGCCUAUACAGAGACUAAUAAGGAAAAACUCAUUACACUAGUCUAGGAAAUAAUCAUGGACGAUUUACAAUCAAGUAAGGCUAAUUAGAAAACUAAAUAUUCUAUAAUUCCUAUUCUGUGAUUUCCAUAUUUAUUCUUCACGUUAACAUUGUGCGUCCAUGGGAAGAACCUUUCAUUAAGCAGACUUAAAGAUAGAUGCUUCAGUUGUCCAUCACAUUAAUAAUUUAUUUUUUUGUGCUCUAAAACGGACUGGAAUAGAACAGGCAAAAGUUUGUUUCUGAUGAGAAAUAAUUUUUUUAUAUAAUAUCAAAGUUUUAUUAAUUAAGUGAUUAAUUAUAAGUUUAAAUUUUACAAUUUUUAUACUUGUACUAUAUAAUAAAAAUUAAACAUAAAGUAUUGAUGUUACAUGAAAAAAAAGAAGUGAUAAUUGCUUUAUCCGAGGAAUCUUUCAUAGUUGUAUUGCCUAGGCCACAUUGAUUUUUAUCCACAGUCUUACCACUACAUUAUAAUUAUAAACGAAACUAAAUAUAUAUAUAUAUAUAUAUAUAUUAUAGCUCCUUUGUCGCUUUACUGUUCAUGUCACUGCUUAUAGCCAUUGUUGUUUUUCUUGGUCCUUGAAACUUUUACCUAUUUUCGUUUUGGUCACAAAACUAUAUUAUUUUUCUUCAUUUACAUCCUUGCAAGUUCUAUUAACACGGUUCCGUUUGCUGUUAUCUACUUCGAUUUUCAUGUUCUCGCCUGUAUCAUAUAUCUUUAAAUAUUACUACAAUGAAUUAAAAAUCAAUUUUUCUAACCCUCCUACCCAUAAACCGAUCCUUGCCACAGGUUAAUCAUAUAAUCUCAUGCUCUUACCUACAGCUAAGCAUCGGCAGAACCAAAUAGUUGCUAUUAAGGUCAGUUCUCCACGUGCAUGUUCUUCCUUUUCAAGCUAAGCUGUUUUUUAGAAAGCUUCUAAUUUAGUUCAAGUCAAUAAAAGCUUAGCAGGUUGAUACAAAAGUUCAUGGCCAAGUAAAAGAUGUUUAUUUUGGAUGAAAUAAAUAUUCAUAUUGGAACAUAAUAUUCAUCUCUCAAAUCCCUAAUCCAGUUGGUAUAUUCAUGAUAAAAUCCAAAGGAUUGGUACUUUGGUGUUUGUGGGGCUGUUAUUUCAAAUCGCUAGCUUGUAAUUUACUGGAUCUAUUGCAAACAAUUCCCUCAGACGUCUAAAUAUCAAACCAACCAACCACCACCAUGCAUUUACUGAAUAUGAUAGUGGGAACUUAUUUAUCAAGAAUUAAAGCAGUAGUUGCUUAUGGAUAAUUAGCUCUUCCAUACAUUGAAAAACCGCAAUUUUUCAUGAUAAAAUCCAAAGGACUGGUACUUUGGUGUUUGUGGGGCUGGUAAAUGGAAGAACACGUGUUUGUGGGGCUGUUAUUUCAUUCAAGGUGCGUACUUUGGUGUGUAUCACGUGUUUGUUGCAUUGACUGAAUAUGAUAGUGGGAACUUAUUUAUCAAGAAUUAAAGCAGUAGUUGCUUAUGGAUAAUUAGCUCUUCCAUCCAGCAUUAAUUCUAUUAUCAAUUAUAGUUUAGUCAUAAAGUUUUUCGAGGAGAGAAAUAAAAAGGAAAAGGAAAAGGAAACAACCACUCCAUCUUUCCCUUCUUUCCAUGAAAAAAGCAAACACCCCAUUUUGAUUUUGAUUUUCAAUCAGGAUGAGUGAGAAAGAAAGAGAGGACAAGGGGGUAUUCUCUCUCUCUUUCCUUGCUUUUUCUAACGCGUGGACCCAGCAGUUGUUGCCACUUGCCACCAAAUUCCUUCCUCAAUAUUUACCAGUACUACACGCUUGAGAAAUUUCCUUGCUUUUUUUCCUCUUACGUACUGUUACCUUUUACCUUUUAUAAUUAUGAUUAUUGCAUUGCUAAUAAUUUAUUAUUAAUCAUCAAUAUUUAUUCUUGGUCAUCAAUAUUGAAUAAUGGCUUAUUUUCUAUUAUAAACUGUGUUUGAAAUAUAGGUUGAUGUUCUUAAAUAUUUUUUAAUGAUUUUAAUAUGUUGAUAGUAAAAAUAAAAAUAAAAAAACUGGUUUUGUUUUCCAAAAGAAAUUGACAGUCAAUUACUUGUUUACUAUGUUUUUAAGAACCAAAAUAAAUAAAUAAAGUUUUUUCUUUCCGUUUCCAAAUUUGGUAGCCCGAAAACCUCCUCAUCGCUGAGUAGGUUUUGUUUUAGUUUAAACGUGAUGGAGACGAUACUAAAAAUAACAACAAUAUAAAAAAAAUUGGUGUAAAUACCAUUUAUUUUUGCAUUUUAAAAAUAAUUUUUUAAAAAAUUAAAAAUAAAUUUUGUUUUUUAUUUUAAAAUAAUAUUUUUUUAAUAAUUUUAAAUUAUCUUAAUAUACUGAUAUUAAAAAUAAUUUUUAAAAGAUAAAGUUUUUAAAACAUAAAGUUUAGCCUGCAGAUCUUCCGCUGAUCCCAUCUCAUUGUUGUAUGCAUCCAAGCUAAGCCAAUUCAAGAAAGAAGAUUUGAAGAAUACCAGCAGCAGCAGGAGUAAUAAAUUAACAUAACAAACCAUCUAGGUGGUGGCCAGUAAUAAAAGCCUGAGACCAAGAGAUUUGUUUCUUUUGUGGUCUCAGAUUCGAGUUCUGUGAUUGCUCAUAUGAUUAUUACUGGAGGCUUACAUGGUCGUUAACUUCAGGGCCCGUGGGAUUAGUCGAGGUGCGCGCAAGCUGACCCGGACACCCACAUUAAACUAAAAAAAAAAAAUUAACAUAACAACAUUAUGGGAGAAGGAGGGAUGACCUCACUGCAAGGGCGGAGGCAUGUUAAAGGCUUGAGUGCGCUAUAAUUUAGAUCAAAACUUUAUUAAUAUAUUUUGAUUAGUUUUAUGUAAAAAAAUUUGUAAUUCUUGAUUGAAUUAUUAAAAAAAUUUAAAAUUUACCUGUAGCCUUCUAAUAUAAUAUUUUAACUUGGGUUAAAAUUUCAGAAUAUUUUGAGAAAUUCAGAAAUUUGAUGAAAAAUCAUAAUUUAGCCAGUUUUAUGUUAUUGAACGUAAUUUUCAAUCCAAUCAUCAGAUUGAACUGAAAUUUUACGAGGAAUCUUAAAAUAUAUUGAAUAAAAUAUAGUUAAAAUUUUAUGAUGAACAGAGCUUGAUAGUGCUAACAAAAAAAAAACCAUCAAAUAAAAACAAAUCAAGAAUAAAAUGAUUAUUUCCAUUAAAAAGUAAAAUAAAUUAACUCUUCCUUCAUUUUAUACGUUGCCAUCCUUGCAUUAGAGUACACUCCCACAUGCGUUGUGGCAGCGGUUUGCUCUGUUAUUGUUCUCAUUUCUCUUAUUGUUGAAAGAUCCUUGGGAAAGACAUUCCAAGGGUGCAGUGUUUCUUGUUCCCUUUCCCUUCUUUACAUGGCUUCCUCAAUGAAAAAGCAAGCACUAACGCACGUUCUCCACAAACUACCCCCUAUUUCGCCACUAUAUAAAUAUAUUAUGGAAAACAAGAUAAAAAGAAAUCUUUUGGUACAUAUAUAAAUAUAUUAUGGAAAUUAACAUGGUAUCAGAAUAUCUGUGAAGUAUUGCUGGGAAGUCAUAAUUUUUGACACGCCUAAUCACAGACUUUUUUGGGAAAAAAAAAGAAAAAAAGAAGCCAGGCUAUGAAAAUAGGUUUGUGGAAAUUUACAUCAUUUGAUCUUGACAGUAUCAGAUUAGACAAUUGCAUGGAAAUGGUCUUCUUAGUUUGCCGUGUGGAAAAUCAUGUCAUUUACGGGACUGCUGGAGAGAGUGUCUAAUGAUAAUUUUACCUUCUUUUAAAAUCUUUGACACUACUUGCAUUGACUGGAAAUUUCGCUCGAAAAUUUCUAGUAAUUUAUAAAGGAAAUUUCUACUGUAUAUGAAUUGAAAAACUAUUAUUGACUGACUUCUUGCAAAGUAUUCGCAAGAAAGCUAAAGAAUUAAAGUUUUUAAUUUUUAAAAUUAUAAUUUAAAAUUGUAAGAAAAAAAUCAAUUGUUUUAAAAAUAAAAAAUCAACUAUUUAUAUAAUAGCUAAAUCUAUUAAGAUAAAUCGAAAAUAACUAGUAAAAUCAAUGACUUGUAUUGACGAGUGUGUCUAUAUAUACAUAUAGGAACUGCUGAUUCGAUUUGAAUAUGUUAUUUGAUUAGUCUAAUUCAUGAUUUGCAUUGACUCAAAAUUACCACUAGAAAUUCCUAGUUUCGUGGUGCUUUCUCAGCCUGCAAAUGAAUAUAAAGCAUAUCCUUUUAUCCUAUAUAAAGAAUACAAUGAACCUUUUUAUCUUUUAUAAUUAUAAUUAUUGCAUUGCUAAUAAUUUGCACGAAAGAAUAUUCUUUCUCUGAAAAGGCCUUGAGAAAACCCUAAGCAUAGUAUAUAAUCUCUUAUAGGAAUCUCUUUAUUAAAUCAUCAAAAUAUCAAAGUCUGUUUCCAAAGACUAUGACUACAGUUUAUAUAUAGAAACAACCAAAUAUAAAAAUUAUUAUUUUUUAAAUAGAAAAACCAGAGAGCUUGAUAAUAUUUAAUAAAAUAAAAUAAAAUAGAAAAAUUAUUCCUUUUUAGGUAGAAAAAAAUUAUAAAGAUUUAAUAAUACUAAAUAAGAAAAAUUAAAAUUUCUACACUAAAUUAAAAAAACAAAAAAAAACUGAGAAAAUAUUUAUUAUCCCAAUAGUUCUUAUAUUAAAAUCUCAUUUAUCAUAUGUUAUAUCUAUCAAAAUAAUAAUAAUAAUAACUUGUGACGUGAACUAAAGCUAUAUGCGAAAACUAGAAAAACCCGGUAGAGACCGGUUCUGUUUUUUCAAAUAUGUUUUUUCUUCUAGCUAGAGACCCCUUUUUUUUAUAUAUUUUUCUAUUGGUUAGUAAACUAUUUCAAAGUUUAUUAUAUAAAUACUAGAAGAAUAUUUUAUUUUUUCAAUAUGGAAUAAAAAAAAUUAUUUUUGUUUAAAUACCUCAAUUUAAAAGAAUUAGAUAAUAUCUUUUUAAUAUGAGAUAAAAAAAACCUUUUAAAAUAAUCUUUUAAACUUUAUUAUAUGCAACAUGUAUAAUCUAUAUUCAUAUGAAUUGUUUCUUUAAUUUUUUUCAUAUGAAAUAUUAAAAAUCAAAUAUUUUUUUUUUAAUUUUUUCGGGUUAAUUUAGAUCAAUCUGUGUAACCCAAGACUCUGUUUUUUAGUCGGGUCAAAUUCAGCUUGGGUUCCAUAACUAUCAGUAAAUUUAUUGAAAAAAACGUAAUUUUUUUGCUUUUAUAAAAAUGAAAGGCAAAGAAUUAAAUUAGGACAUAUAUCACUAAUUAUUUACAUACUCUUAUUACAAACACAAAAUUUUAUGUCACUUCAUGAUAUCCAUGUUUUCAACGCUUUACACUGGUUUAAUAAAUUGUUACAGUAAUAUCACAGAGAGGAACGGUUCAUGAAAAAACAAUAAUGGAGUUGAAGCAGAAUCUCUGUUUGAUUUUUCUUUUUUGUGUUUUCGGUACACUGGUCAACAAUAGCUUGGAAGAGUUUGGAAUCAGUAACACAUGGACCCAGUUAUUGUGGAAACUUUGCAGAGGAUCUGCACUCUGCAGGAAGAAAAUGAUUUUAAUAGAUGUACUGUACAUCAUUUGAAUUUAUUAAAAGUAACGUGUAAUGUAAAGUAUGUACUGUACACCUGCUUUCAACGUUUUACACUGCUUUAGUCGUCCAAAAAAAAAAAAAAACCAUUAGAUGCUAUAAAACAAGAUAUAUACAAUUUAAUUUGAGAGUGUAAUAGAUAUUAUAUUUCAAAAUAUUUUUGAAAUAUAUUAAAAUAUUAAUUUUUAAAAAAAUAAUUUUAAUAUCAUAUAUUAGAACAAUAAAUAAUAAUUAUAAUUUAAAAAAAUAAAAAAUUUUAAAAUCUUUAAAAAAAUAAUAAUUUUACUGGACUCCAAAACACACCCAUGCUCCCUCAGCAACCACCACGAAAUUACCGCUCUAUAUUACAGCUCAAUAAUUUAUUUUAGCAAUUAUUGCUUGCUCAUUCACAAUUAUUGCUUUGCUAAUAAUUUGCAAGAAACUUUCUCAAUUUCCUUCUAUUUUCUUUUUAUUAUGGAAACUUUAAGUCACAUGUGCGCCUACCACGAAAUUACCGAUAAGUAAAUUUCAAUGCGUAAUUGUGUAGGUUUCAAUUAAAAAUGCUUUAAUUUGAAAAAUUAUGUUAACAAUAAUAUAAAUUAAUUUUUCUUCAUAAAAAAAGUAAUUGAGUAUUAAUUUAGGCUAUAAAAAUAAAAUAAUAAUAAAAAAAGAGUUCGAGGGUAUUCAUUUUAUUUCAUUUUACUAUAUAAUCUAAUUUGUUGAUGUGGAAAAUAGCAUAAAGUUUUUGACAUGGCUAUUGGUGAGAAGCAAAAGCAGUAGCAGUCCAUCGUUAUACUAAAGGUCAGUUUUUCACUCUGUGUGAAUUUACAGUAAAAGCUUGAUUUUGAAAGUGAGAUGAAAUUGGAAUAUUUUGAUUGAAAUUUAAUUAAAAAUUCAGAACAGAGUGAGAUUUGAAAUGAGACAAAAAAUCAUUCUGUUUUUUAAAUUUAUAUGAAAUUUUUUAGCUAUUCCAGACAGACAAAAUGGAAUGGAAUUGAGAACCUUGGAUGCAAUAUGCUUUUUAAUUAAAGAUAUAUUUAAAUAAUAAUUUUUAAAAAAAAUUAUUUUUUUUAUUUUAGUACAUUAAAAAUAAAAAAUAUUUAAAAAUAGUAAUUUAAUAUUUUCUUAAAAAAAUAUUUAAAAAACACUUUUAAAUUUUUUUGAACUGUACUAUUCCUUGAAAAAACUCAAACUCUAAAUAACAUCUACUAUUUUCAGAAUAUCUGUAAGAGAUUGCUGGGAAGACAUAACGUUUUGCCUAAUCAGUCUCUUUUGGAAAUUUAUACCAUUUGAUUUUGACAGUAUCAGAUUAGACAAUUGCAUGGAAAUGGUCUUCUUAGUUUACCGUGUGAAAAAUCAAUAUUAUUGUCCGGGAGGGAAGUAAGGUUUUUUUUUUAAAAAAAAUUAUUUAAAAAUAUAUUAAAAUAAUUUUUAAAAUCAAAAUGAUUUAAAAAUACUUAAAAAAAAUCUAAGACUAAAAAUUAAUCUAAAUGUUUUUGAAAAAUAAUUCAACCAAAGUGCCAAAUAUGAUCAAUAUCGAUUAUCUUUUAUGUAAGAUUAUCUUUUAUCUUUGACAAUUAUUGCAUUGCUAAUAAUUUGCAAGAAAACAUACUUUCUCAAUUUCCUUUUUUAUUAUGUUAGUAGAUGCUAGAUGCUGUUUAUUUUUGUGUUUUAAAAAUAUUUUUAAAAAAAUUUAAGAUUUUAAAUUAAUAUUUUUAGAUAUUUUAAGGUGCUGAUUUUAAAAAUAAUUUAAUUAUUUUUUUUAAAAAAAAAUCAUGACACGGGUAUAAAAAAAAAAUUAUGGUAGAUAUAGCCUCAUCUUCUCUGCUUGUAAAAUUGGAGCAGAUUAUGGACUUAAGCGAGCAAUUACCGCUCGAAAUUCCUAGUAAUUUACGAAGGAAUUUUCCUUGUUGUUUCUCUGUACAGUAUUAGAAAAAUUGUCAUUGACUGAUUUAAUUGCAAAGUCUCUGUAAGAAAGCUUAAAGAAUUAGAGCUUUUUAAAAUAAAAAAUAUAGAGAGAGAAAUAAAAAAUAAAAAUAAAAAAAGGAGCAAAAGGAAACAACCCCCAUCUUUCUUGUUCCCUUUCCCUUCUUUACAUGGCGUCCUCGAUGAAAAUAGCAAACGCCCCAUUUGAAUAUAUAAUUAAAGAAAGAAAGAAAGAGAGGAAAAUUUUUUUAGUGAAUUCAAAAGCCCUUCGCCCCGGAAAGAAAGUUUCUUUUAACAAAAUAAGGUUGUUGAGGCUUUUCUUGGAACCUCGCUCAGGGAUUAAUUAACAAGAAUUAAAAAAUCCCCUGCAAAUUACACAAAAUUUAUUAUUGAUCAUCAAUAUUGAAUAAUGGCUUAUUUUCUAGCAUAAACAAAAAUUGAUAAAAGAUAUUUAUUAUUGAUCAUCAAAUUGUGGUAGCUGUUGUGGUUGUGGAAAAAAUUAUUUUAUAAAAAAUAUUUUUAGUUGAGGUUGAUUUGAAAAAAUAGGUGUUUGGUUAAAACUGUGGUUGAAAUUGAAGUUGAAGAAAAAAUAGCUUAAUGUGUUUGGUUAAGAAUGCUUUUAAAAUUGAAGUUAUAAAAUAAUUUUUAAAAAAUAUAUUAAUACUGAUGAUUUUUAAUUUAAAUAUUAUGGAUUUAACUAUUGCUAUUAUAUCAUGAAAUAAAUCAUACUUUAUAUAAAAUAUUUUUUUAUUAUUCCAUGAAACCAUUUAUAAUUCCAUUACGUAUACAUCCGACAAAAACUACAGUUUUCAUAAUAUUUUUAGCAUAUAAUAAAAUUAGAUAAAAUAUUAUCAGGUAUAAAAUUCACUAUAAACUAGUUUUUUUAAAAAAAAAUGUUAAAAAAAUAACACACUAAAAAAAAUUAACACACUAAAAAAAAAAAGGUUCACGCAGGCAAAUGAACAUUGCAAGAGAAUUGCACUGUUCACUAUUUUUAAGUGAACAGUGCAAUUGUGUUGCACUGUUCACUUGAAUAGUGUACAUUACGUACUGUUCAUGUUAAUUGCACUGUUCAUUGAACGGUGCAAUUAACAUGAACCGUGAAAAAAAGAGUAAGAAAUGGCUGCUUUUCCUUUCCUGCGUUUCUAACAUAGAAAUUAAGUGAGGCCCAGUGAACAGUAAAUUAAUUUUUUCAUUAACCAAACAGCUGCGAACUGCGUUUUAAAUAAAACGCAGCCGCAGCUACAGAGCCAAACGGGCUCUAUAUUUUGGAGUGACGUAGAUAUUAUGUUUUAAAAUCCUUUUUAUUUAUAAAUGUAUUAACAUUUAUUUUUCAAAAUUUAUUUUUAAUAUUAAUAUAUCAAACUAAUAUAAAAAUAUUAAAAAAAUAAUUUAAAACAAUAAAACAUUCAGCAACCACUCUAAAUUCCAGCUCAAUAAUUUAUUCUUUAGCGAUUAUUGCUUGCUCUUUGACAAUUAUUGCAUUUCUAAUAAUUUGCAAGAAAACAUACUUUCUCAAUUUCCUUGAACUCAUUUGACCCAGCUAUCGAGUUAUUUUUUCCGCUCAUCUUUUUUUCCCACAAACUCACCAAGACAGCACCGGAUUAUUUUAACUCAGUGAUCCUUCCAGGUAGGCCCAGGCCACAUUGAUUGUGUUAAAAAAAAAAUCUAAUUCAGCUUAGUAUCAACUACAUUAUAAUUAUUUAGGAGGAUAGUUGAACCAUACUUUUUAAAAAAAUUAAUUUUUUUUUAUAAUUAUACGCCAUCAGCAACUACCUCGAAAUUACCACUCCAAAUUCCAGCUCAAUAUCGAUCAACAUGCGGCUAAAAUUGAUAAAAGACACAUAAUGAUGGUAUUGUAUAUUUUGAGACUAAAUUGAGGUUUUUUAAUUAUUACUUUAAAAUAUAUCAUGGUUUUAAUAGUUGGACGGUAUAUUAUAUAAAUUAUUAAAAAAUAUUUAUUUUUAUUAUAUAUGUAGUAAUAAUAAAUUAGAUGAUAAUAACAAAAAAUAGAAAUUAUUUUGAAUAAAUAGUACCAGUUCCUAUUAUGAUAUGUAUAGAGAAGAAGUUGGAAGAAUAAAAUGAAGUCAAAUAUUCUUAAUAAAAAAAACACAGAAAUAGUUAAAAUAUGUUUUUAAUAAAUAUAAAAGAUGGAUGAAAAUAUUAGAAAACAUGAAAGAGAUACAUAAUCUCUUUGUAAGAUUUCUAAGAACUUAAUUACAAUUACAUUAUAAUUUCUUCCUUAAAAUUAUUCAAAAUAUAUAUUAUUCUAGGUUUUAAUGUAAUUAAAAAGGAAGUAUUUGUAAGUGUAAGAAUUUUUGACACGCCUAAUCACAGUUUUUUUUGGAAAAGAAAAGAAGCCAGGCUAUGAAAAUAGGUUUGUGGAAAUUUACGUCAUUUGAUUUUGACAAUUGCAUGGAAAUGGUCUUCUUAAUUUGCCGUGUAGAAAAUCAUGUCAUUUACGGGACUGCUGGAGAGAGUGUCUAUUGAUAAUUUUACCUUCUUUUCAAAUCUUUGACACUGCUUGCAUUGACUGGUAAUUUCGCUCGAAAAUUUCUAGUAAUUUAUAAAGGAAAUUUCUACUGUAUAAAUUGAAAAACUAUUAUUGACUGACUUCUUGCAAAGUAUUUGCAAGAAAGCUAAAAAAUUAAAAUUUUUAAAUUUUUAAAUUAUAAUUUAAAAUUGUAAGAAAAAAAUCAAUUGUCUUAAAAAUAAAAAAAUCAACUAUUUAUAUAAUAGCUAAAUCUAUUAAGAUAAAUCGAAAAUAACUAGUAAAAUCAAUGAUUGACGAGUGUGUCUAUAUAUACAUAUAGGAACUGCUGAUUCGAUUUGAAUAUGUUAUUUGAUUAGUCUAAUUCGUGAUUUGCAUUGACUCAAAAUUACCACUAGAAAUUCCUAGUUUCGUGGUGCUUUCUCGGCCUGCAAAUGAAUAUAAAGCAUAUCCUUUUAUCCUAUAUAAAGAAUACAAUUAACCUUUUUAUCUUUUAUAAUUAUAAUUAUUGCAUUGCUAAUAAUUUGCACGAAAGAAUAUUCUUUCUCUGAAAAGGCCUUGAGAAAACCCUAAGCAUAGUAUAUAAUCUCUUAUAGGAAUCUCUUUAUUAAAUCAUCAAAAUAUCAAAGUCUGUUUCCAAAGACUAUGACUACAGUUUAUAUAUAGAAACAACCAAUUAUAAAAAUUAUUAUUUUUUAAAUAGAAAAACCAGAGAGCUUGAUAAUAUUUAAUAAAAAUAAAAAAUAAAAAAUUAUUCCUUUUAAAGUAGAAAAAAUUAUAAAGAUUUUAAUAAUACUAAAUAAGAAAAAUUAAAAUUUCUAAACUAAAUUUAAAAAAACAAAAAAAACUGAGAAAAUAUUUAUUAUCCCAAUAGUUCUUAUAUUAAAAUCUCAUUUAUCAUAUGUUAUACCUAUCAAAAUAAUAAUAAUAAUAAUUUGUGAUGUGAACUAAAGCUAUAUGCGAAACCUAGAAAAACCCGGUAGAGACCCGUUUUGUUUUUUCAAAUAUUUUUUUUCUUCUAGCUAAAGAUCAUUUUUUUUUAUAUAUUUUUCUAUUGGUUACUAACUCAUUUCAAAGUUCACUAUAUAAAUACUAGAAGAAUAUUUUAUUUUUUUGAUGUGGAAUUAAAAAAAAUUCUUUUGAUUUAAAUACUUCAAUUUAAAACAAUAAGAUAAUAUCUUUUUAAUAUGAGAUAAAAAAACCUUUUGAAAUAAUCUUUUAAACUUUAUUAUAUGCAACAUGUAUAACCUAUAUUCAUAUGAAUUGUUUCUUUAAUUUUUUUCAUAUGAAAUAUUAAAAAUCAAAUAUUUUUAUUUUUAUUUUUCUGGGUUGACCUGGAUCAAUUUAUGUAAUCCAAGACUCUAUUUUUUAGUCUGGUCAAUUUUAAGUUGGGUUCGAUAAUAAUGAUUAAAUUUAUUGAAAAAAACAUAAUUUUUUUUUUGUUUCUAUAAAAAUCAAAGGUAAAGAAUUAAAUGAUGACAUAUAUCACUAAUUAUUGACAUACUCUUAUUACGAACACAAUAUGAUACCCAUGUUUUCAACGCUUUACACUGCUUUAAUAAAUUGUUACAGUAAUAGCACAAAGAGGAACGGUUCAAGAAAAAACAAUAAUGGAGUUGAAGCAAAAUCUCUGUUUGAUUUUUUCUUUUUUGUGUUUUCGGUACAUUGGUCAACAAUAGCUUGGAAGAGUUUGGUAUCAGUGACACGUGGACCCAGUUGUGGUGGAAGGAAGAAAAAUGAUUUUAAUAGAUGUACUGUAUAUCAUUUGAAUUUAUUAGAAGUAACAAGAUAUAUACAAUAAGAUGCACUGAGGGUAUUGGCCUGGGAUACGAGGGGCUUGUCUUCUCUUGUUGCUUCUGGAUUCGAGUUUUUAUGUGUAUGUCUGUCAUUUUUACGGUGUCUUAUAUGUUCAUUGAGUUUGCAGGGUGUUCAGUGGGUCGUGGAAUUAGUCGUGGUGCGCGCAAGCUGACUCGGACACCCACGUAAAUAAAAAAAAAAAAAAUAUAUAUACAAUAAGAUGCUAUAUUAAAAUAUUAGAUGCUAUUUUUCGAUCUUAGAAGUAACAUGAUUUUAAUAUACACCUUCUUUCAACGUUUUACACUGCUUUAGUCGUCAAAAAAAAAAAAAAGACUAUUAGAUGCUAUAAAACAAGAUAUAUACAAUUUAGUUUGAGAGUCUAAUAGAUAUUAUAUUUCAAAAUAUUUUAGAAAUAUAUUAAAAUAUUAGUUUUUUUAAAAAAAUUAUUUAAUAUCAUAUAUUAGAACAAUAAAAAAUAAUAAUAAUUUAAAACAAUAAAAAAUUUCAAAAUCUUUUAAAAAUAUAAUUUUACUGGACUCCAAAACACACCCAUGCUUCCUCAGCAACCACCACGAAAUUACUACUCUAAAUUACAGCUCAAUAAUUUAUUCUAGUUAUUAUUGCUUGCUCUUUGACAAUUAUUGCUUUGCUAAUAAUUUGCAAGAAACUUUCUCAAUUUCCUUCUAUUUUCUUUUUAUCAUGGAAACUUUAAGUCACAUAAUAUAUGGCUGAUUUUAUAUGAAUAUAUUAUUUGAUUAGUGUUGACUCUACUAUUGCUGCAUUGACUGGAAAUUUCAGUAUUCAAUAUCCUAUAUCAUUCUACGUUCAUAACGAUAACUCUUUGUUAUAUUUAACUUACACUGCAGCUAACUUCUCUGUCCCAUUGCAGCCAUUUCAUAGCUAACUCUUUGUUAUAUUUAACUUGCUCUUCUUUGCUUCUUUGCUUCUUGCUCAUAACGAUAACAAGAAAGCCUUACGUUCAGAUAGAUAAUCAUUGACCAGUUCAUCCUAUACCAUUCAAUUUAAUUUAGAAAUGCUGAAAGAAAAACGCAAGCAAUCCAAAGAUGAAGACAACGAUUCAUCCUCGCGAAAGAGAAGAAAAGCUGACCUCAGUAAGCCUGUCAGUUUUGUCUCCACAGGUAAGGCAGAUGCGUGAGUCUAUACAUGUAGGAACUGCUGAUUCGAUUAGAAUAUGUUAUUUGCUUAGUCUGAUCAUAGGAUAGGUUGAGUCUACUACUAUUUCUGCCUUGCUUUGACUCGAAAUUACUGGUGUUUUCUCCUGCAAAUGAAUAGAAAUCACAUCCUUUCUCUUUCUCCUAUACAAAGAAUACAAUUAACCUCAUUUCAAUAUCAUAGCUUUGGAAUUUCAUAGCUAACUCUUUGUUAUGUUGCUCCAUUGGUAAUUGAUUGUGCCUUAAUUUCUGCAGCUACCAGGACAGAGCCAGAGUCUUCUCGAUCUAGACCAGAAGGGGCCUAUGAUGUCUUCUUGAGUUUUAGAGGAGAAGACACUCGCAAGACAUUUACAGAUCAUCUAUAUACUGCCUUAGUCCAAGCAGGAAUCCGCGCUUUUCGAGAUGAUGAUGACCUUCCAAGAGGAGAAGAAAUCUCCGAUCAUCUCCUCAGGGCAAUUCAAGAAUCAAAGAUAUCCAUAGUUGUCUUCUCAAAAGGAUAUGCUUCUUCUAGAUGGUGUCUCAAUGAACUUGUAGAGAUUCUUGAGUGCAAAAAGAGGAAAACCGGUCAGAUUGUUCUUCCUAUAUUCUAUGACAUUGAUCCUUCAGAUGUGAGAAAACAGACUGGCAGUUUUGCAAAGGCAUUUGAUAAGCAUGAAAAGCGUUUUGAAGAGAAGUUGGUGAAGGAGUGGAGAAAAGCUCUUGAGGAUGCCGCAAACCUAUCUGGACGGAGUCUCAAUAAUAUGGCAAAUGGGUAUUCCUUCUCUCUCUAAGAUUCACUUGCACACGUUUAUGGAGUAAUUUUACAUUACAUUUUUCAAUGUGAAGUAAUAAAAUAUUUCUUUUUAGCAUACUUAAUUGAGUCGCUAUCAAUGACUUGCUUUUGUCUAUGAGCAGGCAUGAAGCAAAAUUUAUCAAGAAGAUUAUCAAGGAUGUGUUGAAUAAAUUAGAUCCCAAGUACUUAUAUGUUCCUGAGCACCUAGUAGGUAUGGAUAAACUUGCUCAUGAUAUUUUUGACUUUCUAAGCACUGCAACAGAUGAUGUACGCAUUGCGGGCAUACAUGGGAUGCCAGGAAUAGGAAAGACGACUAUAGCAAAAGUUGUAUUUAAACAACUCUGCGAUAGAUUCGAGGACAGCUGUUUUCUUUCGAAUAUCAAUAUUGAAACACCAAAAAAACUUACAGGUCUUGUUGGUUUUCAAACGCAACUUCUUCGUGAAAUUUUAAAACAAGGUGUUCCAAACUUCGAAUGUGUUGAUAGAGGAAAGGUUUUGAUCAAAGAACGACUUCGUGGCAAAAGAGUUCUUGUUGUUGCUGAUGAUGUGGCUCAUCUGGACCAGCUAAAAGCUUUGAUGGGAGAGCGAAGCUGGUUUGGUCUCGGAAGUAGAGUAAUUAUUACAACAAGAGAUUCAAAUCUUCUUCGUGAAGCAGAUCGAACAUAUCAGAUCGAAGAAUUGAAACCAGACGAGUCCCUUCAGCUUUUCAGCUGGCACGCCUUUAAGGACUCCAAGCCAGCAAAAGAUUAUAUUAAGCUUUCGAAGGAUGCAGUUGAUUACUGUGGAGGACUUCCUUUAGCUCUUGAGGUUAUGGGUGCUUGUCUGUCUGGGAAAAACAGAGAUGGUUGGAAAUGUGUAAUUGAAAAAUUGAGAAGAAUUCCAAACCACGAUAUUCAAGGAAGGCUUAGAAUAAGUUUUGACGCACUGGACGGUGAAGAACUACAAAAUGCAUUCCUUGACAUCGCUUGCUUCUUUAUUGAUAGAAAGAAAGAGUACGUCGCAAAAGUGCUAGGAGCCCGUUGCGGUUACAAUCCAGAAGUUGAUUUGCAAACUCUCCAUGAAAGGUCUCUGAUUAAAGUAUUGGGAGAGACGGUAACCAUGCAUGAUCUAUUACGAGACAUGGGAAGGGAGGUCGUUCGUGAUAAGUUUCCAAAAGAACCUGGAAAGAGGACCAGAAUUUGGAAUCAAGAGGAUGCAUGGAAUGUACUUGAGCAGCAGAAGGUAAGAGCUCAAUGCAUACAUGAAAGCAUAGUCAUUCGUAUUUUCUAGUCAAACUUAUUUCACAUAAUUGAAUGAAAGUUGUAUUGUUUUUUUUUUAGGGUACGGUUGUUGUAGAGGGUCUUGCACUGGAUGUCAGAGCAUCAGAAGCUAAAGCACUUUGCGCAGGAUCAUUUGCAGAAAUGAAACGCUUAAAUUUACUCCAAAUCAAUGGAGUACAUCUCACCGGAUCCUUCAAACUGCUUUCUAAAGAGUUGAUGUGGAUUUGUUGGCAUAGAUGUCCUUUGAAAGAUUUUCCAUCUGAUUUUACCGCAGACUAUCUAGCUGUUCUUGAUAUGCAGUACAGUAACCUCAAAGAACUAUGGAAGGGAAAAAAGGUGCGAAACAUGCUACAAUCCCCGAAAUUUCUCCUGUAUGUAAUUUAUAUUGACAUCUUAUGACUUUCUAUGAUUAAUUUUCAUUAUUUUACCCUCUAUUAUGACAGAUCCUCAACAGGCUAAAAAUCUUUAAUCUUAGUCAUUCUCGGAACCUUGUUAAAACACCAAACUUGCACAGUUCAAGUCUAGAGAAACUAAUUCUGAAAGGUUGCUCAAGUUUAGUUGAGGUGCAUCAAUCAAUUGGACAUUCGACGAGCCUCGUUUUCUUGAAUCUCAAGGGAUGUUGGAGUCUGAAGACUCUCCCUGAAAGCAUUAGGAAUGUAAAGUCUCUUGAAACUAUGAAAAUUUAUGGGUGUUCACAACUUGAGAAAUUGCCAGAAGGCAUGGGUGAUAUGAAAUUCUUAACUGAGCUAUUAGCUGAUGGGAUUAAAACUGAGCAAUUUCUCUCUUCAAUUGGGCAAUUAAAGUAUGUCAAAAGGUUAUCAUUACGUGGAUGCAGUCCGACUCCACCAAGUUGUUCUUUGAUUUCAGCAGGUGUUUCAAUUUUGAAAUGUUGGCUGCCAACAUCAUUCACUGAAUGGAGAUUAGUGAAACAUCUUAUGCUUUCUAAUUGUGGUUUGUCUGAUCGUGCAACUAACUGUGUUGAUUUUAGUGGUUUGUUCUCUCUAGAAAAAUUGGAUCUAAGUGAAAACAAAUUCUCUAGCCUGCCUUAUGGGAUCGGCUUCCUUCCCAAGCUAUCGCACUUGGUUGUUCAGACAUGUGAAUAUCUUGUAUCAAUCCCAGAUCUUCCCUCAAGUUUAUGCCUUUUGGAUGCAUCUUCUUGCAAAUCAUUGGAAAGAGUAAGAAUACCAAUCGAGUCAAAAAAAGAACUAUGUGUAAAUAUAUUUCAAAGUCUUUCGUUAGAAGAGAUUCAGGGCAUCGAAGGUCUAAAUAAUAGUUUCUGGAAUGUUAGUAUUGAAAGACGCAGUCAUUCACCAAAUAAAUUACAGAAGAGCGUUCUAGAGGUACUAUUUCUUUCAAUCUCUCUUGCAUAAGAAGAAACACACACAAUUGGCACAUAUUGAUUAAUGUCUAAAAUCGCAGCAUUCCUUGAAAUUAAUAUGUAUACAGGCAGUUAUUAUUAUUAUUAUUAUUAUUAUAUUUUAAAAAAUAAAUAUCAUCUUUAAUAAUAUUUUCUUAUUUUUCUUAUUUAAUCUAAAAAAUUAAAUAUUAUCUUUAAUAAUAUUUUUUAUUAAAUAUUUAAGUCUUUGGUUUUCUUUUUUAUUUCUUGAUUUUAUGAUAAUAUAUUUAUACAGGCAAUGUGCAACCGUGGUCACGGGUAUCGUAUUAACUUCAGUCUAGAACAUGAUGAACUACAUGAGAUGCCAGAUUGGAUGAGCUACAGGGGAGAAGGAUGCUCAUUGUCAUUCCAUAUACCUCCAGUCUUCCAUGGCUUAGUUCUUUGGUUAGAGAAGGGUACUCAUAUGUACACAUACACUAACAUUAUUAUUAUUAUAAGAAAUAAAAGCAACGGAAGAAUAUUGUUUAAAGAUAAACGAGCACAGAUAGGAAUACAUAUAUUUAUGCAGGGAUGGUUAAGAUACAUAAGUAGAAGUGAAAUGGCAAUGGAAGAUUACUGUGGAGACGAAUUGGAACUAUACAUUUCUUCAGAGCCAACAGACUAUGCACUGCGCAAGGGUAAAUCAUUGAAACCAAGCGUUAAAGAAUGUGGGGUCCAUGUGAUCGCAGGGAAGUCAGAUUCAUUAAAAAAGUCGGCAGUGGAAAGAGAUACAGUGAUGCUUUCACCACCGCUGUAUCAUCUGCUUCCUCAUCCUCAUCGUGGUUCAAUUACAACGUCUACACCUAAGCAAUGGUGUGACUUUUUACUUGCGGAGCUGCAAAACCAUAGCCUCGGUUUAUUGCUUCUUGGUAAGAACAAAUAUUUCCUUUAGUUAUUUUUAUUCUAUUCUAUUUAAUUUAUGAGAUUAAAUAUUAUCUUUAAUUAUUUCAUUAUUACUAUUUAAUAUAAAAAAUUAAAUAUCAUUUUUAAUAAUAAAAAAUUAAAUAUUUAAGGCUUUUUGGUAAGAAUACAUAUUUCCUUUAGUUAUUUCUAUUUUAUUCUAUUUGAUGGGAAUUUGUUCGUAAUAACAAAAUGCACAUGUUUAACUUUCUUUUCAAACUUGGAAGUUUUAUUGAAUUUGAUGGCUUUUGAAGGUAGAGAAGACUUGGAGUGAAGAGUACAAGAUCAUUUUAUAUAGAGAUGCUUGAAGUUACUUCAAAUUAGUACGGUACUUCUAUCUGAUGUAUUGAUAUGUAUUUGUUUGUUUGAAGAUUAUUUUCCAAGCUUGGAAGUUUUAUUGAAUACUCUUUGAAAUCUUUUCCAUCCGCUUUUAUAUUUUUAUAUUGGACAACCUAGUUGUUAAUUAUUAUCCAUGAUGUAAUUUAUAUUUUCAAGUUAUAAAUUUUGAUGAAUAUUGUUUCAUUUUUUUCCUCAUUUCAAAAGUUGAAAAUCCUUAUUUUAGUUAGAAAUAAAUUGGUUUUCUAGGAAGAGAUUAUUGAUUGGAAACAAGAGCAAAAGAAAAAAGCAAACACCCCAUUCGAUUUUCAUUCAGUAUAAGAGUGAGAAAGAGAGACGCCAAGGUGGUUCUCGAAUAUUUUGUUCUUUUUUGUCUCGCUCACUGGGGUAAAUACUUCAUCAUUUAAUGUUAUAAUUUAAAAUAAUUGAUGAAAAAGAAUUUUAUUCAAUCCCAAUCCCAAUCCCACAUUGUCUGUAGAAGUAUUUACUUUUGACUGUACACUUUGUUAUUUUCCAAUCCCUCCCCAGUUCUGCAACCAUUUCUCUACUUUCUAUGCUCUUGGCUUGCUAAAAACUAAAGAAAACACAUUGCUCUAGUUGCCUGCCUUCACUCUUCAGAUUGCUCAACAAAUCCCUUGAGACCUUCUCCAUAGUUAACACAUCACAUAAUGGCUACUCUAAAAAAUUUAGCCAUAAACAUUGAACACCUUAAGCAAUCAACGUGCCUUCCUUCACAAUAUGCAUCACCCAUAAAUCUUUCUUUUGGGAUGUCGCCGGGAGUUUAAAUUUCCGAGUGUAAAAAU
rnacentral:lncRNA from 1 species